UAAACACGAACCGGAUAGGAUACCGAUCAUAGGUGGAACUGACACUGCGACACACACACACCACAACAACAAGCUCCAGCUGAGCAGACGCAGGCACGGUGGCCGGCGAGAGUGGCACCGCGUCGCUCGCUGGCUGCUGACUGGGCACUGGGCCUCGACACGACAACACUUUUAUUUAGCCCACGUCACCGCGCGACCCCGCGCAAAGCACCCCACACCUAGUACGUACUCGUAGUAAAAAGGUAGCACCCCACUCCACUCCACUGGCUGACUGAGCAUCGCGCCGUGCCACGUAGGAGCACACGGCCGCCGCCGCCGUGGACGCGCGCCUCACACGCUCACGGUGGCCUCCUCUGCCGCGGCCGCGGGCGCCUCCUCCGCUGCAGCCGGCGCUUCCUCGGCGACGGCCGCCACCUCCGGCUCGGCGGCAGCGGGUGCCGCCUCCUCCUCCUUCACCUCCUCGGCCGCCGCCGCCGGCUCGGCCUCUGCCACGGCCUCCUUGGUCUCCGUCUCGACCACGGCUGGCGCCUCGGCCACCGGCUCGGCCGCAGCUGCCGGCUCGGGCUCCUUGGCCUCCUCCGUCACGGCGGCGGCCGGCGCCUCCUCCUUGGCCGCCUCGACCUCGACGGGGGCAGGCGCCUCGACCUCGGCCUCCGCCGGCGCGGGGACCUCCUCCGUCUUCGCGGCCUCCUCGGCGGCCACGGGCGUCUCCACCGCCGGCGCCUCCUCCGUCAGCGCGGCCGUCGGGUUCUGGACCUGCACGUUUGCACACUCAAUGCCAUCAGCCCCACGCACAUGCCAGCACGUACACAAACCGAUCAAGCUCGAGCUCGACCACGAUCAUGGGCGUUCGUCAGAUCGCGUAGAUCCAUCGGAACGACCAUCGAUCCGAGAACAUGAAAGAGAACAGACGAUCGAUCGAUCCGAUCGAGGCAAGCUAGCUAUACGUACAUCAGCGGUGGCCAUUGCCGUGGUGGAAGCAAGAAAAUGCCCGGAGCUAGCUGAAGCUAGUGCUACUGUGACCCUGUUGUGUGCCUGUGGCUGAUCCGAUGAGAGAGUGUGAGGCGUGUGUGUCUGUGUGGAGCAAUGGAGGCUAUAUAUAGCGGCCUCCGGAGGCCAAAACGGGGAGAACACAAACGCAAAUCGAAGGCCAAAAAAAUUUAAAAACGAAGCCGAUCGACGGGUCGAGGAAAUAAACAAGCCGAGUCCGUCUCAUGAUGAUCGGGAAUCUGGGGAGCUGUAUGUGCAAAUAAGCACGUCCUGACGACGUGCGGUUGUACGUGCGCGUCAUGCCAUCGAAGUAAAAGGUGGCCCGUGAGUCAUGACACUGUGUAAAGGGUCCAAAGAACAUACCAGGGUGCCCGUGCACGGCCCGCGUCUAGUUCAUCUCGCUCCACAUGUUGCUCGAUCAGGAUCGGUCGUGCCACACACACACAAAUAUAUGUUCGAGAGAAAAGUUGCGAGAUUCUUGAACUUAUUUUCCAUUUUCCAUAAGUUUCCGUGUACGAUCGGCCCUGCUGUCACGUUGAUGUGUGUGCCGUGUGCUGGCCAAACCUGAUCCGGCCCUGGUGGCAGUGGCAACAUGCAAGUGGGACCUUUUGAGGUGUACACAACAACACAUCUCGUCCUCCUUGCACGUUCUGCGCCGUCCUUUCCAUCGGACCGUCGAUCCCUUACCGAUUAAUUAAAUAUAAAUGAAGCCCUCGCCGAUUUAGCCGUAGCAGUAAUCGAUUCCAUCAUCUGUGAUUUGGAUCGAAACGUAUUUGAUUAGCCUUUGUUUUGUACGUACGAGAUUACGAUAGCUGAGCAGGGGCGGCUGUCGUCCGGGUUGGCGUGGAGACAAUGGAGUUGGAACCGAUGAAUGUGCGCGCCUGAAUAGUCGCGAUUUGGUUUUGGGAUUUAGGUUAGCUCUCCGUCUCAGGGUAGUACGUGGCCACCCGGCCUAUGCUACCGUAUAGACUUUCUUUUCCAGCAGUACGUAUGUUCUUUUUCUUUUUCCUUUUUCUUUUCGAGAUGUGACGUGAUGUGGAUCGGUGAAACCUAAUUAAGGUCCUGGUUACGCAUAUGUUUGCUGAUGGAGAGGGGGAGGGCGGCAUUCACUCAUUUUGCAAAACGAUUAUAUAUAUAUAUAUAUAUUGUCAUACACAGUAUGUAUGAUGUGCUAGGUAAUCCAGGGGUAAAAGUUUCUUUUAUUAUAGAAAAAAAAAUAAGGUGGUGGUGUCGAAUGGACCAAGGUUUUUUGUGAGAGCAAUUCCAGAUCCCCAAGCAAUCACCGCUGGAAUCGUGUCCCUGUUCUAGCGCUACAGUGGUAGCCUGCAUGUGUCAUGCUUCAGAGUCGAUCAGCAACAACAAUUAUGACAGCAACUGGAUGGAUGUCCCCCAUCACCUUUGGCUCUGGGGCUCGUCUACUUGCUCCGGCCUCCACCACCUUUGCCCGAAAGCUAGCGUAGAUAUAUGCAAGACGAUUACUACCGCGCCGCAGGGGUAGUUGUCCAUGGAUCAACCUCACGCUCCAAAACAAGAAACUUAUCAGAAAAGCAACGGGGAUAUCAUCAGCGGGACAGCGAGAUUACACUAACACGAAGUAGCACGCCACUAAUUAAUCGUCGCCACCUGAUCUCUUCCCUCGCCGGUCACCGCCGCCGAAAGGUCGAGAGACGGACAUGCGCAGCAAGGUAGCUGAGCUCUUACAAAAUGAGUGAAACCCCUUGGUUGCCCAUGUAAUCUUCUUUCCUCCUCUAAACUAAUUGCUUGCAGAUGAUUUUUGGCCCCGGUGGAGUGGAGGCGAUGGGGUUGGGCAGCUUUCUUUUCGAGAAAAUUCUCGCCGCCGUCGUUGUCGUCGCUUUAAACCGGCCAUUCAGAUCAUCAGAUGGCAUGGAAAGCGACGAGCAAGCAGAGUCCGCACCGGGCGUCCAACAUGCGCCGGCCACGGCCAGUGCCCGGUAGGACGGUCCGCUGGGCUGAUUGGUGCCACAUCACGCAGAAGAGAUAUACUAGAGUAGAGCAGUCGACAUGGCCGGCUGUCAGCCCCGGCCCCGCCUGCGUGUCCCUCCACCGCCGUGAUCUCCCGUGGCACCGGCCGGCCAGCUGCGCUGCUCGCUUUCGGCGGCCGUGCCAUGCCAUGCCAUGCCAUGCCAUGUGUGGUCGCCAUCGCGCACGCCGGUUCGAUCCAGACUUUCGUGUUGGCCAGCCAGCGGUGGGGUGUGGCUGCGGCUACAUAACGCCGAGCUUUCACAAAGGUGACGGGUGAGGCGCCGCAUAGGGAGCCACGGAGUUGGUGGGCGCAGGGAGCGGGGGGUGGGAUGAUUGGAGCCCAUGACCCGGAAGCGAUGGUGAGGUGGCGCCACGGCUAGGGGCGGUGGAGGAGGGGCCCGCGUCACAGUGCCCGUGAUGGAAACGGCGGUGUGCGGACGCGGCGUUCCACUUCCACCUGUGAAUGACGUGUGAUGUGCCUCCAUGUCGGACCGCGGCCACAUGCGAUUUUUAAUGGAGUAUACUUGUACGAGUACGAGCUGAUCCACCUCAGCGUUUUGUUGGUUCGUCCAAACGACGAGCCGGGAUUUGCGCAGAGCAGGUUGCUUGAUUGGAAGAUGCAGUAUAUUUCCUUUUGAAUAUGACCUCCCUCCCUCCGUUUCUAAAUAUAAGACAUUUUAAACAUUGCACUAUAAACUACAUACGGAUGUAUAUAGACAUAUUUUAGAGUGUACAUUCGCUCAUUUUAUUUUGUAUGUAGUCUUUUAAUGAAAUAUCUAAAAGAUCUUAUAUUUUGCAACGGAGGGAGUAGUAGGCAAAAUUCAGGCUUGCGGCUUUCGAUAUAGUAUAUUUUUGGCUGCAUUUGUCAUCCGGCGUGGAAAAACAAAAUUUCUUUUGGCUGCUCCAUCGGUGUCAUGCAAAUACAUGAAUUUUUUUAGGGUCGAUGUCGCCGCGCAAAUACAUGAAUUAUUAAGAGAGAGCUUUGGUAAGUUAGAAAAAAAAAAGGUGCACUGAUUGGCAAUGGGAGACUUGUAUAGGACCUUACCUUUGAGGCAUUUCUAACCGAUCCUCAAUAGAGCCAUAAGCGCAACUUUAACGGGUCGAUCCAAACGGAUGACGGUUUUGUCUCUUUUUGUUCGUUUGGGUCGUCCACCGGCAUGUCCGUGUCUGUUUCUUUAAAUGGGUCAGCACAUGUAUCCAACGAAAAGCAAGUGAACAACAUCUUUGUGACAAUGGGGUGGGUCAGCGAAUUAAGUAAGCACGCACAGGUGGGUGGGUGGCUAUGUGACAAGUCGGCCAGGCCGGCCACAUGCAUACACAGAGAGGGCGCGCGCGUCCGCUUCGUGUCCGUGCCGACGCAUUUCAGUCCCAAAUUUGAGCCAGAAAUGGGUCGGCGCAGACGUAAAGCGGACGCGUUUCGGAAAUGGGUCCGCCGUUGGCCAUCACUUUUAUCCGCACGGACCCAAACGGACGACGGCGGACGAAAUGGGUCGCACCAUUGAAGUUGCUCUAAGAAAGUAAAUCGCAUUACUCCUUUAUGGCGGACGACCCCCUAAAAAUGUUAACGCAGUAAUUAUUUUAAAUAUACUUUAUCUUUCGACGGUCGAGUAAAACCCGUCUCACUUUGGACGUCCGAGAAGGAGGUCCAAGAGGUGGUGACCGAGGUGGAGGUUGUCGAGGUGAUCGAAGCAAGCAUCAAGACCUCGAGGACCCACACCCAUAACUACAACCAAAAGGACGACCUUGCACUUUGCAAUGCUUGGUGUGCCAUUGUAACGUCGAAGAUGAGAUUCUAUCCUUAUUUUGACGCGAGGGCCUCGACAGGGAUAGAAGCGCAUCUCGUCGUUUCGCAAGAAUGGACAUCAUUACAAGUACAUGUACAGAAAAGAUGAGUAUAUGGAAUUGGCUUACACUCGUCACAAGCUACAACGUGAACAACACAAUACAACAAUGUAUUCAAUCACCAUGUAGAAGAUCACGGUCCAACUACAGACUAAAUCAAAUGAUAAAAGGUCGACGUUCAUCCUUGCUAUCCCAGACUUUCGGCGUAAAACCCAUUCUAGAUUGAUGAUGAAGAAGAAGAAGAAACUCCAAAUGGCACAAUCUCGCGCUCACAUCAAAGUAUGGCUUUACGUGUACCUGCAACUGUUGUUGUAGUAAUCUAUGAGCCACAUGGACUAAGCAGUCUCAUUUUCAAAGGUAUCAAGACUAGCAAAGCUUAAUGGAUGAGGUAUGCUUAAGUGAUGAGGCUGCAACAAGCGACUAAACAUUUAUUCGAGUGACUAACUUACGAGUACAAGAAUAAUAGGGGGUGAUCUACGCAUAACAUACGUGAUCUAAUAAUGAUCUCAAAGUGAUCCUGAACACCUACUUACGUCCGACAUAAACCCACCGUAUCCUCUUCCGGAUGCAGAACUCACGAAAAGAGACAGUCACGGUUACGUACAUAGUUGGCAGGUUUUAAAUAAAUUUACUUCGAGUUAUUUAGAACCGGAUGUUAAACAAAGUUUCCAAGUUUUCACAUAACCACGGGCACAGCUCUAAAAAAUAAUUAACCCUGUAGGAGUGCUUCAACUAGUCCAUCAAAAACUACCACACGCUGCAUCGGAAACCUCGACCGCGGAAAACCUGUGAUCUCCUCAGAUUCCUAGUGGAAAACCUCAACCUUGAUAUUACCCAAAGUAUCCUCGGAAUCCCUCGUGCAAGACGUUCGGGAAAGGUAAAACAAAUCCAGCAAGGCUGCCCGGCGUGUCGAUGAUUCUAAUAGGAGUUGUGUAUCUCAUUCUCAGGACACGAUGGAUAAGCACAGCGUAGAGUGGCAUGAUAGAUAUCUCCCGAAUUGCCCUGGGUUGGCCUCGCACAUGGCUCUAGUUUGGACCAACACUCAUGGAGAGCACUGGCCCGGGGGUUGAUUAAUUAUCCACGGGGUCCGAAAAGUCUCUAUGCAAUUUUAUUAGGUUAUUAGACAAAUGUAGUACAAAUGUUGGGCCUUGUCGGAAGAUUUUUAUACCAAAACGAAAGUCAAGGGGGUCCCCAUAACAACCCCAAGCAUGUUAGGAGCGUUCAGUAUGGAUCUUAACACCGGUACACAACUAGCUAGGGUAGCAAAGGUGGAACAAAACACCGAGCUAGAAGGCCAAGCCUUCUACCUUUUACCAAGUAUAUAGGUGCAUUAAAUUAAAUAAAGAUAAUAUGGUGAUAUAACAAGGAAUCCAUGUUGACACAUGGAAAGCAACUACACCUGCAACUAGCAACGCUAUAAGAAGUCUGACCAAGCAGUAACAUAGUCAAACAGUGGCUUGCUGGGAUGUGGAGGGGUUAGAGGUUUUCAUGGAAAUGUUGGAAGGCUGACAUUUAAGUGGUAGGCACCGAGACAUAGCGAAAGAAACGAGACAACUAGCAUGACAAUGAUAGUAAUCGUAUCUAGGGAAAUGAUCAUCUUGCGUGUGAUCCCACUUGGAAGAAGAACGAAUCCAUGAAGCAGACGAACCGACGUAGAGGAACGAAUCCUCACACUCAAUAGCGGUUCCGAACUCUAUCGAGAAGAAACAAUCCGGAAACAACAAUCAACACACAAUAACACCACAACAUAUGCAUGACAUGACGUGCAAACAAUUAUGAUGCAUGUCCAUUUAAUUAUGUACGACACGACAAAGCACAACAAUUUAUUACUACAUAUUAUAUGAAGCUCAAUAUGCAGCUCGUUGGAUAUUGACAAANNNNNNNNNNNNNNNNNNNNNNNNNNNNNNNNNNNNNNNNNNNNNNNNNNNNNNNNNNNNNNNNNNNNNNNNNNNNNNNNNNNNNNNNNNNNNNNNNNNNAUCCAUCACUGAUCCACUGCCUACCAGUCUUUUACUACUGGUCCUCGCUACGUUACUUUGUGUAGGCUUGUCCCUUGCUACAAAAGGGAUUGGGCCACUUUGCUGCUACUAUUGCUACUGCUGCCACUUUGCUGCUACUGUUGCUACUGCUGUUACUUUGCUGCUGCUGCUACUGUUGUUCCUUGCUACUCCGCUGCUACUUAGUGCAAAACCUUUUCUGGAGCAGUUGCUGGGGAAGAAUAGUCCCCCGUCAACGUGCUUUUUACUGGCGCCAUUGAUACAACAGUUAGGAAUAGUCUGCCGUCAACACAUCGUUUCUGGCACUGUUGCUAUCAUACUACCUUGCUACUGAUACUUUGCUUGCAGACACUAAUCUUUCAGGUGUGGUUGAAUCUGACACACUCAGCUGCUAAUACUCGAGAAUAUUCUUUUGCUUCCCUUGUGUGAACCAACAAAUUUGGGUUGAAUACUCUACCCUCGAAAACUGAUGGGAUCCCAUACGCUUGUGGGUUGUCAAUGCACCGCAUUUUGGCAACACCAUGUUUCCUAGAGUUGGCAACAAGGACCAGGUCCACUCUUACCUGGUAGAUAUGCUCAUCAUGUGUCAGAAGGGGCGGACUCGCCCCUCUGGACCACUGGAUGUCUCUCAUGUUAUGUGGAACGAGGUGUACUCCGCUGUCUUCCACCGUAAGAUCCCAAUCUAUGGUCCGUAUCUGUUUUACUUCAUCAAGAUGACUUGGGCAAACACCUCAACUACACCUGCUGCCCAGCUGUUGAGUUUCUUGCUCCUAAUUGGAUUCGACAUGAGCCCAUCAAACUGCGCCAGAAGGACAAAUGGGCAAACACCUCAAGUACACCUGCUGCCCCUAGGGAUUCUGAUUAGGAUGUGGCUGCUGCUGAGGAUGAGGCUGUUCCAGAGUCACACAUGCCUUCCUCUACCGAGCCAUCAUGGGCCAAAAAGCUCACCAACAGGAUGAAUACCUUGUUUUGCAUGCAGGCCAAGGGACAGUACAUGACCCAUGUCACUCAGAAGGAGAGUCAUCAGCGUGGCAAGAUGAUCACGAGGAAGCUUGACAUGCACAUCUCUAGUGGAUCUGAGCGAGAGAUCACCCCGGAGGCUGAGUGGAUGUAGAAGAACAAGCUGCAGUGGGCUGCGUUUGACCAGGGCUCUGAGGAGGAGACAAACNNNNNNNNNNNNNNNNNNNNNNNNNNNNNNNNNNNNNNNNNNNNNNNNNNNNNNNNNNNNNNNNNNNNNNNNNNNNNNNNNNNNNNNNNNNNNNNNNNNNAAGCCAAUGAUCUCAUUGAGACUCAUGAGGAUACUAUCUCCAAGAUGCAAGAACAUAGUCAUGAUUACGCCGAUGAGAUAACAGAACUAUCCAUUCCUCUAGAAGAAGUGCUCACUCCUCCCUUAAGGAGUCUCAUGAUCAACUCCAAGUAAAACUAACCAAGGAGAUUUCUAAUUGUCAUCCGUUUGUUUUAAUUGAUAAUGCUUGUGAUACUAAACCUUGUUGUGAGCAUGUGCAUCUUGUGGAGGAGAAUGCCAAGUUGAAAGAACAGCUUGAGAAGGGCCUCGUUACGUGCAUCUAAGGAGAGAAAAAUCUAAAUGAUCUUUUGAGUAAUCAAAAGGAAGUUGCAGGAAAGAAAGGACUUGGGUUUGCAACCAAGUCUAAGAAGAGAAGGAAAAACAAGACCAAGCCAUCUUCCUCUCUUAAGGACAUCCUUGUCAAAGAACAAGGAAGGGGGUGACAAUGUCAAGAAGUGCAAAACCACUCCCACCAACACUGCCGGCGAUUUUAACCCCUCUUAUGUUUUAUGCCGUGCUAGUGAUGGGCAUGUUUAUGCCAAAUUUGUUGGUUCUUAUUAUGAGUACAUCGAGUAGGAUAUUUGGGUUCCUAAGACCCUUGUUUCUAACAUCAAAGGACCCAUUCAAAAAUGGGUACCUAAAUCCAAGCAUUGAUCUCUUGCAGGGGUUUGCUUCCGGUGGAGUGUCAUGGUUGCUCGAUAGUGGAGCAACAAAUCAUAUGACCGAGAGCAAGGACUUGGUGGUGGAUGUGCAUCCAAUUCCAUCUAUGCCCACCCAUGUACAAUUUGUUGAUGCCUCAACAUCUAAGGUAAUGGGAUUUGGUAAGGUGGUCAACUCUCAAGAUUUAUCUANNNNNNNNNNNNNNNNNNNNNNNNNNNNNNNNCUCUCAAGAUUUAUCUAUAGAGAAGGUCAUGCUUGUUGAGUCCCUUGCAUACAAUUUGCUUUUCGUUCGUCAUCUUGCAAUUAUGGGCUUUGUCACAUUAUUUAAUCUUGAUACCGUGGCCCUUUUGUGGAGCAAGACUCCUAAAGUAGACUUUGUUGGAUAUGUCGAGAAUGGUCUCUAUGUAGUGAACUUUUUGGAGCGNNNNNNNNNNNNNNNNNNNNNNNNNNNNNNNNNNNNNNNNNNNNNNNNNNNNNNNNNNNNNNNNNNNNNNNNNNNNNNNNNNNNNNNNNNNNNNNNNNNNUGGGGAGACACACCAGCCCUUAGUGGGCUGGUGGGACAGCCCACAAGGGCCCUACGCGCCAAGGAGAAGAAAAUCAAGAGAGAAAAAAAAGGAGGAGGUGGGAAGGAAGGGGGACUCCCUCCCACCAAACCUAGUCCAACUCGGUUUGGGGGGGGAGAGUCCUCCCCCUUGGACUCGGCCGACCCCCUUGGGGCUCCUUGAGCCCCAAGGCAAGGUCCCCUCCCUCCCACCUAUAUAUACGGAGGUUUUACGGCUGAUUUGAGACGACCUUUACACUAUAUACGGAGGUUUUAGGGCUGAUUUGAGACGACUUUUCUCACGGCUGCCCGACCACAUACCUCCAUAGUUUUUCCUCUAGAUCGCGUUUCUGCGGAGCUCGGGCGGAGCCCUGCUGAGACAAGAUCAUCACCAACCUCCGGAGCGCCGUCACUCUGCUGGAGAACUCUUCUACCUCUCCGUCUCUCUUGCUGGAUCAAGACGGCCGAGAUCAUCGUCGAGCUGUACGUGUGCUGAACGCGGAGGUGCCGUCCGUUCGGUACUAGAUCGUGGGACUGAUCGCGGGAUUGUUCACGGGGCGGAUCGAGGGACAUGAGGACGUUCCACUACAUCAACCGCGUUCUCUAACGCUUUUGCUGUACGAUCUACAAGGGUACGUAGAUCACUCAUCCCCUCUCGUAGAUGGACAUCACCAUGAUAGGUUUCGUGCGCGUAGGAAAUUUUUUGUUUCCCAUGCGACGUUCCCCAACAGUGGCACCAUGAGCUAGGUUCAUGCGUAGAUGUCUUCUCGAGUAGAACACAAAAGGUUUUGUGGGAGGUGAUGUGCGUUUUGCUGGCCUCCUUAGUCUUUUCUUGAUUCCGCGGUAUUGUUGGAUUGAAGCGGCUUGGACCGACAUUAUUCGUACGCUUACGAGAGACUAGUUUCAUCGUUACGAGUAACUCCGUUGCUCAAAGAUGACUGGCAAGUGUAAGUUUCUCCAACUUUAGUUGAAUCGGAUUUGACCGAGGAGGUCCUUGGAUGAGGUUAAAUAGCAACUCAUAUAUCUCCGCUGUGGUGUUUGCGUAAGUAAGAUGCGAUCCUACUAGAUACCCAUGGUCACCACGUAAAACAUGCAACAACAAAAUUAGAGGACGUCUAACUUGUUUUUGCAGGGUAUGCUUGUGAUGUGAUAUGGCCAAUGAUGUGAUGUGAUAUAUUGGAUGUAUGAGAUGAUCAUAUUGUAAUAGAAAUAUCGACUUGCACGUCGAUGGUACGGCAACCGGCAGGAGCCAUAGGGUUGUCUUUAUACUAACGUUUGUGCUUGCAGAUGCGUUUACUAUUUUGGUAGGAUGUAGCUUUAGUAGUAAUAGCAUGAGUAGCACGACAACCCCGAUGGCAACACGUUGAUGGAGAUCAUGGUGUGGCGCCGGUGACAAGAAGAUCGUGCCGGUGCUUUGGNNNNNNNNNNNNNNNNNNNNNNNNNNNNNNNNNNNNNNNNNNNNNNNNNNNNNNNNNNNNNNNNNNNNNNNNNNNNNNNNNNNNNNNNNNNNNNNNNNNNGCAUCGACGUAACCUUUUACGGCGAGCUCUUCGUCACCUCCAUACACGAGAAACAUCUCCUUAGUCCUUUUCAGGUACUUUAGGAUAUUCUUGACCGCUGUCCAGUGAUCCACUCCUGGAUUACUCUGGAACCUACCUGCCAUACUUAUGGCCAGGCUAACAUUCGGUCUAGUGCACAGCAUCGCAUACAUGAUAGAACCUAUGGCUGAAGCAUAGGGGACGGAGCGCAUAUGCUCUCUAUCUUCAUCAGUUGCUGGGCACUGAGUCUUACUCAAUCUUGUACCUUGUAAAACUGGCAAGAACCCUUUCUUGGACUGUUCCAUUUUGAACCUUUUCAAAACUUUAUCAAGGUAUGUGCUUUGUGAAAGUCCUAUCAGGCGUUUUGAUCUAUCCCUAUAGAUCUUAAUGCCUAGAAUGUAAGCAGCUUCUCCUAGGUCCUUCAUAGAGAAACUUUUAUUCAAGUAACCUUUUAUGCUCUCCAAAAGCUCUAUGUUGUUUCCAAUCAGUAAUAUGUCAUCCACAUAUAAUAUUAGAAACGCCACAGAGCUCCCACUCACUUUCUUGUAAAUACAAGAUUCUCCAACCACUUGUAUAAACCCAAAUGCUUUGAUCACCUCAUCAAAGCGUUUGUUCCAACUCCGAGAUGCUUGCACCAGUCCAUAAAUGGAUCGCUGGAGCUUGCACACUUUGUCAGCAUUUUUAGGAUCGACAAAACCUUCGGGUUGCAUCAUAUACAACUCUUCCUUAAGGAAACCGUUAAGGAACGCCGUUUUGACAUCCAUCUGCCAGAUUUCAUAAUCGAAAAAUGCAGCUAUUGCUAACAUGAUUCUGACGGACUUAAGCAUUGCCACGGGAGAGAAAGUCUCAUCGUAGUCAAUUCCUGGAACUUGUGAAAAACCCUUUGCCACAAGUCGAGCUUUAUAAACGGUCACAUUACCGUCAGCGUCCGUCUUCUUCUUAAAGAUCCAUUUGUUCUGAAUAGCCUUGCGGCCCUCAGGUAGUAUCUCCAAAGUCCACACUUUGUUCUCAUACAUGGAUCCUAUCUCGGAUUUCAUGGCUUAUAGCCAUUUGUUGGAAUCUGGGCCCACCAUUGCUUCUUCAUAAUUUGCAGGUUCAUUGUUGUCUAACAACAUGAUUGAUAAGACGGGAUUACCGUACCACUCUGGAGCAGCGCGUGAUCUCGUCGACCUGCGUGGUUCAACAGAAACUUGAACUGGAGUUUCAUGAUCAUCAUCAUUAACUUCCUCCUCAACCGGCGUCGCAAUGACAGAGGUUUCCCCUUGCCCUGCGCCACCAUCCAGAGGGAUGAGAGGUUCGACAACCUCGUCAAGUUCUAUCUUCCUCCCACUCAAUUCUCUCGAGAGAAACUCCUUCUCGAGAAAAGUUCCGUUCUUAGCAACAAACACUUUGCCCUCGGAUUUGAGAUAGAAGGUGUACCCAACUGUCUCUUUUGGGUAACCUAUGAAGACACAUUUUUCCGCUUUGGGUUCCAGCUUUUCAGGCUGAAGCUUUUUGACAUAAGCAUCACAUCCCCAAACUUUAAGAAACGACAACUUUGGUCUUUUGCCAUACCACAGUUCGUAUGGUGCCGUCUCAACGGAUUUUGAUGGUGCCCUAUUUAAAGUGAAUGCAGCUGUUUCUAAUGCAUAACCCCAAAAUGAUAACGGCAAAUCAGUAAGAGACAUCAUAGAUCGCACCAUCUCUAACAAAGUACGAUUACGACGUUCGGACACACCAUUACGCUGUGGUGUUCCAGGCGGUGUUAACUGCGAAACAAUUCCACAUUGUCUUAAGUGAGCACCAAACUCGAAACUCAGAUAUUCACCCCCACGAUCAGACCGUAGGAACUUGAUCUUCUUGUUACGAUGAUUUUCCACUUCACUCUGAAAUUGCUUGAACUUUUCAAAUGUUUCAGACUUGUGCUUCAUCAAGUAGACAUAACCAUAUCUACUUAAAUCGUCAGUGAAGGUGAGGAAAUAACGAUAUCCGCCGCGUGCCUCUACGCUCAUUGGACCACACACAUCGGUAUGUAUGAUUUCCAACAAGUCACUUGCACGCUCCAUUGUUCCGGAGAACGGAGUUUUAGUCAUCUUGCCCAUAAGGCAUGGUUCGCACGUGUCAAGUGAAUCGAAGUCAAGUGACUCCAAAAGUCCAUCAGCAUGGAGUUUCUUCAUGCGCUUUACACCAAUAUGACCUAAACGGCAGUGCCACAAAAAUAUGGCGCUAUCAUUGUUUACUCUAACUCUUUUGGUCUCAAUGUUAUGUAUAUGCGUAUCGCUAUCAAGAUUCAAUAUGAACAAUCCUCUCACAUUCGGUGCAUGACCAUAAAAGAUGUUACUCAUAGAAAUAGAACAACCAUUAUUCUCAGACUUAAAAGAGUAACCGUCUCGCAAUAAACAAGAUCCAGAUAUAAUGUUCAUGCUCAACGCAGGCACUAAGUAACAAUGAUUUAAGUUCAUCACUAAUCCCGAUGGUAGCUGAAGUGACACUGUGCCGACGGCGAUUGCAUCAACCUUGGAACCAUUUCCUACGCGCAUCGUCACUUCGUCUUUUGCCAGCCUUCGCCUAUUCCGCAUUUCCUGUUUCGAGUUGCAAAUAUGAGCAACAGAACCGGUAUCAAAUACCCAGGCACUACUACGAGAGCUAGUUAAGUACACAUCAAUAACAUGUAUAUCAAAUAUACCUGAUUUUUCUUUGCCUGCCUUCUUAUCUGCCAGAUACUUGGGGCAAUUGCGCUUCCAGUGACCCAUACCCUUGCAAUAGAAGCACUCUGUUUCAGGCUUAGGUCCAGCCUUGGGUUUCUUCGGCGGAUUGGCAACAGGCUUGCCGCUCUUCAUCGAAUUGCCCUUCUUGCCUUUGCCGUUUCUCUUGAGACUAGUGGUCUUGCUCACCAUCAACUCUUGAUGCUCUUUACGGAGUUCAGACUCUGCGACUUUCAGCAUCGCAAACAACUCGCCGGGAGACUUGUUCAUCCCUUGCAUGUUGUAGUUCAACACAAAGCCUUUAUAGCUUGGCGGCAGUGAUUGAAGGAUUCUAUCAGUGAUAGCUUCUUGCGGGAGUUAAAUCCCCAGUUCAGCUAGACGGUUUCAGUACCCAGACAUUUUGAGCACAUGUUCACUGACAGACGAGUUUUCCUCCAUCUUGCAAGCAUAGAAUUUAUCGGAGGUCUCAUACCUCUCGAUCCGGGCGUUCUUCUGAAAGAUAAACUUCAACUCCUGGAACAUCUCAAAUGCUCCAUGACGCUCAAAGCAACGUUAAAGUCCCGGUUCUAAGCCAUACAAGACUGCACAUUGAACUAUUGAGUAGUCCUCCUUACGCGCUAACCAAGCGUUCUUAACAUCCUGAUCAGCCGUAGCGGGUGGUUCAUCUCCUAGCGCAGCAUUAAGGACAUAAUCCUUCUUCCCAGCUUGUAAGAUUAGCUUAAGAUUACGAGCCCAGUCUACAAAGUUGCUUCCAUCAUCUUUCAACUUAGCUUUCUCUAGGAACGUAUUAAAAUUCAGGAUGAUACUUGCGUGAGCCAUGAUCUACAACACAAAUAUAUUCAAAGUGGACUUAGACUAUGUUCAAGAUAAUUAGAGUUCAACUUAAUCAAAUUAUAUGCUAAACUCCCACUCAAAAAAUACAUCUCUCUAGUCAUUUGAGUGGUUCAUGAUCCAUUUACACUAUCCCAAGUCCGAUCAUCACGUGAGUUGAGUAUAGUUUCAGUGGUAAGCAUCACUAUGCUAAUCAUAUCAACUAUAUGAUUCAUGAUCGACCUUUCGGUCUCAUGUGUUCCGAGGCCAUGUCUGCACAUGCUAGGCUCGUCAAGCUUAACCCGAGUGUUCCGCGUGCGCAACUGUUUUGCACCCAUUGUAUGUGAACGUUGAGUCUAUCACACCCGAUCAUCACGUGGUGUCUCGAAACGACGAACUGUAGCAACGGUGCACAGUCGGGGAGAACACAAUUUCGUCUUGAAAUUUUAGUGAGAGAUCACCUCAUAAUGCUACCGUCGUUCUAAGCAAAAUAAGGUGCAUAAAAGGAUUAACAUCACAUGCAAUUCAUAAGUGACAUGAUAUGGCCAUCAUCAUGUGCUUCUUGAUCUCCAUCACCAAAGCACCAACACGAUCUUCUUGUCAUCGGCGCCACACCAUGAUCAUCCAUCAACGUGUUGCCAUCGGGGUUGUCGUGCUACUUAUGCUAUUACUACUAAAGCUACAUCCUAGCAAAAUAAUAAACGCAUCUGCAAGCACAAACGUUAGUAUAAAGACAACCCUAUGGCUCCUGCCGGUUGCCGUACCAUCGACGUGCAAGUCGAUAUUUCUAUUACAACAUGAUCAUCUCAUACAUCCAAUAUAUCAUAUCACAUCAUUGGCCAUAUCACAUCACAAUCAUACCCUGCAAAAACAAGUUAGACGUCCUCUAAUUUUGUUGUUGCAUGUUUUACGUGGUGACCAAGGGUAUCUAAUAGGAUCGCAUCUUACUUACGCAAACACCACAACGGAGAUAUAUGAGUUGCUAUUUAACCUCAUCCAAGGACCUCCUCGGUCAAAUCCGAUUCAACUAAAGUUGGAGAAACCGUCACUUGCCAGUCAUCUUUGAGCAAAGGGGGUUACUCGUAACGAUGAAACCAGUCUCUCGUAAGCGUACGAGUAAUGUUGGUCCAAGCCGCUUCAAUCCAACAAUACCGCGGAAUCAAGAAAAGACUAAGGAGGGCAGCAAAACGCACAUCACCGCCCACAUAAACUUUUGUGUUCUACUCGAGAAGACAUCUACGCAUGAACCUAGCUCAUGAUGCCACUGUUGGGGAACGUUUCAUGGAAAAAAAAAAUCCUACGCGCACGAAGACCUAUCAUGGUGAUGUCCAUCUACGAGAGGGGAUGAGUGAUCUACGUACCCUUGUAGAUCGUACAGCAGAAGUGUUAAAGAACGCGGUUGAUGUAGUGGAACGUCCUCACGUCCAUCGAUCCGCCCAGCGAACAAUCCCGCGAUCAGUCCCACGAUCUAGUACCGAACGGACGGCACCUCCGCGUUCAGCACACGUACAGCUCGACGAUGAUCUCGGCCUUCUUGAUCCAGCAAGAGAGACGGAGAGGUAGAAGAGUUCUCCGGCAGCGUGACGGCGCUCCGGAGGUUGGUGAUGAUCUUGUCUCAGCAGGGCUCCGCCCGAGCUCCGCAGAAACGCGAUCUAGAGGAAAAACUAUGGAGGUAUGUGGUCGGGCAGCCGUGAGAAAGUCGUCUCAAAUCUGCCCUAAAAGCUCCAUAUAUAUAGGAGGAGGGAGGGGGACCUUGCCUUGGGGUCCAAGGGACCCUCAAGGGGUCGGCCGAGCCAAGGGGGGGAGGACUCCCCCCCCAAACCGAGUUGGACUUGGUUUGGUGGGAGGAGUCCCCCUCCCUUCCCACUUCCUCCCUCUUUUUUUUUUAUUUUCCUUUGAUUUCUUUUUCUUGGCGCAUAGGCCCACUUGGGGCUGUCCCACCAGCCCUCUAAGGGCUGGUGUGUCUCCCCAAAGCCUAUGGGCUUCCCCGGGGUGGGUUGCCCCCCCCCCCCCGGGGAACUCCCGGAACCCCUUCGUCCUUCCCGGUACAUUCCCGGUAACUCCGAAAACCUUCCGGUAAUCAAAUGAGGUCAUCCUAUAUAUCAAUCUUCGUUUCCGGACCAUUCCGGAAACCCUCGUGACGUCCGUGAUCUCAUCCGGUACUCCGAACAACAUUCAGUAACCAACCAUAUAACUCAAAUACGCAUAAAACAACGUCGAACCUUAAGUGUGCAGACCCUGCGGGUUCGAGAACUAUGUAGACAUGACCCGAGAGACUCCUCGGUCAAUAUCCAAUAGCGGGACCUGGAUGCCCAUAUUGGAUCCUACAUAUUCUACGAAGAUCUUAUCGUUUGAACCUCAGUGCCAAGGAUUCGUAUAAUCCCGUAUGUCAUUCCCUUUGUCCUUCGGUAUGUUACUUUCCCGAGAUUCGAUCGUCAGUAUCCGCAUACCUAUUUCAAUCUCGUUUACCGGCAAGUCUCUUUACUCGUUCCGUAAUACAAGAUCCCACAACUUACACUAAGUUACAUUGCUUGCAAGGCUUAUGUGUGAUGCUGUAUUACCGAGUGGGCCCCGAGAUACCUCUCCGUCACACGGAGUGACAAAUCCCUGUCUUGAUCCAUACUAACUCAACUAACACCUUCGGAGAUACCUGUAGAGCAUCUUUAUAGUCACCCAGUUACGUUGCAACGUUUGAUACACACAAAGCAUUCCUCCGGUGUCAGUGAGUUAUAUGAUCUCAUGGUCAUAGGAAUAAAUACUUGACACGCAGAAAACAGUAGCAACAAAAUGACACGAUCAACAUGCUACGUCUAUUAGUUUGGGUCUAGUCCAUCACGUGAUUCUCCCAAUGACGUGAUCCAGUUAUCAAGCAACAACACCUUGUUCAUAAUCAGAAGACACUGACUAUCAUCGAUCAACUGGCUAGCCAACUAGAGGCAUGCUAGGGACGGAGUUUCGUCUAUGUAUCCACACAUGUAAAUGAGUCUUCAUUCAAUACAAUUAUAGCAUGGAUAAUAAACUAUUAUCUUGAUACAGGAAUUAUAAUAAUAACUAUACAUUUAUUAUUGCCUCUAGGGCAUAAUUCCAACAUAAACGCACCACAAUGCUAAUUAUGCUACUUGAAAGUUAGAGGCUCAAUAGUAAUGGGCCGUACGCCAAGACAAGUAGACCGUUUAUUCAUCAGCAUCUACUUACUAAUCAUCCACCUUGAGAUAUCUAUCCAGAACAUCUCGCUGGUAUUAAGUUGCGAGCCCCACCCAAAGUGUAAACUCAAAGCAACGGACAACUGCAUUAACGAACUAUGCAUAAGGUACACAAUCCUUGCAACUGUGGUCACAAGCACCGUUGUUUUCUCCCUGGUGGCAACACCACAUCCCCUAGUCUCAUGUUUCUGUGACUCAAGCUAGACAUCAGGGGGCACGAACCCACAAUCAUGCAUAACGCUCCCUCUUGGAGUAACAAUCUACUACUCGGCCAUAGCAAUAAAGAGCAAUAGAGAACAUGCAUGAAUCACUAAGGGACAUAAUAUAAAAGGAUAAUCAAAUAUAUAACUCAUAAAAAUCUGAACAUAAUCUAUCGGAUCCCAACAAACCGAGCAAUAGCAAUAGCAAGAAAAUUACAUAGAUGCCUUGAUCAUGAUUGGAGAGAAGACAUCACAUAGCUACUGGUCAUGGACUCAUGGUCCAAGGAGGACUACUCACGGCACGCCCGGGAAGCGUCCAUGGCAGUGGAGAAGCUCCCGGAGGUCAAUCCUCCCUCUGGCAGGGUGUCGGGAAGAGUACUCCUGACCCUCCCGAUCUCAGAGGCGUUGCGGCAACGGAACGAUGGAGAAAUUAGCGAUUCUGGAUGUUGUGGAAGGGUUUCCUCGCGGAGGAGUAAAUAUAGGCCAAAGGAGGACGUCAGAAGAGGUGGGGUCCACCCAGGCGGCUUGUGGGCGCGGCCAGGGGCCAGGCCGCGCCGGGAGGUCGUCUGGGCAGGCCCUGGCCCAUCUUCGAUGAACUGGAAGCUUCCAUUACGCUGUUUUUAUAUAUUUUUCUCGGGAUUUUUGGUGCUCCGGAAAAUUGGAUAAAAGCCCUUGCAAAAAAGACAUUAGCACACAGAAACUGGCACUGGCUGCACUGAGUUAGUAGGUUAGUCCAAAUAUGUGUAAAAAGAUAUAAAAGUUUAGCAAAACAUAUAACAAUGUCACCCAAAAGAUCAUCAAACAAGCAGAAAUUAUAGAUAUGUUUGGGACGUAUCAAUGAGCUAGUUUAAUAGAGGCGCACUAGGGAGACGGUGUUGUCUAUGUAUCCACACAUGUAUUUAUUAUGAUAAUAACUAAUUUAUUAUUUCCUCUAGGGCAUAUUUCCAACAAACAUACCCUACAAAAGAAAGUUAGACGUCCUCUACUUUGUUGUUGCAAGUUUUACGUGGCUGCUAUGGGAAACUAUCAAGAACCGUUCUUACCUACGCAAAGCCAAAAUGGUGACAAUCAAGUUGCAUUUUAACCUUAUACAAGGACCCCUUUUGUCGAAGCCGAUUCAACUAAAGUUGGAGAUACAGAUACCCACCAUCCACCUUUAUGCAAAAAAAAUUGCAUGUCAAUAGGUGGAACCAGUCUCUUGUGUGAGGACAAGUAAGGUUCGUCAGAGCCGAUUCAUCCCAAAAUUCUACUGAAUCAAAAUAAGACGUGGGAUGCAAGAAAUUUGAACAUAAACGCCCACAAGUUCUUUGUGUUCUACUCGUGCAUAUCAUCUAUGGAUAGACCUAGCUCAUGAUGCCACUAUUGGGGACCGUUGCAUGGGAAACAAAAAAUUUACUAUGAACUCCCAAGAUAUAUAUAUAGAGAUGCAUCACAACAAGAGCGGAGAGUGUGUCUACGUACCCUCGUAGACCAUUAAGCAUAACCAUAUAUUAUGUGGUUGAUGUGGUCGUACUCUUCAUGAUCCAACCUGAUCCAGCGCCAAACACACGACACCUCUGUGUUCAGCACACGUGCGGCUCGACGAUGUCUCUGUCUCCUUGAUCUAGCAGGUGAAGGCGGACAAGUAGAUGGGAUCUUGACCAUCACGACUAUGUCGUGGAGAUGGUGGUGGAGUAGUGCCGACAGGGUUUCGUUGUGCGCUACUGAAACUAUGAAUGGAGGAUCAACAAAGUAACGGGGGAGAGGGGGCACCAAGGGGCUGGUGUGUCCUCUUGGGGCGCCCCUCCCCUCUAUAUAUAGGUGGAGUGGCGUGGUGGCAAGCCCUCCAAGCCCUAGGGGCGAACCAAGGGGGAGGAGUUGGACACCUAGUCCAACUCCCUCCUUUCCAGACACGGGUGGACUUUUCCACCUUUCCCAGCCGCAUGGGCUUUGAGGGACUUGUGCGCUUGGCCCGAUUAGGCCACGGAUCCUCCCCUCAGUUCAUGUCGACCCUUGGGACAUGGUGGAGUCCUUGGUGGACUUCGGGACUCCUCCAGAAGUUUUAGGAACCUUCUCGAAGCUUCCUUCUACAAUACGAAAAAAACUAAAACUUUUCCCGGAACCCUGAAAACAACUUUUCAUAUAUAAAUCUUUACCUUCGGACCAUUUCGGAGCUCCUAGUCAUGUUUGUGAUCUCAUACGAGACUCCAAACAAUAUUCGGUCACCAAUAUACAUAACCCAAUAAUAUUAUAUCAGCAUCGAACGUUAGGCGUGUGGAUCCUAUGGGUUUGAGAAUCAUGUAGACAUGAUCGAGACACCUCUCCGGUCAAUAACCAAUAGCGGGACCUCGAUUUCCAUAUUGGUUCCUAGAUAUUGCACGAAGAUCUUCAGCGAUCGAUCCAUGAUGCCAAGGAUUCAAUCAAUCUCGUAUGCAGUUCCCUUUGUCUAUUGGUAUGUUACUUGCGCGAGAUUAGAUCAUCGAUAUCUCCAUACCUAGUUCAGUCUCUUUACCAGCAGGUCUCUUUACUUGUUUCAUAAUACGAGAUACCGCGACUAACUCCUUAGUCACAUUUCUUGCAAGCUUCUUGUGAUGUUGUAUUACCCAGAGGGCCGAGAGAUACCUCUCCGUCAUACGGCGUGACAAAUCCAAAUCUCGAUCCAUGCCAACCCAACAGACACCUUUGGUGAUGCAUGUAGAGUACCCUUAUGAUCACCCAAUUAUGAAGUGAUGUUUGAUACACACAAGGCAUUCCUCCGGUGUCACGGAGUUGCAUGGUCUCAUGGUCUUAGAAAUAGAUACUUGACAUGAACAAAGCGAUAGCGGCAAACUAAGUGAUAUGAUCAAAUGUUAUGCUUACGGUUAGGUCUUGUCCAUCAUAUCAUUCUCCUAAUGAUGUGAACCCAUUAUCAAAUGACAGCUCAUGUGUAUGGUUAGGAAACCUUAAUGAUCCUUGAUCAACGAGCUAGUCUAGUAGAGGCUCACUAGGGACACAGUGUUGUUUAUAUAUCCACACAUGUAUUUAAGUUUUCGGUCAAUACAAUUCUAGCAUGGAUAAUAAAUGUUUAUCAUGAACAAGGAAAUAUGAUAAUAACCAAUUUAGUAUUGCAUCUAGGGCAUAUUUCCAAUAGUACUACCGUGAUACCGAGCGGUACUACCGCAGAUCAUAGAAAAACUGUCGUGGCACUAAAAUUGCCAUAACUUUCACAUACGAGCUCCGAAUUGAGCAGACUCAAGCUUGUUGGAUAGAGUACAACAAGUACUAUCCAAAAGUGACAAUAGAAAAAUGAUGAACCAUCGAAAACUUGAUAGAAGAUUCGUAUGAACUUCGUUUUCGAUGAACCCAAGCUUGUCAUGAAGAUAACCAUAAGCACUAAGACCCACAAAGAUAAAAGCCAAACAAGAAUAAAGAAAGAUGAUGAUGCCAAUAAUGCAAUAGUUUGAUCUCUCUAUGAAUGAUAAGAUCAAGCUACUUACUUGAGAGCGCCCCUUGAAAGUACAACAAUCGAUCCUAUAACCCGGCCUCCCAACUACCACCAUGACAUCGCUAAAGUAGAAAAUGUAUCAAGGGCAAACAUUUGACUUGAGCAUAGUCCACUUGAUCUAGAUGAUGAUGAUCUUGUCCUCCUCAAGAUGGACGACAUUUCUUGAUUGCGUCGGCUCGAUGAAGACUAGUAGAUUGCUCCCUCAUAGUCCACUAUGGGUGAGAAAUCUACUAGUCUUCCAUCUUGGGUGAGCAAUACACUUCUUUCUUGAAGUCCAUUUCUUGGUUUCAAGGAGUUUAUGUGAUGACCAAGGUGGUAUUCUAGGAUUUAUCCAAAGAUUGGUCAUGUGAGAGUUGAGCUUAUUGCAAGCAUGUCUUAAAGAAGUGUAUUGUGUGAACAUUCAUGUUUACCUUCAAGACAUCAUCUUUAUAGAGAGAAGGUAAGUCUCAAGGUUGAUCAAGACUAAGUCAAAGAGUGGAUCAAGUUGAUCAACACACCAAGCGUACAUGAUGUACCAAGAGGGAUCAAGUGAUCCCAUGGUACGGUAAGCAUUGCCCAUUAUGCUUUGUGUACUAACCCAUGGUCUAUGUGAGAGUUCUGUGUGGGGUUAGGUAUGUGUCCAUGGGAUUGCGUCAAGAGGAAGAUCUCAUACAACCGAUGGAGGAUGCCAUAAAGUGGUGAUCUUCAUCAAGUUUGUGGUGUGCAAUUUCAAGUGGAGCUUCACGAAGAGAUCAUGCUUGAAACUUGUUGUCCAUUCUGGUGACAAUGGACUUGUGAAGAUGUGUCGGAGAGUGGCUCACUGAUACGUCUCCAACGCAUCUAUAAUUUUUUAUGGUUUCAUGCUAUUAUCUUGUCAAACUUUGGAUGUUUUGCAUGCUUUUUAUUUAUUUUCUGGGACUAACUUAUUAACUCAGUGCCAAGUGCGAGUUCCUGUUUUUUCCAUGUUUUUGACCCCUUUCAGAGAGAUUUUGAAACGGAGUCCAAACGGAAGAAAAUCCUCGAAAAUAUAUUUUUUGGAACGGAAGAAGAUCGGAGAACUUGGGAGACAAGCCAGAGGAGCUCCAGGGGCCCCACAAGCCCCCACCCCGCGGCCAGGGGGCGCGCCAUCCAGGCGUGUGGGCCUCGUGGAGGUCCCCUGACCUAGAUCUUUUGCCUAUAUAAUCACAUAAAUUCCAGAAAAAAUCAAGAGAUCAUCGCAAUCGCUUUCCGCCGCCGCAAGCUUCUGUCUCUGCAAGAUCCCAUCUGGGGCACAUCCCGGUGCCCUGCCGGAGGGGGGAUUCGGAUACGGAAGGCUUCUUCAUCAACACCAUGACCUCUUCGAUGAUGCGUGAGUAGUUCACCAUAGACCUACGGGUCCAUAGCUAGUAACUAGAUGGCUUCUUCUCUCUCUUGGAUCUUCAAUACAAAGUUCUCCAUGAUCUUCAUGGAGAUCUAUCCAAUGUAAUCUUCUUUUGCGAUGUGUUUGUCGAGAUCCGAUGAAUUGUGGAUUUAUGAUCAAAUUAUGUAUGAAUCUUAUUUGAGUUUCUUCUGAUCUCUCUUAUGCAUGAUUUCAUAUCCUUGUAAUUCUCUUUGAGUUGUGGGUUUUGUCUGGCCAACUAGAUCUAUGAUUCUUGCAAUGGGAGAAGUGCUUGGUUUUGGGUUCAUACCGUGCGGUGACCUCACCCAGUGACAGAAGGGGUAGCGAGGCACGCAUCGUGUUGUUGGCAUCAAGGGUUAAAUAUGGGGUUUUCAUCAUUGGUUUGAGAUUAUCCCUCUACAUAAUGGCAUCUUGCUUAAAGUGUUACUAUGUUCGUCAUGAACUCAAUACACUAGAUGCAUGCUAGAUAGCGGUCGAUGUGUGGAGUAAUAGUAGUAGAUGCAGAAAGUAUCGGUCUACUUGUCUCGGACGUGAUGCCUAUAUGCAUGAUCAUUGCCUUAGAUAUCGUCAUGACUUUGCGCGGUUCUAUCAAUUGCUCGACAGUAAUUUGUUCACCCACCGUGAUAUUUGCUAUUAUGAGAGAAGCCUCUAGUGAACACUAUGGCCCCUAGGGUCUACUCCACACCAUAUUUUCAGCCUUACACUUUUUAUUUCGUUGCACUUUCCGCCUUCAUAUCUCACUUUGCAAACAAUCUUGAAGGGAUUGACAACCCCUUUGAAGCGUUGGGUGCAAGCUUGUUUGUGUUUGCGCAAGUACUUUGGACUUGACGAGGCCCUCCUUCUGGAUCGAUACCUUGGUUCUCAAACUGAGGGAAAUACUUACUGCUCCUGUGCGGCAUCACCCUUUCCUCUUCAAGGAAAAACUGACACAGACCAGAAAAGUAACAAGAAGAAUUCCUAAGCGCCACAGAAGGACUUUUGUUGCUGCAUCACUCACCCAUAGUGGAGUAUGAGGGAGCAAUCUACUAGUCUUCAUCAAGUCGGCGCAAUCAAGAAAGGUGGUCCAUAUUAAGGAGGACAAGAUCGUCAUCAUCUAGCUCAAGCGGACUAUGUGCAAGGCAAAGGUUUGCCCUUGAUAGGUUUUCUAUUUUACUUGUCUCAUGAUGGUAGUUGGGAGACCGGUUUAUAGAAUCAAUUGUCGUGCUAUCAAGGGGGGAUCUCAAGUGAGUAGCUUGGUUGUAUCAUUCAUUGAGAUCUCAAACCAUUUGCAUCCUUGCAUCAUAUUUAUUGGAUCUUGUUUGGUGCUUCUCUUUGUGAGUUUUAGAGCUUAUGGUCAUCUACAUGAUAAGCUCAAGUUCAUCAAAAACAGACUUCAUAUGCAGCUUCUAUGAUGUUUUUGAAGUUGGAGUUUAUGUCGGUGCUUCUCUAGAUGGAGGUUUAAAUCCUCUAUAUCAUAGGCUUACUCCCCUUGCCUCUACUUAAUAUAACUAGCUUGAGAUUGCUCAAUUCGGAGCUCAUUUGCAGAAGUUAUGGCAGUUCUCUUGUUCAUGCAUUCAUCUGUUUCUUAUGUUCUGUUCGUGAAGGAAACAAGUGGUUGUACCAUGCUCGUCAGCGGUAGUACCGCCUACAGCCUAAGAGGUAGUACAACUCUGAGUAAGCGGUAUUACCGUCCCCGGGCAGUAGUACCACUACCCAAUACCGUGCGCUGUAUCGCUGCAGUGAAGUCUCAACUUUUCGUCUCGGACUAGGCGGUUGUUGUGACGGUAGUACAACGUGGUAGUAUCACCUAUAAGCGGUAGUACCGCCCGCCACUACCAAUUAUCUACCUCCUAACCUUCUAGACUCAGAACUCUCAGCGGAGCACUGCCGCCCGAGCGGUAGCACCACUUGUGUGCGGGCUGAGGGUAUAACAGUUGUAUUUUCCCCUCCUAUAAAAGGGGGUCUUCUUCCCCAAUGGAUUGUAUCCUUUGAGCUUGUGUGCCCCCCCCACCAUUGACCUUCUUCGACCUUGUUAUCUUGCAAUCCCUCUAAUGAUUCUUGUUAUUUAUUGAGGGAAAAGAGAGAGUAGAUCUAGAUCUACGUUUCCACGAAUCACUUUCUCCUCUAUGUGAGGGGAACCCCUUGGAUCUCGAUCUUGGAGUUCUUUGCGAGCUCCUUGUUCUUCCUCUCAUAUUCCUCCAUAGCUUUUGUUGUUGUGGUGGGAUUUGAGUGUGAGGGACCUGGCCACUUUGUGUGUUCUUUCCAUUGCAUUAGCUGCAUCGGUUUGAGUUCUCCAUGGUGAUACGUGGAAGUGAAGUUUGAGAAGAGCCUUCAAGGGCACCACUAGUGAAAUCACGGGAUCUUGAAUUGUGCGAGGGCGUGAGGAGAUUACGGGGCCUCUAGUUGUUUAUUAGGGAGCAUUGUGCCUACACACCGCUUCAAAUGGAGAUUAGCAUCCGCAAGGGUGUGAACUUAGUGUAACUUCUCGUCUCUGCUUGCCUCGGUUAUGUUUUACCCGAUUCCUUUACUUAUGCACUUUACUUUGUGAUAGCCAUAUUGUUUCUUGUUAUAUAUCUUGAUACCACUUAGUUGUUUAUCUUGCUUAGCAUAAGUUGUUGCUGCACAUAGGCGAGCCUAGUUGUUUUAGAUUUUGUGCUUGACUAAUUAAAUGCUAGUUUUGUUCUGCAUGUGUUCAAGCCUAAACCGUAAUUAUUUUAAAGUGCCUACUCACCCCACACCUCUAGGCGACAUCCACCUGCUUUCACUAUGGACAAAUCCUUCGAAUAUAACUCAAGUUAACCAUUAGUCCAUAGGGAUUGCCAUCAAUUACCAAAACUAAACAUGGGGGCACAUUGUUCUAACACACAUGCUCUCUCACACAUAAGCCUCAUAAUAUCCAUCCUCAAAACAACCACCAUACCUACCUAUCAUGGCAUUUGCAUAGACAUUCCGAGAUAUAUUAUCAUGCAACUUCCAUUGUUACUACACAUGACUUGAGAAUUCACUGUCAUAUUGCUUUGCUUGAUCAUAUAGAGAUGACAUAAUAUUUGUAGCAAAGCCACAAAUUCAUCAUUGUAAUACAUGUUACACUAAAGUAUAUUUCUAGUCAUCAUAGUUUUUAUAUUUUUGAGUUGUAAGUAAAAUAAAGUGUGAUUCAUUAUUAGGGUGCGUCCUACUUGUGAGCAUAAAAAAGAAAAAAAUAUGCUAGAGAGCCCAAAGGGGUGUAAAGAAAAAAUGAGAGAGGGUGCGCAUCACUGUCCUCUUACCACAUUUGUGCUUCAAAGUAGCACUUCCACUUUGCAUCUUAUAUAGAGAGUCCUCAUGAUCUUCAUUUUCAUAUACCAGUGGGAAUUUUACAUUAUAGAAUUUGACUUGCAUAUUCUGAUGACAAGCUUCCUCAAAUGCUCGAGGCCUUCAUAAGCAAGUAAAUUGGAUGCAAACCCACUUAGUUUCAUAUAGAAAGUGUUCAUACAGUUGAAUCUCUAGUGCAUCGUUUGCAUGGCAAGCCCUGCCCCCCUCAUCAACAUCAAUUUUAAGGCAUCUCCAUUGUCUCAAUGAUUAAGCCUCAUUAAUGUGAGACUUUUUUAUACAUUUUGUCUUUCCUUAUAAACCCCUAUCAUCAUUCUCUUUGCCAUACUAAGUGUUAAAGACCUUGGCUCACGCUCAAGUAUUGUGAGAAAGUUUAAAAGGUUGAAGCGAGAAAAGGUAUGAUUUAAUUGCUUGGUUUGACACCAGGGUUGUUCUUAAUUUGAUACCUCUAUACUAGGAAGACUAAGAGUGACAUGUAUUUCGUGAUUAAGUGUGUAUAGAUCAUUUUCUUUAGCUUCAUUAUUUUGAAAGGCAAUGAUUAUCCAUUUGCAUGUUUAUGUAUUACUGUUUGGAUGUUAAAUUGAUAUAGUAUUGCCUUGAAUCGUUCGUAUCCCGAUAUCCAUACCAUGGUUACAUCAAUUGAUCAAGGACAUGUUAGGUAGCAUUCAUCAUAAAAAAUUGUUUUUGUUAUCAUUUACCUACUUGAGGACGAGUAGCAAUUGAGCUUGGGGAUGAUGGUACAUCUCCAACUUAUCAAAGCUUUCUUUGGCUUUGCUUAACCAUACUAAAAUCAAACCUUAUCAAAAUCUAGAAUAUGAUGGGUGUAAUAUAUAUGUCGAACACGUCUGAGAUUAAACCACUUUAAUAUAUAUGUCAUUGUUGGAACGCACAAUCAAUUAGCUAGUACAUACAAUUAAAGGGAGUUGGUACGUUUACCUCACCUCCUGUCGCAUCCCCAUACGUCAGUUUCCCUGCAUUAACUCAAUCAACUCAAAUCAAAUCUUACCAAAAACUCAACUAAUUAAAAUGUUUCGUCCCUUCCUACCAGCACCCAAAUCAAAUCAAAUCUUAUGAGAAACCUCUACUAAAUCAGAACUCUCGUUGCCUUUCCAUACCCAUAUUCAAAUCAGAUCAAAUAUUACCAAUAUCUAGAAUAUGGUGGAUUUAAGGUAAAUACCAUACAUGAUUGGUGAUGAACCAUUAGAAUAUGUAUGUCCUGUUGCAACACACUAACAAUUAGCUCGUAACUGAAAUAGGAAGGGUUACAAUUAAUUUUAAUACAAUACGUGAUGAAGGUGGGAAUCUAUCUCCUCCAAUCCUAUGUGGAUUGUUUGGCGCAUCGAUGGGUUGCUUCAUUAUCUUUCCUUUGCACAAAACACAACACACACCUAGUAAACCCUCCCAUGGGCUCUUUGAUUUUGUGGCAAAUGGUUGCAAUAACUGAUUCAUGUGAAUCACCAAAGUUGAAAAUUGUGACCACAUCAUCAGCAUCACGUUCCACGCAUAUCCUUCUGUAUCCCAUAUCUCUAGCAAGUAGUAGGCCGUAUAUGAUGUUAUAUACCUCCAUAACCUGAACACAAGCAAUGAUCGGUACUAGAUAGCAUGCACCCUUAUUAAUUUUCCUUCAAGGUGUUUGAUCACAAGGCCAAGGAACUCUUGCCCUUUCAUUAAUCCCUUGCACAUCUGUUAUUUACAUGGCAAGUCAUGCGUCUUUUUUCCCUUGGAUCUGUUCUUACUUUUGUUUUUGAUAUUUUAACAUGAUAAGAUCAAUGACAUCCAUAAUUUGGUUACUUUCCUUUUUAUAAACAUCAAACAUAUAAAUAAGUGUUGGUGUUUGACAAGGUUGCCUUAGGGAGAAAAAUGCAAAAUGUGAAUUUAUAGGAGGCAAAAAUACUCUUAUUUCUCUCAUCUAAUCACCCCUAAAAAGUCUUCACAAUUGUGUCCAAACUUUGUUGUGGGGUGGCGGAAGGGGAGGUGGCCCGUGUCGACAUGUGACUAGGUACACAUGUAUGCUUUUGUAGCUUUCGAGUGGUUCAUGCAAGUUCACUAAGGAUCAAAGUUGCUAAGUAAGAUCAUAAACAACGACCAAACUACAAAAACGAUUGAUUGAUUACAAACUUAUUUGAUAGGAGUGUCCUUACCACAACUUUUUUAUCUAUCAGGAUGACAAAUGAAAAUGAAUACUACGAAAAAUACUACAAUCACCAUCUCAAAAUGCCCUGUGUUUUAUUACAAUCAUUAUUGUAGUUUUUAAAGAUGGUGGUAUUUAAUGACAACAACAAAUGCUAAAGUUUAGUGACAUUCUAGUGUUUACAAUAAUUUGCAUUGAAAAUGAAUCCCAAGUUUGGUCUUUGUAGUGUGGUCCUCGUUCACAACUCCAAAAAUAUGUUUAUCUAAUUUCAUUUAGUUUGGCGUUAGAUAGAGGCUAACUGUUUUGAUACCAGUUUGGCAUUGUCAACAUUUGACAGAAUCAGAUGUUGUAAAAAAUGGCAACUUUUUUUAUAGAUUCACAAGAAUCAAUUGGCAGCCAACCAAUUGAUAGCCAAUUUUCUUAUACUUACCAAAAGUUGGAAUGCCAAAUAUUGGCAUCAAACGAGUUAGACAUGUAGAUCCAAAAGUCUCAAUAGCAAAGAACAUGAUUUCAUUUUUUCUCAUUGCCUUUUCCCACAAGUCAACUCUCAUUGUUUGGAGGACCAAUUUUCUAAUUAUUUUGUGUGUGUGUGUGUGUGUUUUAUGUGUGGACUUCGAUGAUCUUAGGUUAUAUACAGAUACACGUAAAGCCUACUCAUCUUAUAGUUAUUUAAAAGAUACCAUUUGAUAAAUUGUCGUUCAAAUUGGCGAUGGCAUGUAGCUUCCUUCUCUCUAAAUCCAUAUUUUAGAGAUUAGUAGUAUAGUUUACCCGUAUGGUAAUAAUAAUUUAACAUAAGAUUUCAUCUUGAACAUCCAAAACAUUUUAUAUUUAAGAACCGAGGUGGGAAGACAUCUCAUCAAUUUGGUAGUGCCUUUGGCCUUGGUGUCGAGUACUUGCCGAUGUGACUAUCAAACGAUCAAUCUUCAAGAGCUGAUUGAAACAUUGUUUCAUGUUUAGAGUGAAAACUAAUGUUUCAACUUUUAUUGAUUGGGCGCGACGAACUUGCAUCAUUAUCUUAUCGAAGGCGUUAUCUACUAUUGUCGUACUAGUUUCGUUGACUGGUCUCGGUACGAGGAUGAAAACCCCUGUCUAGGCCAUAUAUGGUCGGAUGUGAAGAUGAUGACGCAUAUUUUUUUGAAGGUAUUUCUACGGAAGAAGUCGAUUUAGUCGUAGUUGUUUAUUUUAUAUCUGUUGAGGCACUGGUUACUUUUAGUCUACACUCUACUAAAUAAUUCAUAAAAAUGGAUGUGUACAUCGCUCGAUGCAUAGGUUGAAGAUUAUCCAUAUAAACAUGUGGAAUUAUUUGGAUUUUUUGAAACUUCAAAAUACCAUUUAAACACUAUUUAGAAUAUAGGACCCCAAUGCUUCGGUCCACCAAAGUGACUUUUUGUACUCCCUCCGUUUCUAAGUAUAAGUCUUUCUAGAGAUUUUAGUAGUAAACUAUAUAUGGAUGUAUAUAAACAUAUUUUAAAGUGUAGAUUCAAUUAUUUUGCUUCGUACGUAGUCCUCUAGUAAAAUCGCUUAAGAGAUUUAUAUUUAGGAACGGAGGGAGUACUACUUUUACGAUUUGGCAUGUCAGAGUCGUGAUGUUUUUACUACUUUUGUACAACUUUUACGAUUUUAUUUUUUGUACUACAUAUAGGACUCCAAAGUUUUGGAUUAAUUCUCUUUGGAGGAAUAGAUCCGCCUAGUGUCAAUCACCAACUUAGUUCCUUCAACGUCAAUUUUUGUAUGCUGGCACAAGGAAGUUUCCGCGUACGUAUAUAACGCAGAACAAUUUAGCAACGCGUGCAGUGGACAUCAAAGUGGAGAUGAUGCCUUCCACAAGAUACAAAACUCAGUACUUUUUUUUUUAUCAAUACAAAACUCAGUACUUGUCACCGUGGAAGAUCAAAAUGCCUUGUCAUGAAAUGAUUAAAUAGUGGAGGGCGCAGAUGCGCGAGCAUAAAAAGGGAAAAGGUAUAUGAAGUGCUGGAAAGUUUUGGGAGUACUGGAUGUCCCGAUAGGGCACCACCAUGCGGACGUGGUUGCUUUGACAAAUGAAGAAAAGACAUGCUCACGCCAAGAGGAUUGAAGCACUCCGGGCGCUCUAGAAAUAGGCCAUUGCUCCGUUUUACAAAUAAAGCACUUGAGAUGCUCCAUUCCCAUAUAUGAGUGAUUACUUCUAAAAACAAAUCAUGAAAUUAAAAAAAAAACACUAAAAUUUUAAGAUAUUAUUCCUGCGUGUUCAAUCUACUUCCUGGUUAAGUUUCGUGGAAAAAUAUCAGCAAACGUAUUCUCAAAAAAAAGGCUUUUUUUUAAUUCGUGAACUUUGAAGGAAGGCGGUUGGUUCUUUCCGUGAACCUGUAAAUUUAUAUUCCUGUGCAAGUGGUCUUCGAAGAUUCUACCUUAAAGUAUGCAUAGGUUUUGGGAAUUUCGAACUGUUUUUUAUUUCUUUUUUCCAAUCUUUUUUUAAUCCAUUUGUGGGUUCAAUUUUCUUUUUUAUUUUUAUUUUUCCAUUCUUUUUCGAAUUCAUGAAUUCUAUUUUUAAUCUUUCCAGUUUUAGUGUACUGACAUUUUUUACAUGUCAUGAUGUUUUUUAAAAUGAUUGUGCAAUCAUUUAUUUUAAUUUUAAAACAUUUAAGUGUUAUGAAUAUAUAUUUAAAAUGGCACAUGUAUUUUAUUUUGUAUGCCAUGAGCAUUCUUAGAAACUUCUACUAACAAGUUUGUACUUUUCAUGAAUAUUAUUUUUAAAUACACAUAACACUUACAAAAGUUGAACAUCUAAUAUUAUUAAACACGCAUUGAGUAUUUCUAAUACAUGUUGAACAUUUUUCAUAUACACGUUGAAAUUUUCUAAAAUAAAAUUUUAGCAUUAUUAUAAUCCAUUCUUUAAAAUUAUAUUUUCCACGAGACAUUCCUAAAGCAUAUGCACUAUUUUUUAUAAGGAACGGGCAUGAUUUAUAUGACAUUGUAUUUUUAGAAAGUAUCAAACAUAGUUCACUUUUUUAAAUUUCAUGGACAAUGGCAUAAAAUUCACUUUUUUGUGGAAUGAUACGAACAUUUUUAUAAAUGCAUGAACAUUUAUUAAAUGUUAUUUUUUUAAGAUGGGUGGACAAAUUUGUAAAUAAAUAUUAGCAUUUUUAAUAUAUAUUUUUUAUAUAAUUUAUAAAAAAUAUUAAGAAUGAAAAUAAUUGAGAGGAAAAUGUAUGUAGAUGCGUUAGAUCCGGCCAGAUGCAUGCCUGACUCGUGGGAUGGCCUAGCCCAUCUAACUAGGCGUUGGAGAUGAGGAGAUCUUGUGUCUUGCAAUAAACGAGAUAAAAAGUUCAACUAGCCCCCCUAUUGGAGGUGAGGAUAUCCUCUAGGCAUCGCCAUCGGAGCCCACAUAAACCUGUCAUCUCAUUCGAACGAGAAUCCUGUCAAUUUUGAGUGUGCAGGGGUGCUAACAUAGCGGAUCUCGCAAAGUUAAGAGACGGGGCAGGAAUAGAGGUAGGUAUAUGUGGAGCUCUUGCUUGUGUUUUUCAGUUUUAUUUUUGGGGUUUUGCAUGUUUUUUCUAUGUUUUUGUGAGCUUUUUUUAAAUUUAUGUGUUUCUUCGCGUGAAACAGCCAGUGUGAUUUUUUUCUUUUUCAAUAUUAAAUUUCCAAAGACACGCUGACCUUUUUUUCAUACAUGUUGUACAUUUUCUGUAUACAUGUGGAAGAUUUAUUGUUAGAUGGUAAAGAUCUUUCAAAUACAUAAUGAAUUAUUAUUUUUGAAUAUAUGUUAAACAUUUUUCAAGUAUACGCUUACCAGCUUUUUGAAUGGUAUGAAACUGUUUUUAAAACUACGUGAAUAUUCUUCCUUACAUUGAAUAUCAUGUUUUAGAAAUAUAGCAAACAUAUUUUUGGACCACAUGAAUAUUUAUUUCAAAUAUCACGAACGUUGUUUUGAAUGGUACUAAUAUUACGUGCUUUCUUACAUUUUAUAAACACUAGCAAAAGAGCCCGUGCGUUGCAAUGGAAGCAAACCAUACAACACGUCUUAACCUAAUAAUCAUGACUUGAGAUCUUUAUUUAAACUUACUGCAUAAAUAGAAUUUAAAGAAUGUUAAAUAAGUAAAAUAACAUCAUAUUUAGAUUAUACACAUCACUAUAGAUUCAAAUUACAUUAUAACUAGAAAUUUAAAAAUUAAAUAGGUAAGAUAUAUUAGAUUUCGAUUCAACACAUUUUUUGAAUGAAAGUUCAUAUGUAAUAAUUUAAAAUUAGAGUUACAGUUUAGAAGAUAUAAUUGUUUAUAGUAUUUGUUAAUUAUAAUUGGACCACGGAUUAAUUAACAACAUGGAUCGGCCUCGUUAUGAAAAAUGGAUUGUACGCUAUUGAUUAAAAUUACAGCAUAAAUAUUAUUUAAAAAUUAUUAAAUAAAUAAAAUUAUAUUAUAUUUAAAUUGUGCGCAUCACUAUUGAUUUAAACUACAUUAUAAACAGAAUUUUAAAAAAUUAAUAGAUAAACUAACAUUAUAUUCAGAUUUUACAUAUUUUUCUAAUAAAAUUUCAUAUAUAAUAAUGUAAAAUUGGAGUUACUGUUUAAAAGAUAUAUUUUUUUAAAGUAUUUUGCACUUAUAAUUUAACUACAGAUUAAUUAAUUUAAAAUUGUAGGAGUGUUUUCGAAAACAUACGGAAAAUGAUUGGUUUUUUUUACUCAAGUAUGUACUGCGGGUUUAUUUUAUGAAACUAAAGGAGGUUUCUACAAAAAAUUCAGAAAACGAUUCGUUCUCUCACUGUGUUAUGUACUGCGGGUUGAUUUCGAAAAAGCACAUGGGGUUUCCUGUAAAAACGAAAAAAACGAUUCAUCUCUCACUUAAAUCUGGACUGUGGGUUGAUUUUGGGAAACUUCAAGUUUUUUUUUGCAAAACGACCAUGACAGACGGAAGAAGCACUGCGUACUUUAUUAUUAGGGAGAGAUUUGAUAAAUGUAAUGGACAAUUAUUUGUACUACUUGAACAUUUUUCCUAUUUCAUGAACAUAUUUUUGAAAGAUACAAACAUAUCUUAAAAACUAGGUGAACAUCAUUUUUAUAUUGUAGUAACCUUUUAUUAAAGAUAGGGUCAAUGAUUUUUAAAACUUUAAGUAAAGUCAUCAAUUUUCUGUACAAACUUAAAUCAUUUCAGAAUAUAAACAAAAGUAAGAAAUAAAAAAAACAUGAAGAACAAAACACACAGCUUGGGACGCAAGUUUCAUGAUGAUGGGUCUGGCCCACUUAGGCCUGCGCACGCCUGUCGACUCGCUACAUGCAAAAGAAAGAUUCACCACGGCGUACCGUCCGACUCCCACACAGGAUGCUCUGCUCGGGACUGUGUCCGGUGAACCGGUGCAACUGGUGCUACCGGUGCACCAGACCACCGUUACAUAUUUUAAAAUAUUCGAAAAAAUCCAACAAAAAUUUAAUGCAUUGACACAACAUUAAUAUACGCUGUCACAAAAUUCAAAACAAUAUUCGAAACAUCACUUGAGAUAGAAAAAUAACAAAUUCGAUACUAAAUAAUACAUAACACAAGUUGGGCUCCAGGUUUGGCCCAUUAGUACAUUGAUGCCGAAUUUGUCAUUUUUAUAUCUUGAGCAAUGUUAAUAAUUUUGAUUUGAUUUUUUUGUGACAACAUACAAUGAUGUUAUGUAGAUGCAUUGAUUUUUUUCGAAACUUUUCAAACAUCUUAAAAUGUGUAAUGAUGGUCUGGUGCACCGGUAGCACCAAUUGCCCCGGUACACCAGAUACAUCCCCUGCUUUGAUUGGACCGACCAUGACAACAAUAUUGUAGCUGGAUAAAUUUGUCUUAUAUUUUUUGGUAGCGGACCGACUACAACAACUAUUAGAAUACUGUAGCUGGAUAAAUUUUGUAGCAGACCGACUACAAUAGCUUUUCUUAUAUUUUUUUAAACUAGCAUAUGCAUGUGCGUUGCAAAGGAAUAAUCGAAUGUGUAAAAUGUAAAAGUCAGGAUGUAUGGAUAAAAUAGAGUUAAAAAAACUUGCGAGAAUUUUUGAGCCCAAAACUUUUGCCGGCAUGUCUUCUAGUGUGGUGGUGCUCUCUGUAGUUUUUCUUAUUCAUCUAUAAUAAAUAGUCUUCCAUUUCAGUGAGGACAUACACAUGAGAUGGUAUUGGCAACUCCUUUUUUUACUGCGUUCUUCCUUCAUCGAGUAGCUCAGCCAGUCAGCCUCUCGAUCUUCCCAAUCCAAGCUCGCCACAGCUUAAAUAAAAACGACACAAAUAAAUAAGUACUCCCUCUAUAAACUAAAAUAAGACUGUUUAGAUUAUUAAAAUAGUAUUUUAAAUGCUUUUCUAUUAAUUUACGGAAGAAGUAUUUGCUAACUCCUAUAUCUGCAGAUGUAGUAACUGAGCCAGGGACGGAGCCAGGAAUUUGGUAUAGGGGGGGGCGAGUUCCACAAUUUAAAAGUGUGCAAAAGGCAUAAGUCUGAACUCAUGCUUUCACUGGUGUAAACACUACAAAAGUACUAGAUUUUUUUAAUUUUUUUCAAUACAAAAUGCUUCUCAAGUUAGCUAUAUAGAAAAUUUUAGUGUAUGGUACUAGAACUACGUGAUUCCAAAUCAAAUAGUACUAGAACUUUUAGACAAAAAAAACUACGAUUUGAAUCUAAGGAUAAUUGUGACAGUGGACUUAUCAUAUAGGAAUAUUAUAGGAUGUGGUACGUCGUCAGAUCCCUGGUCGUUCUUGGUGGUGGUGCUUUCCCUAAUCCUGUAUAUGUUGGGUGACCGUGAUAUGAUAGAUUGGGGAUUGCAGGCCUCAAGCUUUGGACGUAAAUAGCACAUAAGCAACUCCUUUUCAGUGUUCUCUUCCUCUUCAUAUCCAUACAAACAUAACUAAACAAUCAAGAAAUUCCUAAUUAACUUGUAAUCCUUGUAGGAUUUUAAUGGUACAGCCGUAAAGAUUUAAACGAAAUAAAAAGAAAGAGAUGAAGCAAUAGAGUAAGGGUUAACCUGAACCUAUGCAGUCAUGCUAAACCUCAAUCAGCCCUGAUCUUUGCUUGGAGGCAGGGGAAAAUUUCUCCCGGCGGCUGUAGGCGGAGACUCAAGCGGAUGAUGGAUAGAAACAUUGCACGAAGCCACGAUCUGGGUGAUGCUGCGGUCAAAUCUAUUGAUCGAGCUGUCAGGAAACAAAUGGGCUGUGUGCGUGCUUCUACUGGGUUUCACGUUUGACAGUGGGCCCUUUUUACUUUCCUAGGUUUUAGUUGUACAUGGGCUGGGGAUGGGUCCCUUAGGAGCUUCACUUUGUAUCCGCUAAAAAAACAUGGGGGGGGGGGGCAGAUCGAGCAAAAAGGAAUCGCUAAUUGCGAUCUGCCUAAUAGUUAACACUGGGCAACGUGAUCGUUGGGGGGGGGGAGGUGGUCUCUUCCCCCCUUGGAUCCGUGCCUGAACUGAGCUAGGCCCACAACACCGCUACUUAUUUGUGUGUGAUAAUGUGAAAGACAAUAAAACAUCGGAAAUUGUUUUUUGGAGCUGGGCCUCUAUGGUGGCCUUUAAAUUUGAAAUCCAAAAUACAUUAAAAUUCAUAUUUUUACAUUUCAAAUUUUUAAGGAAAAUACAGAGAUAAGUCAAUGCGUAACACACAUGUAUGUAAAUUUUUAGAAAAAAAACGUUCAAAUGAGGUCUGUACAGAAAAGACAAAUCCACAGCUUUUUAACACAUGAUACUAUUUAUAGUCCCAGGUCAUGAAUUUGUCUAUUUUGUGCAGAUCGUAUUUUAAGGUAAUUCAUUCUUAAACUCUACACACAUACACAUAACAUCCUUCUUUACUUGCAUAUUUUUUCAGAUUCUUUUGAAACCAAAAAAGAUUGAAAUUUGAUUUUUUCAAAAAUUUCAAGCUCCAUGGAGCUCGGCCUCCAAACGUCCAUUCUCAUAAAACUUGGUCUAUAAAACUAUACUCUCCUCUAUGUCUACACAUUCCUUUAUACAUAGUUCUCUUUCUCUCUCUCCUUUUAUAAUCCCACUACAAAGUAAUUUAGCAGCAGCAUUACGCGCACACACACUCCCCUUAAAGACACACACACGCAUGCACACACAGCCAGCAAUUUAGCAGCAGCACACACACAUGGAUAUUCUUUUUUCCAGUGUUCAUCUGGUCAACCAGGGACGCUCACGUCAGCGUGAACCCGCACCAAUGCAGUCGUGUGUGAUCGAUUGCUAGGCUGUCUAUUCCAUCCAGUCGAUAGAUACAUCAUUCCCUGAAAAAGAAGUUGGGCAUCUCUGGGAUCACAACCCUGUAACGAACAUUUGUUUUGUACUAUUUGAACAUUUUUCAGUUUCAUGAACAUAUUUUUGAAUGACAAGAACAUACUUUAAAAACUGCACCAACAAUAUUCCUAUACUGUAGUAACAUUUUAAAAAUAUGCGGUCAAUGGUUUUUAAAAUUUUAAGUAAAUCCAAUUUUUUAUACAUAUUUAAAUUAUUUCAGAAUAUAAGUAAAAGUAAGAAAACAAAAAAAAAACUUGAGGAGCAAAUACCAGCUUAUGACACUCGUCUUUUGCUGUUGGCCCAGGACCAUUUACGCUGGCGCGCGCCUAUUUGUCUCUCGUAUUCAAAAAUGUGCAUACAUUCCAAAACAAAUGCUCGCUAAUUCAAAAUUAAUGGAUGAACAUUUUUUGAACUUGAUGAAUUUUUCUACUCAAGAACAUCUUUCACUCAUUUAAAAUUAUUUGAUUAACAAAUUUUGCAUUCGAUGAACAUUUUUGAAAACGUUUGUGUCCAAAUUUUGAAUUUGAUGAACAUUUUAAAAAACUUACGCACCAAUUUAGAUUUUGACGAACAUUUUUUUAAUAUUAGAAUUUUUUUAAUAUGAUGAACAAUUUCUAAAUUCUAUGAACAAAAUUUAAAUCCGAUCAAAAAAAUUACGUGGUUGAUUUUUUUAAUCUGAUGAACAGAAUAAUGUUCGCGAAUUUUCAAAUAAAGAUUGAAUAAGUAAACAAUAAAAGUAUGAAAAAACUGAAAUGAUAAAAAAGAAAAUAAUAAAAGAAAGCGGGAACAACAAAAAGUCAAAAAAGAAACCCAGGUUGAGAGAUGGUUCAUACUGUAGAUUCCAGCGCGCCAGGGGGUUGCGCGCACGGUGGCUCUGUGCUGCCUUACGCGCCGUAUAGGAGCCACCGUUACUCGCCACUACAGCCGGCCUGCGACACGGCGAGUGCUUCGACUGGACCAGCUAUCAGACUACUGUAGCUAGAUAGCUUUGCAGCGGACUGACUACGCGCUUCUUUAACAUUCCUUUUUCCGCGGAAAAACCCUAAAAAAUUGUUUUUAAAAAGUGCUUCGUUUUUUGAAAUUUUGAUUUUUUUUACAAAACACUGAUAUUAUUAAAAUUUGUGAAUAUAUUUUGGAAAACACGAAAACAUCUUGUAAUUUUUCUUGGAAAGCGCGCUUUUCUGAAAAAUGUGAAUAGUUAUUUCAAAAAAAAUCGAAAACUAAUAAAAUUACAUUUUCUUUAAAAUUAAAUUAUUUCAUCGAAAAAUGAACAAAUAUUAUUUUUUGAACAUUUUUUCAAAACACAAAAAAUGUAUAAAAUUUUCAUUUUCUAAAAGCACAAACAAUUUAGAAAUUUGUAAAAAAAAUAAAAUAUAGAAAAAAGUUAGAAAUGGAAAAAACACAAAAAUAAAUACCAUACAAAAAAACUAUGGAGAUAGAAAACUGGUUGACAAACCAUGAUCCCUCAGCAUGUAACUAGCUCUAAAUGGGACAACCGAUCUAAAGUCUGUUACCCUAUAAAAACGGAACCUUAGCUCAAAAAAUUAAUAAUAUACAGAAAUAGAUCCUGAUAAGUACCUAACGUGUGGCACAGACACAUGAUAAUUCUGAAUAUGUUUUAGGGCAAGUUUGUGACGUGGGAAUGACAACUUUAAUUAUACAAAAUGGCAAUCAGGAUUGAAGUGCCACGCACGUGAUGUGGGACACUUAUCAUUUCCUGUCUUCUUUUGAGAAAAGACGUUUUUUAUUAACUUAAAAUGUAAUAUUGAGUGAAUACAAAGUAUAAAGAGUGACAUUCGAUUUUUAAAAUGCACACAACCAUCAAACCAAUAGCCUAACAAAUAAUAUAAAAACGAUAAAGUGGCAAUAGUAAAUUCAAAUUAGGCCGAACUAUGGCCAUGUCGACGGAGAUUAUGCUGUCACCCACGUUGGGUAAAAAACCUUCUUGACCAUCCGCUCCAAUUGCAUACACACCACUAAACAGCGAUUGUCGAUUGAUACUCCGUUCGAUGCAGAGUAAACCAGGUAAGAAGUCAAUGUGUACAAUGAUAAAUAAUGUGCAUAGGAGAAGAUAUUUUGCCAUUAAAAACAUAAUAAGUUUUACGUAGCCAAAACGACAUAGUGAGGCACAUGCUCCCACCUGUAUUAGUGUGCUAAAUGUGUUUGGUAUUUCAUCAAACCAGUGAUCAUAUACAUUAACACCACUUGUUGGUGGAUAUAAAUUUGACACUCAUCAUUUGGGCACUCGCAGAAAGAAAAGAAAAAAAGAAACUCCUGAUUUGAGGAAAAAAGAUUCUAACAUUUGCUCGUGACUCGCCCGAAUCCUCAACAAUAUUAGGCCGUAGAAGCGUUAAAUUGGGACUAUUAAAGGGGAAAUGAUUAUAAUCAAUUGACGUUUCGUCACUUGUGUAGCCGUCAGAUUCAAAUUUCAUCGGACCAUGCACGACAUACAUAUUAGUGCAACACAAUAGGUGUUACAAACCACGGGAUUACAACACACUAAAUAUUGUGAAACUCUCGAGUCUUCUGUCUAUAUCGUAUCCGGAGUCACGACACCAAUUCUCUUGACUCAAUUCAAGGGUGACGCGUGCCUCUGCUGCUUUAAUAUUUUUUCGCAACAUCAUCUAUGUUGUAGAAGUCUUUUCGUAACAACAUCGAAGUUGCAAAAAAUUGAAGGCCAAAAAAUAUUCCGUAACAUCAUCUGUGUUGAAUAAAUCGUUUCGCAAACACACCCACAUUAUAAAAAAAUAAAACAAAGAAAUAAUAACUCCGUAACAGAAUAUGUGUUGUAAGUGUUUCUGCAACAUGUGAUAUACUCCCUCCGUUCCUAAAUAUAAGUCUUUCUACAGGUUCAACUAAUGGACUACAUACGGAUGUAUAUAGACAUACUUUAGAAUAUAGAUUUAUUUAUUUUGCUUCGUAUGUAGACACCUAGUGAAAUAUCUUAAAAGACUUAUAUUUAGCUACGGAGGGAGUAUUACAUAGAAGGAUUCAUGUCUUUGUUGUAAUAGUGAGGAAAAAUACAUGUCACUGAAGCACAGAUUUUUUUUAGAAGAUCCGCCCUCGCGGGAUCCUCUGCUCAAGCUUCUGCUCGACGCGGCCGCAGGUGGCGCCCGGGAGGACGACGCCGAUGGGUUGGAGAAUGACCGGGCAACCAGCAGCCGUAAACCACAGCUCCCGAACGUGCAACCGAAACAUGACAUCAAAUCGGCAGCUUUGCACCACCUUCCCUGCUGAUUCCCAUCACAAAUACAGUAUAUCCGUGGAUGAAUUUAUAAUAUGGCGACGAGUUACCGGACCGCCGUCAAAUCAGCCAUGGUCGGGGCGACCCCGACUGCACCAGAAAGGUUUCUAGAAGAGAUCGACGAGCACGGCAACUGCAGCCUGCAGGUGAGCAUCGGCAUGGCGACCCGGAAGGCCGUCAAGGAUCGCGUCGGCGUCACCGUCGGCACUUGCCAUCACCACGGACGGUUAAACAAACCUGAGGCUUUCGGGCGUCGAGCGUGGUUGCCCCUCGACUCCACAACGAAGGUUAUUGCACGCCGUCGUACGAUUUUGAUGGAUAAUUGGUGAGCUUGCUGGCGAAACAUGAUGAUUGCCUAGGAUUAUGCUACUUCGGUCUACUCCUGAACCGGGUUCACUCGAGCAUGUAGUGACUAGUUCAAUCCUAUAAACAGUUAAUUUUCGGUUGAUACUAAUAGAAGUGUGAGCACGAUCUUUUCAAUCUUUUUUUACUUGCACGAAGCAGUGAUUUAGAAAUACUUAUUUUCCUUUCUAUUUAAAAAACGGAUCCAUAUAUCUAUAUAAAGGUUUAUAGGAAGUAACUAGGCAGCAAGCCUGGUAAGCUAUCUCAAAAAGGUUUAUAGAAAGUACAAAGCACAUUAAACAUGAUAAAAAAAAUACAUUGAGGACCCUACACCAUGGAACGACCAUUGUCGUCGUCAUAACAAGCUAACAACGUGUCCCUCUUGUCGCUUCCAUAUCAGAGUCGUACUACAUGAAUCAGUUUCUUUGCCGUCUACCAUAGCGGACGUCAAAGGUCUUUGUCGUCCGUUGGUAGAUUGCAAAUUUUUCAGCACUGAAAGUCACGGUAAAGACCUUCUUUACCGUUUGCUUGGAGGAAGCGGACAAAGAUCUUUGCCGUCUGAUACGAGUGCUAGAAGUGCAACAAGUGGUGUAGUAGCUCAUGAUGAUGCAAGAAACUUGUUCGUCUGAUACCAAGGGAUUUUGUCCCUUAUGCAAUCGAACUCCUUGCACUUCGGGAUGCGAUGGUGUUGGCUACAGAGAAAAGCUGGCAUAGGGUGAUCGUUGAAACAGACUGUCGAGUGGUUCAUGGUGAUUGGAAAAAGCUGAAAAGUGGUCGGACGAAGGGCAUGUCAUCCUAGAGAUACAUUCAUAUCUCUCACACUUUCAGGAAUUCAAGAUUCACUAUGCUUGAAGAGAAGCCAAUGAGGUUGCUCAUCGGGGUGUGAAAGGAGGUCUUUGUGUGUCUUCGAAUGUAAAUCACUUUCAUGUAAUUCUUGACUUUCUAAUUCCGUAUGUGUAAUUAUAUUUUCUCCGUCUAAACGAAUGAAUAAAGAGCCUUAAGAGCGGAUUGCAAAUAAAAUAAAAUAGUGGAGAUAGCAUGACUAUUCAACAUUUGUACGAACGAACUAUAAUCUCAGUACAUAAGAGCAACUCCAGCCAGGCGACCCAUUUCGUUUGAGAAUGUCCGUUUAUGUUGCCCAAGACACAAAACUCGGUCUAAUGUGACGAUCCAAACAAACGUGUGUCCGUUUUUUAUCCGCCCGCGACCCAUUCUAAGCCCAAAUUCGGGUCGCAUUUGGUUCGGCAUGGAUACAUGACGAACGCGUGGGACACCCGCCCUUCCCCCUCACCCGCGAGUCGAUGGCACACAGGCCAGUCUGCUCUUUCUCCCAUCGCGUCCGACUCACCUCGCCGCCCCACCACCCGUCGCUACCGUCCAAUUCCGCCGACGUCGCCAGCCUUCCAUCCAUAGAGAGGUCACCCUCCCGACCGCCUCAUCUGCCGGCGUCGCCACCCAGUUCCUACCUUGUCCCGAUGGGGCGUGAGGCUCUUCACCGGCUGGCUUCUUUCAGGAUGCCCGCAAGUUGUUUCGUCCAUUUGCCCGCAAGGUACAAAUGGAUUUUGAUGACGAGUUCUUUUUCUACAACGUUCUUUGCAAUUCAGGUGAUUCUUGAUCCAAUGAUGAGGAUAGCAGAAGGCAAUUGCCUGGAGGUCAAUGUUGAGAUCAAUGGCCACAACUACAACAAUGGAUACUAUCUAGCUAACGGUAUCUAUCCACAAUGGACUAUUCUUGUCAAGACAAUCCCCAACCCUCUAGGAGAGAAGAGAAAGAGAUUUUCCCAAGAGCAAAAGAGUGCUAGGAAGGAUGUUGAGCGUGCCUUUGGUGUUAUGCAAUCUCGAUGAAGCAUUGUUCGGUAUCCUGCAAGAACUUGGAGCAUCCAAUAGCUUUGAGAGGUGAUGAAUUCUUGUGUGAUCACGCACAACAUGAUCAUAGAGAAUGAGCACCCAGAACGUCUCUAUGAUCAAGGAUUUGAGUUUAAGAGUGACAAUGUUGUGCGUGAGCAUGAAGAAGCGACAACGUUUGCACAGUUUAUACAGUUUCAUCAACAGAUGCGUGAUUGAAAAACUCACAUGUAGCUGCAAAAUGAUUUAGUUGAACAUAUGUGGGUUUAUGUUGACAACCAAUAGAUGUAUCGAGCUGACGGCCACAUUUUUUUUAAAUGUAUUUGAGACAAUUUAAUUACUAUUUGGCUUCUAAAUUAUGAGAUAUCUUAUGUGGUUUUCAAACUAUGCAAUAUUUGUAUUUUUAUUAAACUAUGUAAGGUCAAAUUUAUACACAUGUGACAAAAUAAUCAAAAAAUAGUCGCAAGCCAGCCACGCGGACGAAAAAAGGGUCGGCGUGUUGGCCGUACUGCCGAUCCAAACAAAAACCGCGGCGAACAUAUCAAUCCAAACGAAUAAAAAAUGAACAAAUGAACAUAAUCCGUUCCCCUUUUUCUUUGAAGCGAGCUAUUUUCGUCAUAGUAAGCGUACAUGGCUAUGGGGGCGGGGCCGGAAGAAAAACUGCGAAUAAUGGGCGUGGACCUCUCAACCCAUUAAAGAGUGUGUUCCAUCGUCUCGUUGGCAAGUUGCCCUGUGCUCUCUCGGUAGUUCCGUUCCAUGUCCAGAAUGCGAACGUUGGCAUGAGUCACGGAGACGUCAAGGCUCCAACACCAUGCUCACUGUGUGCAAGCCGAUAUGCACACGUGGUGUUACGUGCUACUAGUACUCAUCCUGGGGCACGGAAGUCCUUUUCAUGUUGGCGUCGAAGAAAGUUCCCCCCGAUCGACCGGCCGAUCGUCUGCUCCAUUAAUUCGUCACGGCCCGUGGUUGAUGGCAUGGCAUCAUCUCCUCCAGGUGAAUGUGGCGCGCAUAUUUUAUGCGCUCCGGUCGAAAUCUCAAUCUCUAGGUGUCUUUUCACGGCCGGUUUUCUCGAUCGCCCCCGGAAUAGGCUCGUCGCUUUUAUCAUCGGAUGUUCGAAAGUGAGUUUGCCACGAGUAAUAUAUGGGCAAAGCGGGGGAGGGCCGUCUGGUGGCCCGAAAUUAAAGAAGGUUCUACGGCUGAUUGAUUGAUCUAUUAUUUAUACCAAUGCUCCCGUCCUCACCUUUGAAGUCCUCGUGUAGCUUUGUUAAGAAAAAAGAGCGAGACACUUGACCCACGUCGUAUUAUAAAACUGACGGAACUCACCGCCGGCGACUGGAAGGAGUAGAUGAGAAGCUGCUCCCUCCGGGCGAUCAUGACAGGACGGCGCCGUCGAUCGAGGCGAGCGCGUCAAGAGAUCUCGCACAUGGCGGUUGGCUAAGCCACGGAAGCUCCACGAGGCCUGGUUAAUUAUUUAUUUAUUUAUUAUACUCUAGGAGAGCACGGGAGAACUGCCAAAGGAUGAUUAACCAGCUAGCGUGAGCUCACCUGUACGUCAUGUUGUCACAAGAGGGAAAUUUAGAUCUGUUCGAUGCAAAGGAUUUUCAUAGGAAUUCUUGGUAUACUUAUGAAACUUUUCCUAUGUUGAUUGCCCAUUGAGAGUUCGUCGGACAGGUUUGUGUCCCGAACCCAUUGUUCGGUUGGAACUACGGGUUUUAAAUGAUUGGGCUUUGGUGUGAGAUCUGGCACGACGAUAAGAAUACUGAUAUAUGUUGUUAAUAAGAUGAAUUCAUAAUUAUUGAUAUACUUCCUUAGAAAACUAAUAUAAGAGCAUUUAAUCACUAUUUUAAUGAUCUAAAUGCUUUUAUAUUAGUUUACAAAGAAAGUAUUAUUUUAUAAGGUCCUAAUCAGUCAUUAAUAAAAUAAAUGUAUGGACCAUCUUGAUGCAGGGACCGGGGUCGUCCUCCUUUUCAAAAAAGGACUGAAUCCUAUAAAAAAUCUAAUGUAUAUUUUAUUACUUCUCGUAGGAUUUGUAGCAUCCACUUAAUCCUCUUUGGAAGAAUCCUUUGUUUCUUUUAUGAUAUAAUCAAAAAACCAAAAAUCUAUAGAUGAGCAUGACAUUUUAAUUCUAUGUUUUCCUUAUUCCGUAUUGUUUAGAAACCUGCGAAUCAAAGAAGCUCUUAGUGAAUUCACAUAGGAAAGCAUGUUACUUUACCAUAACUUUUGGGUUUUUAGAAGGCAAUGUAUGUGAUGUUUUCUUUCCUCCUCCCCAAGAAAACACCUAGACGAUUAGGUUUCCUCCUCUCCCGUAGGUGCCAUCACUCGUAUGCCUCGCAUCCAAUGACCUUUGGGCCAUGGAGCUGUGAAGGACAUCAGCCCCCGCCUGCAGGAGGGACCUUGCUCUGUUUCUUGUUAGGAUCAUCAUCUUGGUUGCGGUUGUGGUUUCAUCCUUCCCAUCAAAAACUAUCCUCGACGAUGGUUGUCGUUAUGUUGAAUUGCUCCUGUGAGGCCUUAGCAUGACGACUUUUCGACUACCUAUUACGACAAGAUUUUACCCGACAACGGUGCGGGCGGGGCGAUAAUAGUGACACAUCUUUGGCUCGCUCUAGUACUUGUAGUCGUCGCUAGGUGGUCCGUAGACAUGAUUAUGAUUUCUUACCUAUGGUGUUCUCUAUACUGCCAAGAUUAAUUAUGAAUAGACUGAAAGUUUCUCCCAUGAAAAAGACCAUUAUUUUGGAGCUAAUGAUUAUACCUAUAGAAUGUUAAAUAUGACUAGAUGGGCCCAUCUAUCAGGAGCAUAUGUGUUUCCUAAUUCAAAAAAAAUGUAGGGUAAAAGGAUUGUAUCACUUAAGAGGUUAAAUUGUUACAAUCUUAAUGAAUAGGUCAUGAUAUUUCAUUCGGGCAUGAGGCUAUCUAGAUUGCGGUGUAACAUUCCAUGCGACCAAACCUAGCCAUGAGAUGGUUGUCAUCAUUCUAGCAACAAGGGAUCUUGGCGAAGGAGAUCAACGGGUUGGAUUCAUCAUCUGUUUCACUUCCUCCACAAGAUGGCUGAGCACAGAGCACUUUAGAUUUUUUACUUAACAUUAAGAGUUUCAACUAAAUCAAAACAAAUAAAUGACGAACAUAAUAAACACUCCAUUGACUAUGCUAGAAAAGUUUCAGCUCAUUUGGAUGAGAAGUUUGAGAGAAUCGUCGUCGUGGAGUAUUUUGUUCAAACUUGAACGAGAAAUAUAAAGUUUUCAAUAAACAUCCAAAUAUGAUCCUGAAACUCGUAAAUAUCCAGUGACUUGUACCGAAAUUUCAGCACAUUCGGAUGAGCUAUUUGAGGACAUCAACAUUUUGAUGUUUUAUGUCAUAUAAGUUGACUCAUUUAUGUAUGGAAUACAAGGGUUACAUAAAAAUCUGAUUUUUUUUUCGAAAAUCACAAAUACUUUCGAGACUACCCUAGGAAAAGAUUUAGCUCAAACGUCAACGGUUAAUGUGGUGGCUUUUGCUAGCCUGACAUGUGGGUUCAUCCAGUCAAUUUAGUAAUCAAAUUGUGGGUUUAGAUGUUAUGUGAAUCGUUAGGCGGAAGUUGUAGUUCUGUGCAAGAAAUGUUAUGGUAAAAAAAUGAAUAUCACCAAUUUCUUCCGAAAACAUCCCCAUCACUUGACAGACGUAUUUUAUUCAACAAGAUGGCUGAGCACAGAGCACUUCAAUUUUUUUACUUAAAAUUAGCAGUUUCCCAAAAAAUACUAAAAAUCAAAUGAUGAACACAAUAAAUGCUGAGUUGACUAUGCUAUAAAAGCUUUAGCUCAUUUGGAUGAGAAGUUAGAGAGAAUCGUCAUUGCCGAGUUCAAACUUGAACCAUAAAUUAAAGUUUUCAAUAAAUAGCCAAAAAUGAUCUAGGAACUCCUAAAUAUCCACCUACUUGUAUAGACCUUUCAGCACAUUCAGAUGAGCUAUUUGAGAGAACCUUUUGAUGUUUUAUGUCCUAUACGUUGACUCAUUUAAGUAUGGAAUGCAAGGGUUACAUAUUAAUCUGAAAAAUUCAAGAAAAACACAAAUAGAGACUACCAUAGGAAAAGAUUUAGCUCCCAUGCUCACAGUUAAUGUGGUGGCUUUUGCUGGUUUAGCAAUCAAAUUGUGGUUUUAGAUGUUAUAUGAAUGAUUAGGAUGGAAGUUGUGGGUCUGUGUGAAAAAUGUUAUGGUAAAAAUUGGAAUGCUACACAUUUCCGCAGAAAAUAUCUCCCGUCACUUGAGAGUCGUAUUUUACUCAACAAGGUGACCGAGCACAGAGCACUUCAUAUUUUUACUUAAAAUUAGGACUUUAUUUUUUUCAAAAAUAAUGAUGGACAUAAUAAAUACUCUGUUGACUAUGCUACUCCCCCGUCACGGUUUAGAAGGUGUGCUUCAAAAUUCUCUGGAACCUAGGCGGUUAUUGAUGGUUGUGAGAUGGGUUAAAAAAUAACAUUCACACUACACAUGCAUAUGAAAGUAGUACAACGGAAUACUAAUUAGCUGUAAAAAAAUAAAUGCAAUACGGCCUAAUCCUUGUCUAUUGUGAAAAUGCAUGUAAAUUUAAUCGUGCCUUCUAAACUAUGACGGAGGGAGUAGAAAAGUUUCAGCUGCUUUGGAUGAAAAGUUUGAGAAAAUCGUCAGUGUGGAAUAUUUUGUUCAAACUUGAACUAAAAAUUUAAUAUUUUCAAAAAACUUCCAAAAAUGAUCUAGAAACUCGGAAAUAUACACUGACUUGUACAGAAAUUUCAGCACAUUCCCAUGAGCUAUUUGAGAGACUUGUACAGAAAUUUCAGCACAUUCCCAUGAGCUAUUUGAGAGAAUCAACCUUUUGAUGUUUAAUGCCCUAUAAGUUGGCUCAUUUAUGUAUGGAAUGCAAGGGUUACGUAGAAAUCUGAAAAAUUCUAGAAAAUCACAAAUACUUCAUAGACUACCUUAGAAAAAGAUUUAGAGCAUCUCCAACGAGCCGACACAAAAAUGACGGUGAUUUUGUCUGCUUUUCGUCUGUUUGGGUCGUCCGUCGACCUGUCCGUGUUCGUUUUUUUAAAUUGAUCAACACAUGCACCCAACGAAAAGCAAGUGGGCAACAUCACUGUGGCAAUAUAAUAAUAGAAGAAAGGUGGACGGGGGUGGGCCAGCGAAUUAAGUAAGCAGACAUAGGUGAUUGGGUGGUUGUGUGACAAGUGGGUCAGGCCGACCACAUACGGACACCGAAAGGCGCGCGCGUCCGCGUCGACCCAUUUCAGUCCUAAUUUUAAGCCGAAAAUGAAUCAGCGCAGACGCGUUUUAGCAAUGGGUCCAUGCAUUGGGCCAUCACUUUUGUUUCCGCAAAUCCAAACGAAUGGCCGCGCACGAAAUGGAUCGUCCCAUUAAAAACUCGGUUUAGCAAUCAAACUGUGGUUUUAGAAUUUUUUUUUUUGAAACCCGUGGUUUUAGAUGUUAUGUGAACGGACAUUGACACAACUACAUUUUUUUACGUGACUUACGUAUUAGCUCACUUGUACUAAUUACACAGGUCUAGUAUUUCUUUUAACAUAGGACGAAAGCAAGGCGUGAACAUGUACAUACACGUCCUAUAAAUACCUUUGAGAUAUUAAAUCCGCAUAUCAUCAUGAGAUAUAAUAAUGUCUCCGUAAACACAUCAUUAAAAAUUCUAAAAUAAAUCAAAGGUACUACAUGCGAGCAUCAGAACUUAAAUUCACAUGAUAGCAUUAUUGCACGUGAAUCAUAGAAAUAGUGUUUUUGUGUAAAAAAAGAUAUCAUGGUAAAAACUGGAACCUCACCAGUUUCCUCAGAAAAUAUCUCCCGUCACUCAAGAGCCGUGGAUGAACCAGGAACCAGCUGAUGGGCAAUCAUGGAGCCGUGGCUUCGAAGAACAAAAACCCUGGCGACGCCACGACACGCACGACCGUUGGUUUUCACGUCAAGGCAACAUUUUUAACUUUUGACCAUCCGGUAAUUCCACAGCGAGGUGACACCACAGUCAUUAAGACCAAAAUCCGGGACGGCCGGUAACCACGCCGCUGACGCGACGCUGGCACAAGGCCGACGUACGCAGCUCGCAGAGCGUGCGUGCGCGUGGCGUCAGCGUGACCGGCGGACGGCGACGGCGACAUCGAGCUGUCGAACACAUGACUUUUUGGAGCGAUGCGCCUCGGGACGGGCGAUAGAAAAGGUCAAGAAACUAGAGAGAGAGAGAGAGGAGGGACGAACUGUCGCCCUCCUUCGACCCCGGAGAGGAGAGGAGAGGGGGUAACGGAAUCAAACCGUGGUGCUAUAUAUAAGAGACCGGCGACGAAGCCGUCGUAGCACUUGCAUAUCCGCGGCGAGGUUCCACCACACGCAUACAUCGAUCCAUUCGCCUGGCUUGUCCGGUGGUGUGGCAUGUCGACGAUGGAGGUGAGGAAGCCCCGGCAGGUGGCGAGGAGGUUCCUGGCGCGGCCGCAGCACGAGGGCGCCGGCGCCGUCGUCCGCCGCAGCAUCGGAAGGUUCGAGCUGAGGUACUUCGACCCGUUCCUCGUCCUCGACGAGUUCUCAGGUCAGCCCUCCUCCCUCGGUUUGCUUCGGAUGCAUGCAUGUUUCGUUUGGGAUCGUCGUUAAUGGAUUCGUUCCUUCCUUGUCCGAAUUUGCUGCAUGCAUGCAGCUUCUGCUCCGGCGGGGUUCCCUGACCACCCACACCGCGGCUUCGAGACCGUCACCUACAUGCUCGAGGUACGCAUGCAUUUCUGUUGUUCUUGCGCGCACUUUGUUCUUGCCAAAUGAACCUAACAGCAGCAUAAAAGUCCGGAAUAUCCACACCGAAAUGCAUUGGCAUCCUGAACCAAUCCUUACUUAAUUCCCAUUGAGCAGAGCUGUAACGGUAGUGGCACCUUUGACAACCAAACAUGCAACGGGAAACAAGCGCGUCCCGUUUGUCAAACCUGCAACUUUUCUUGCCCUUCACUCGACGAAUCCAUCUGAACGCGGGUCCUGCUUUUGGUAGCUUGGCAUCCCUCUCCCUCCCUACUACGCCAACCACCCCGGCCUGCGCUUCCGUGCAGUGAGAACGAAAUCUUCGUCCAAAGAUAACUGAAAACCGUGUGAAAAUUAAGUACUAGCAGUAGGAAUGUUCAGGGGACAACGAUGGCUCGCUGAGUACUUGUAGAUUAGUUGGUUAACCGCCCUGACCUGACGACCUUUAAUUUCCUCUGGCUGGUGCUGGCUGCAGGGAGCGGUGACGCACGAGGACUUCGAGGGUCACCGUGGCACGAUCAAGGCCGGCGACGUGCAGUGGAUGACGGCCGGCCGCGGCAUCGUGCACUCCGAGAUGCCCGCCGGCCCCGGCACCUCCAAGGGCCUCCAGCUCUGGGUAAACCUCGCCUCCAAGAACAAAAUGUGAGCGUGUACCAUCAAUUCCGCCGUCCUCUCUCCGGCGACGCCACGCGCGCGGGCCGUCUGACCGCGUCAUGCAUGCGCGCCUCCAUGACUAACACGUGCGCUCGAUCCAGGGUGGAGCCGGGGUACCAGGAGUUCCAGAGCAAGGACAUCGCGUCCACGGCGUCGGCGGACGGCGACGUGACGGUGCGGGUGAUCGCGGGGCAGGCCAUGGGCGCCCGGUCGCCGGUGCGCACGCGGACACCGACCAUGUACCUCGACUUCACGGUGCGGCCGCACGCCGCCGCGCCCGUGCGGCAGCCGGUGCCGGCCUCGUGGAACGCGUUCGUGUACGUGCUGGAGGGCGAGGGCGUGUUCGGGGCGACGGCGGACCAGGCGGCGGGGGCGCACCACCUGCUGCUGCUCGGGCAGGGCGGCGACGGCGUGGAGGCUUGGAACAGGUCGGACAAGCCGCUCCGGUUCGUGCUCGUCGCCGGCGAGCCCAUCGGCGAGCCCGUGGCGCAGCUGGGCCCCUUCGUGAUGAACACCGAGGAGGAGAUCGACGCCACCGUCAACGACUUCGAGUACUUCAUCAACGGGUUCGAAAAGGCCAAGCAUUGGAAGUCGCAGGCCAUGAUCGCGCUAGAGCUAGACUAGGGUGGAAGAAAGAAUGGCAGGACAAACUGUGAAGAAAGAAAGAACGUACGCAUUUCCUGUACGAGGUUAUUUAUUUGUUUAUUUCCUUCUUUCUUUCUUUCUUUCUUUCUUUCAUCCCGACAUCACCCGUCGCUUUCAUGUACAUGCUCGAUAACAUAAAGGUAGAGUAUGCUGAUUCUCAUAAAAUAAAAAAACACAGUAUACUGGACUGAAAAAUAAUAAUGCAUUUUUAGGGCCAAAAUAUAAGUAAAAUACGUUUUGGUUUGCUGGGAGAAUCGCUGGGCCUCCCCAAGCACCAUUCUUUCUGGAAAAAAAAGCAAGCAGUAUAAAAACAAAAGAUCAGUAAAAAAUGAGAAAAAUAGAAAAACAAAAACGAUUUCCAUCAUUAAAAAAUUAGAUUUGUCAUGAUAUAUAGCAUGAAAUUACGAACCGUCAGUAAAAACACAUAAUCAAAAUUGUUUAAUUUGCGAUGCUUAAAUUGUUAUACAAAUGUAUACCAUUUGCCAUUUGGUAUAAUUGUUGCCAUCUAGUAGUACAAAUAAGUUAUGUUCCAUGUUCAUAAGGAAAAAACGCACAUGAAAUUUGCAUGUUUUUUAGAAAACACGCCUACUUGUUGAAAUUAUUUGGUCAUUUCUAUGAUCUAUGUAUCAAAAGUUACCAUGUUAUAUGGACCAUUUUUUCAUAUUAAACACAACACAAUUGCCUAGGUAACCAUGUAAAAAUUCCACUGGCACAGUUUUUCAAACAAGUAAAACACAAUAACAUGUUAUUUUUUGCCAUGAUCCAUGACAAAAAGUAUAUAAUAUCAUGGAAAUCUCUAAUUCAUCCCAAAAAGAAGAAAAGUUUGUUCGAUUGACAGGGAAAAUCGUGAAAAUUAGAUGCCUAUAUGUAGGCAAAAUUUAGAUUUUUUUUUGGCAUACCUCUCGUUGUCCCUUUUCCUAUAUGAUGUUCAUCUUUAAACUCUUUGUGUAUGUAAUUGCCUCUUGCUCUACAUGAUAGGGGUGCCCAAAAAGUAAAGUAUGGAUGAUGUUCAUCUUUAGACUCUUUGGCAUAUCUCUCAUUGUGUCCUGCCCUACAUGAUGGGGGUGCCCAAAGAGUAAGGCCAAUAGGACUCCUUUCUCCUAGAGCCAACUUUUUUUUCGAAAAGCCUCCUUGGCAACUAUACGGAGGCCCACUUAGGCAAUGUAAUUAAUUAAAAUUACAUGUGGUUGGUCCAAUAGGAAAUGACAAAUAACUUAAUGUCUAGUGCUACUUUGUUUUUAAAGGAAUGUCUAUGAAGGAAAAUCCAAUUAGACGUCUGCAUGCGUCAAAUGGACGACGCGACUCCCAAGCCCGUGGUGAAUUUGGGUCAGCCCACUUCGGAAGUUUCUGUUGUGUCUUACUCGCUACGCUACUGCAUUGUGUUUUCUUGUUUUUCUAUCCCUGUUUUUCAUUCUGAUAUUUACUACUGUUCUGUUUCUUAUUUUCAAUUUGUUGUUUUUAUUUCUGGUAUUCUAUUUCUGUUUCAUUCAUACAAUGUGUUUUUGGGUUUUCAGUUGUAGUUGUUCUUCCAGUGUUUGUGUUUUACUGUUCUUUUCCUUUUUCAUAGGUACAUGGUGAACAACUUUUGAAACACGGUGACCAUUUUUUGAUACUUGGUGAUCAAUUUUUUUAACACGUCGAAUACUCAUGUAAUGGACGAUGGACAAUUUUGUAGUACACAAUGAACAUUUUUUUAUACAUGGAUAACAUUUUGUUAAACAAGGUGAACAAUUUUUUAUACAUGCCAAACAUUUUUUUAAUACACAGAGAACAUUUUGUUUAAAAACAAUGAUCAUUUUAUAAUACUUCCUCCGUUUCUAAAUGCAAGUUUUUUAAGAAAUUUCACUAAUGGUCUACAUACGGAGUUAAAUGAAUUAAUCUACAUUCUAAAGUAUGUCUAUAUACAUUCGAAUGUAGUCCACUGGUGAAAUCUCUAAAAAGACUUAUAUUUAGGAACGGAGGGAGUAGAUGGUAAAUAUUAUUUAAGUACAUGGUAAGCUAGGAGGAGAACUCCUAGACAACACUUGUUGCGUUGCUAGCUAGCGAGCUGGCGUAACGUCCCAUCGCUAUUGGCUGGCCCAGCUAUGGUUGUCCACUUUCUUGGGAGAGACACUGGAUAACCUGUUUGACUUUUUGACCAGUUGGCCAACUGGCCAUUGACUUGAAAAAAUAUAUGGAUCUAAAUAAGUUAGAAAUUCCAAAAAAAAUCCGUUAACAUUGACCUUUUUUGAAAAUGUCACGACUUUGAAAAAGGCUCGGGUAUUUAAAAAAAAUGAGUUUGAAAAACACCAUGGAUUUUUAAGAAGUUCAUGAAUUUGGAAAAAUUCAUGUGUUUCACAGUUUUUUACUAAUUUCAAAUUUUGAGUAAACAAGUUUACAAACUUGAAAAUAUAUAUUCACGGAUUAGACAAAGAUUCACUUAUUUGGGGCAAAAAGUUCACAAAAUUAGAACAAGCUUUCAAAAAUUUGGGAAAGCGUUCGUGAAGUCUAAAAAGUUUGUGAAUUUUAAAAAAUUGUGCAUUUAUAGUAGAAAGGAAAGGAAUGAAUAAAACCGAACAAAAAACCAAUACAGAUAACCUAAAACCAAAAAAGAAAAACAGGUGAAAAGCUUCGAAGCUUUCCAAAACCGGCUAGGAAGCUUUUGGGAGACUCCCAAAACCGGAGCUUCCAGCUCGUACCCGGUCCUGCCUUUGAUGGCCAGCCCAUUUAAAAUCCAUCGAGGAGGUGGAGAGUGACUGGUCAGGAAGCGUUAUUUCAAGAGCCUCAUAGCAAGCAUUUCCAUGCGUUGUUAUUUGUCGCGUUAUCAGGCGCCACCACAUAUCGCGUUCUAAGCGUUUUUUUGAAUUACAUUUUUUCUCAUACGUGUUUUCGGCUUUUUAGAUUAUUAUUUUUCUGAUUCUUUUGGUGUUUUGGUUUUCCAUCUGUCUUUCUUAGCUUUUUGAUGGAAAAAGGUAAAAAAAAAUAUUUUAUGUUUUUUUUGCGAGAGGCACGGUUUUGUUUCCGUGCGAGGCACGGUCGUGCCGUUCGGAAAUAAAAAAAAUAUGUUUUCUAUUUUUUUAUGAGAGGUAUGGUUUUGUUUUUGCGAGAGACACGGUUUUGCCUUCGUGGGAGGCGUGGUCGUGCCUCUCGGAAAGGGAAAAAAUAAUGUGUUUUUCUUUUUUUCGCGAGAUGCACGGUUUUUCCUUCGUGAGAGGCACUCCCGUGUCUGUCGGAAAAGGAAAAAUAACGUGUGUUUUUCGCGAGAGGUACGGUUUUGUUUUCGUGAGAGGCACGGUUUUUCUUUCGUGAGGGGCUCGGCCAUGCCUCUCGAAAAGAAAAAAGUGGAAAAAAACACGUUUUUUUUCUUCUCGUAGAGGCACGGUUUUUUUGGUUCGAUUUUUUUAUGAAAAAUAAGUUCGGUAAAAUAUCAACAUGGGAUCUAGUUUUGAAGAUCUUGACGCGAGAAAUCCAACGAUGAAAACGGUUCGAGAUUUCGACGCAUGGUUUAGGAGAUAAAACAUUUUAAAAAUAGGAAUCUACGAAAAAAUGAAAACUCCCAGGUUGCGACAAGUGGCAUGCAUGCAAUACACAGUUGUCGCAACCUGAGAAGGUGGGAGUAAUCUUUGAAAGUAGUACUCCCUAAUUAGUGAUUUCGAAGGAGGUGUGGGUCACGGGUGAUUAAGGCUAAAAACAACGUUAUAGGCGUCGAAUAGGAAUUGACAUCUAAGAACUCUCCAGAUUGCGACAAGUGGCUUAUUGCAUGGGUGCCACUUGUCGCAACCGGGAUUUUUUUUUCUCUUUUUUCAUAGUUUGUAUUUUAAAAAUGUUUUAUCUUCUAAACCAUGCGUUCAAAUCUUGAAUCCUUUUCACAGUUGGAUUUCUCGCGUCGAGAUCUUUAAAACAAGAUCCCUUGUUGAUAGAUUUUGACGAACUUGUUUUUCCUAGAAAAAGUCAUAAAAAAAUCAUGCCUCUUGCGAUAGAAUUUUUUUCAGAAAACGUGUUUAUUUUGCGUUUUUUUCCUUUUCAAGAGGCACGGACACGAAGGCAAAACCGUGGCUCUCGAGGAAGCAAAACCGCGCCUCUCAUGAAAAAAUAUGUGUUUUCCCUUUUCGAAAGGCACGAACAUGUCUCUUACGAAUGCAAAACUGUGCCUCUCGCGGAAGCAGAACCGUACUUUUCACAAAAAAAACUGAAAACACAUUUUUUCCUUUUUGAGAGGCAUGGCCGUGCCUCUCACGAAGGCAAAACUGCCCCUCUCGUGGAAGCAAAACCGUGGCUCUCGCGAAAGCAAAAUCGUACCUCUCACAAAAAAAACACAAAUUUUUCGUUUCCGAGAAGCACGGGUGUGCCUCUCGCGAAGGCAAAACCGUGCCUUUAAGAAAAAUAAAAAACAGGUUUUGUCACACAUUUUAAAGAAAAAAUUGUCAAAAGACUAAGAAAGACCGGUGAAAAAUCAGAACACCAAAAAAAUCUGAAAAACCCAAUUUAAUAAGCCAAAGACGUGUGCGAAAAAGUAAAAAAAAACAAAAUUCAAAGAAAGCACUCACAUCGUGACAUGUGGCGGCGGCUGAUAACGCGCCAAGUGUCGAUACGCUGGAGUGAUAGCUGGGAGGCUUUCGAAGGAGCGCUCGCUAACUAAUUGCUCUCCUCUUAUGUGAAUUCUGACUUUAUCUUUAAAUAGUACCACAAUGGGCUCAAAGUCACUUAGAAGGCAGAGAAUAGCUCCCGAGCCCAUCAUCACUAUAUUUCUUUAGCUUGAUUUGUGUGUUGAGAUGAACUGACCAUUCCGUUAGUGCAUAAUUUGUGAUGAACAUGGUUUUUGAAGUAAGAAUGACUUUGUGGGAUACAAAGUGGUGAAUGCAUAAAAAAUGUUCCUUUUAAUUUUUGCAAAUAAAUACACGCUCAUUACAAAAUCCUAAUGUACAAGAAAUGGUGCAGUUUAAAUAACUUUUGCACUAUCUCACUAUGCAUACAUGAUACAUCCAACUUAUUUCAAAUCUGAUUAUGUGUAAAAAGUAGAGGAAGGAAAAAACACAUCAUGUCAAAUUGUCGAACUCAAUACAAACCAUGGCUGAGUCACUUGUAACCCUUGCUAGGAAUAGAUGUCCAAUACUGUACAUACGUGUCCAUCCGUACAUGUAGAGAAGGGUGUGAAUGGGAUUUGGACGAUGAAGAAGAAGAGUGUGGUAGCUAUGAAUGUCAAGAACCGUCCGCUAUACCUUAUGUGUUCAAGAGGCAUAGAGCCCACUAAGGAGCCCACUAAGGAGGAACCGCCGAGACUUUUUAUCUGACAUCACAUGAAAGUAAUUACGCUAAAUGGCUUGCUAACCGAAAACUAAAACAUGACUACCCAACUGGUGGGAAUGACAACAUUUAGACGUUAUGUCAUUGGAUGUCUUCUCAUUACUACAACUACAUUCCGCAUGACACCACGAGACAAAGAACUGCGACGUGUGUUAGGGCAUUUGAUUUUUUGUUUGAACACUUGUACAAUUGGGGUGUUAGGAGGUGAUCAGGCGACCCCGCAUGAUACUAGAGUGCAUGAGAAGCUCGAUAAAACAAUAUGAUCUCAGUCACAACUAACACGCUCUGAUGUACCAUGUUAGGAGCGACAAGCAGGUCACGACUAGCGAUAUGAUGCAUCCAACAUGUGACAUAGAAGAUACAAAGACAAACAUGCCUAACCAUUGCGCAAUGUAACAUGCAAAAGACCUGCCAGACGGUUAGGCAUGACUGAAAGGAACCAGAUGUGCAAAUAAGUUUACAUGUACCUGCAACUAGUGUUGUAGUAAUCUGUGAGCCAUAGGGGACUCAGCAAUCUCAUUUCCAAAGGUAUCAAGACUAGCAAAGCUUAAUGAGUGAGGUAAGGUUAAGUGGUAAGGCUGCAGCAAGCGACUAAGCAUUAUAUGAGGUGGCUAACUUACGAGUACAAGAAGAAGAGCGAGAUGAUCUACGCAUUACGAACGUGAACUAGUGGUGUUCAAAUGAAUGAUCCUGAACACCUACUUACUGUUGGAAUUAUGCCCUAGAGGCAAUAAUAAAUAUAGUUAUUAUUAUAAUUCCUGUAUCAAGAUAAUCGUUUAUUAUCCAUGCUAUAAUUGUAUUGAAUGAAGACUCAUUUACAUGUGUGGAUACAUAGACAAAACACUAUCCCUAGCAAGCCUCUAGUUGGCUAGCCAGUUGAUCAAAGAUAGUCAGUGUCUUCUGAUUAUGAACAAGGUGUUGUUGCUUGAUAACUGGAUCACGUCAUUAGGAGAAUCACGUGAUGGACUAGACCCAAACUAAUAGACGUAGCAUGUUGAUCGUGUCAUUUUGUUGCUACUGUUUUCUGCGUGUCAAGUAUUUGUUCCUAUGACCAUGAGAUCAUAUAACUCACUGACACCGGAGGAAUACUUUGUGUGUAUCAAACGUCGCAACGUAACUGGGUGACUAUAAAGAUGCUCUAUAGGUAUCUCCGAAGGUGUUAGUUGAGUUAGUAUGGAUCAAGACAGGGAUUUGUCACUCCGUGUGACGGAGAGGUAUCUCGGGGCCCACUCGGUAAUACAACAUCACACACAAGCCUUGCAAGCAAUGUGACUUAGUGUAAGUUGCGGGAUCUUGUAUUACGGAACGAGUAAAGAGACUUGCCGGUAAACGAGAUUGAAAUAGGUAUGCGGAUACUAACGAUCGAAUCUCGGGCAAGUAACAUAUCGAAGGACAAAGGGAAUGACAUACGGGAUUAUAUGAAUCCUUGACACUGAGGUUCAAACGAUAAGUUCUUCGUAGAAUAUGUAGGAUCCAAUAUGGGCAUCCAGGUCCCGCUAUUGGAUAUUGACCGAGGAGUCUCUCGGGUCAUGUCUACAUAGUUCUCGAACCCGCAGGGUCUGCACACUUAAGGUUCGACGUUGUUUUAUGCGUAUUUGAGUUAUAUGGUUGGUUACCGAAUGUUUUUCGGAGUCCCGGAUGAGAUCACGGAUGUCACGAGGGUUUCCGGAAUGGUCCGGAAACGAAGAUUGAUGUAUAGGAUGACCUCAUUUGAUUACCGGAAGGUUUUCGGAGUUACCGGGAAUGUACCGGGAAUGACGAAUGGGUUCCGGGAGUUCACCGGGGGGGGGGGGGGCAACCCACCCUGGGGAAGCCCAUAGGCCUUGAGGGUGGCGCACCAGCCCUUAAUGGGCUGGUGGGACAGCCCAAAAGGGCCCUAUGCGCAUUGGAAGAAAAAUCAAAGAGAAAGAAAAAAAAAGGAGGAGGUGGGAAGGGAAGGAAGGACUCCCACCCACCAAACCAAGUCCAACUCGGUUUGGGGGGGAGACCUUCCCCCCUUGGCUCGGCCGACACCCUUGGGGCUCCUUGAGCCCCAAGGCAAGGUCCCCUCUCUCCCACCUAUAUAUACGGAGGUUUUAGGGCUGAUUUGAGACGACUUUUCCACGGCAGCCCGACCACAUACCUCCACGGUUUUUCCUCUAGAUCGCGUUUCUGCGGAGCUCGGGCGGAGCCCUGCUGAGACAAGGUCAUCACCAACCUCCGGAGCGCCGUCACGCUGCCGGAGAACUCUUCUACCUCUCCGUCUCUCUUGCUGGAUCAAGAAGGCCGAGAUCAUCGUCGAGCUGUACGUGUGCUGAACGCGGAGGUGCCGUCCGUUCGGUACUAGAUCGUGGGACUGAUCGCGGGAUUGUUCGCGGGGCGGAUCGAGGGACAUGAGGGAGUUCCACUACAUCAACCGCGUUCACUAACGCUUCUGCUGUAUGGUCUACAAGGGUACGUAGAUCACUCAUCCCCUCUCGUAGAUGGACAUCACCAUGAUAGGUCUUCGUGCGCGUAGGAAAAUUUUUGUUUCCCAUGCGACGUUCCCAACACUUACGUCAAACAUAACCCCAUCGUGUUCUCGAUCGGCGAAGGAACUCACGAAAGAGACAUUCAUGGUUACGCACUCAGUUGAGAUAUUUUUAUUAAGUUAACUUCAAGUUGUCUAUAACCAGUGUUAAAUAAAGUUUCCACGUUGCCACAUAACCGCGGGCACGACUUUCCGAAAAGAUUUAACCCUGCAGGGAUGCUCCAACUAAUCCAUCACAAAUUACCACAAGCCGCAUAGAAAUCCUCGAUCACGAAACUCGCGAUCUCGUCGGACUCCUUAGCGGAAAACCUCAACUCUGAGAUUACCCAAAGCAUCAACGAAAUCCCGAUGCACAAGACAUUUGUCAACGGUAAAACUAAUCCAGCAAGGCCACCCGACGUGUCGACGAUCCCGAUAGGAGCCGCGUAUCUCGUUCUCAGGACACGACGGAUAAGCGAAGCGUACGGUGGCCUGAUAGACAUCACCCGAGUUGCCCCGGGUUGGCCCCGCACGGUGCUCUGUUUUGGACCAGCACCAUCAGCACUGGCCCUCCCAGUAUUAUGUUGAAUUACUCCUCGGGUAGCGCUAACUCCCUAUGCAUUUCAGUAUUAAUGGAAUUAUUAUGUUGGGCAAAUAUGGUACCAAUGUUGGGCCCUGCCAGACCAGCUUUAAUCUAAGACGAAUUAUCAAGGGGGUCCCCAUAACAACCCCGAUCGUGUUAGGAGCGCUCAAUUAUGGAACAUAACACCGGUAGCCGAAACUAAGGGGGCAAAGGUGGAACAAAACACUAGGCUAGAAAGGUCGACCUCCCACCUUUUACCAAGUAUAUAGGUGCAUUAAAUUAAAUAACAUUUAAUAGAGUGAUAUAACAAGGAACCCAUGUUAUCACAUGGAAGCAUCUGCACCUGCAACUAGUAACGCUAACACAUGGUUAAGCAAGGAGAACGUAGCCAAUCAGUGGUUUGCUAGGUUGUGAACAGGUUGAAGGUUUUCAUGGCAAUGUUGAGAGGCUGAUACUUAAAAGGUGGUAGGCAGCGAGACAUAACGAUAGAAACGGUAAAACUAGCAUCGCAAUGAUAGUAAUGGUAUCUGGGGAAAUGGUCAUCUUGCCUGAGAUCCCGCUUGGAAGAAGAACAAAUUCGUGAAGCGGACGAACCGAUAUAGUCGAACGGGUCCUCACUUUCCGACACGCUUGCGGAACUCUAUCGAGACGAAAGAAACCGGAAACAAGAAUCAACACACGAUAUACACCGCACGAUGCACAACACAAAUGAUGCAUGAACGGCUGAAUAUAUGCAAGACAUGGUAUGUCAAUUCACAACAAACAAACACUACACAUUAAGUAAAGUUCAAUAUGCAACGGGUUGCAUAUUGACGAAACUCCACAUACGAAUUAUUUAGUUCUAUCCUGAUUAGGUACACGGCAAUAUUAAAUAUUGUUAAACAUGGCAAGAGGUGAAGCGCAACUAAACUAUCUAUCUAGGCAUUUUAAAUGACGUCGGAAAUGACAUAUAGCACCUCCGAGAUGACCUCAUACGUUAAUUUAUAAUUCUGUCCAAAUCCGAACUAACACUUUUAAAUGUUUGUUAAACAGCAAAAUAAAUAGGUUCACAUGAUUCUACGUGUCGUUACAAUCAAUUUACACAUAGAGAACAUCUCCAACGAAGCUACGGUUCAAAAGAUACGAACACCGCAAGAUAUGAUGACAUGAAUGCAAAAUGUGCGCAACGACAGUCACAAGCAUUUCAAAACACAAAACAACCAAGAUAUUAUGAAACUACACGAGAUUCUAAGCAAGUUCCAUAUAGGACACAAUCCAAACGGAGCAACGGUUCAACAACUACGAGUAAACAAGAAAUCACUACAAUCUGCCAAAAUCAGUCACAUAUCAUUUUCUACGCCCUCGAACAACUAGCUGCAAGAAUCCAAAAGGCUCAAACAAGGCAUGAGACGAUAGAGAGAAAGAAGCACUACAACAUACAACUAAUAACAUCUAGCAUGGAAGCAUGAAACACUAGGAAAAGAACUCACGAAGUGGUUUCUCACACGCAAUUUCAGACUUAGAGAAAAAACACAGUUUAUGAAAGUGCAGUUUUCGAUCUGAAGGCAUAUUGACAGCAGCAAAACCAUAAACUACAGGACCCCAAAUGGCAUGAAAAUUGACAUCAUGCUAGACAAACUUAAGGUCUACAACUAUCUCCAUUGCAUCAACCUCAAAAAGCUUUAGAUCACCAGAUAAAAUCAAGACAACACAGCAACAAAAUAUAACAGAUUUCAGACUUAGAAAUAUUUCAGCAUCUCCAAAACAACACUAUUUUCUAGCAAGCCGAGAACAAGCAAACCACACCUAAACAUGGAUUUCUAUUGCAACCAAAAUUAUCAAGGGCUAGCAUACAUAUCCAAGGACAAAUCUCUAGUUGACAACUCAUUCAUAUCAUGCACGGAUUAAAUCACAUAAAAUAAAUAAAAGGGCAACAUGGCAAAAUAUCACGCGCACUAACUUGCUCAAAAGGUAAAACUAAAUGCACGGUUAAAUUAUAUGGAUUUUUCUACCCUGAAAACAUAUAUAACAUGUGGGGUUGCAAGAAUAAAAUAACGCCACACGUAUAUGCGAGAUUAUGUGCUAAACGCGAUAUACCAAACUAGCUACGUAAUCCUACAUGCAAAAAUACAAACAACUACUAUAAAAUACAUCGCAAAAGGUUCCUAAAAAUAUAAGCAUUUUAUCUACGGAAUUUGAGCAAUCCGAACACGCGCGAUAAUAAAUACGGGACGAUCCACUAUUAGGACAGCAUGCAAAACUAGGCAUAUGGCGGGUCAAACCACAUCAAACAUGCAUGCAAGUUACAAAUUACGAAUCUACGCGAAAAACUACACAAGUUUCAUAUAUUACUCGCUGCGAUUCGACGCACGGUUUGAAUUCUACGGGCAUUUGAAAAUUCUAGCCUUUUUUGAAAUUAAUAAAUUCGCAGGUUAUUAAAAACUAUAUGGGACGGAAUAUACUAUUGAGCCAAAAUAACAGCGCGUGUAAAAAAACUACAAUGCGCCCAGACGAGGGAUAGGGCAAAAAAAUGGGGUGGCUCACCUAGGGCCGAUUAGGCCGGCUCGGUGCAGCAGGUCGGCUCGGGCGCGACUGAGCCAAGCGCCGGAGGCGAGGCGAGGCGAGGCUAGGCCGCUUGGGGGGCGAGGCCCACCACGAGGUCAACGCACGAGCGGCGAGGGGCUCCUCCUCCCGAUCCUGAUCGGGAUCGAGAAGCACGCGACGACGCAACUCCCACGACGACGGAUGGCGGGGCUCGGCAGGCCGGCGGCGAGGGAGGCUGGCGCCUUGGGAUCCGGCAGAUCCGCCGGCUGGCGGCGCGGACUGGCCGGAGGCGGAGGGCGGCGGGGAGGAGGCGAGCUCCGGCGAGGCUCUGGAGGUCGGGGACGGGCGCACAUGGCGGGUUCCGGCUUGGGACCCCGAGGCGGUGGCGAUGAGGCGGCGCACAGGGGCUCCGGCGGCGGCCUAGGGUGGCACAACAAGGCGCGGGAUGCAGGGCGACAGAUCCGGCGCGGGCGGCGGCUGGCAGGAGCUCGGGGCAGCGGCUUGGGGGCGACCCGCGCUCGGGCGGUGGCUGGCAGAUGGGCUCGGCGGGCCCGGCGGCGCUGAGGAGGAGAGAGAGGUGGGAGGGUAGGGUUUGAGGGGCGCGGAUCCCGAGGAAGAGAGAGAGAGAGUGACUGUCUAAAUUGAUUUGGGGGUCUAUUUAUAACAAUGGGGGGGCUAGGUUUAGCAAAAUUUCGUCCCGGAUCCAACCUUGCGAUCGGAAUCAAACGGUCUCGAACACGGGACGGGCUAAGUGGCCGUGUAGAGUAGGCUAGCCGGAGAAGAGAGGGAAAACAGGCCCCCGACAAUGUGAUUUAAAAUACCGAAAAACGUGCGACGAUAGACCGGAUACGGUGCCGCUAAGGUCGACCGUUCGGGUACCAGACGGACUCCGAUUGCGACGAAAUUUGGCAGGCGGCCUACCUACAUUAAAAUAAGACCGCCCGUCAAGUUUCAACCCAAUCAAAGAAAGUUUUAUACACACUUUUAAAAACAAGAUUUAAACGCUGUCGCGGGCGCGGGCGAGUGUGGUCGGGCUCAGAACGGGCAACGAUGAACACGGAGAGAAUCGACAACUAAUAACGGAUGCAACUUUUAAAAACUGGCGGCAACGGAAUNNNNNNNNNNNNNNNNNNNNNNNNNNNNNNNNNNNNAAUGCCGAUGCAAUGCGGAUGAUGCGCAUGAUGCGAUGAUGAUGCAACAGAUAAAAAAAUAAUGACACGACGAAAACGGAAUAAGGGGGAAUCUUCUGGAGCGUCGGUCUCAGGCUGUCACAGGCUAAACCUUACUAGUCCUUUGGUGCACACAGGUAGGAUGCAAGCAGAUGCAUCUGCGAUGUCCACGUUAUCAAAAUAUAAACUAACAAUAGUUAUUGUGAUAAUUUUGGUAAUGCAAAAAUAAUCAACACAUAUGGUCAUGGACUUCGUAGACGCGUCGGCCUACAUCCCUCCACGCGGGUGACUGAGAGAAAAUGUCUAUUUUUGGGUUCCAACUACACUAAGGGCAUCUCAAACGUAGACCCUCAAAUCUCCCGCAUAUGUCCGGACCGAGUGGUUCGGACCCUACAAGCCAUCCAAUGAUGUCCCGUAUUCGUUGCGUGGACCAAUCCAUACUUUCGUUUUCCGACAAACUGGAACCAAACCAGGGGGUUUGCGGGAUCCUAAAACCAGACACCUAACAUCUUCGACCCAUCGAAAACUGAGGCGGAGCCCACACAUUUCGAGUUGUGCGGACACUUGAAGCAACUCACCAUACGGUGGCCAAGUGGUGUGCAAAUCUCCGAGCAAGUACAUUAUUAUAUGUGUUGAUCACUUGGUCAGAUAUGCUCUACUGGUCAUUUGGCCAGAUUGAAUAUGCAUAUUCUUGACAAUGUUUUAUUUUGUAGCUUCUCGUGUGUAUAAUUUGUUCUCAAAAGUUUAAGAAGAAGAACUUUGUCAUCAUGCUUGGUUGAAGUUGAAUGGGCACACUAGGUGGAAUAUAUUUACUGUCAACUCAGCCAAGACCGUCGGCAUGGGCACUGAGGAAAAAAUGGGUGAUCCAGCUGACCCAACCAAAGAGCCGCCGAAGAAGAUCGGAAUAGGGCUCCGGGGAAAGAAGUGGGAGGAGGAGAAGGCAAAGCGAGAAGGACCCACGACCAUAAUGAUGGAGAGGUUUGAGGACAUCUUAGCGAAGAAUGAGGAGACAUGUGUCAAGCGCUCCGACAUCAAGGAGACAUGUAAGGCCGAUAGGUCUUCCAUCUUGAUGGCGAUGACUGAGAAGACGCUCAACUUUAAAAAGAAGAAGGUUGGACUUGAAGAGAAGAAGGUUGAGUUCGCAACCUCUUCGGAGGAGACGAAUGUGUUGACCUUGAAGAUGAAGGAUUUGGAUGACGAUACAAGGAUGAUCGUGCAAGCCCUUCUCUUAUUAUGUUGAAGUGCACGAAGGAUCAAGUGGAGGGGGCGGAGAAGGAGGCGGUCAAGACAAGGAGGCGGCAGCAUGAGCAUGGAGACUCAGAUUGUCAGUCCAGCAGGGCAGGAAAUCUUUUACACGGGCUAUCGCACAUAUAUUGCUUUGUAUUCGGACAUGUAAAAACUAUGCAUACUUAGUUUUUGUUUGUGACCGGACGUUAUGUGAUUAAGAGCAUUUAAAUUUUAAAUUAACUAAACCUCAUUUUAUAUGACGACUUUCGAGUCACUCUGUGUUGCCUAAUCCCAUCAUUUCACGGACGAAUACUCUGUCUGAUUUAAUGUUGGUGCCCGAGAUGCGCUAGCAUCAGGUUAGUUGGAGGGUAUGCGUUUAGAGCAUCUACAACCACGCUUAGCAAAUAUGACUCUCUUUACGCCCGCGGGCGUGUCCGGUCAGUGAUCGGGCGUGUUUGUUUUAAGCCUUCACUUUUUCAUUCGUGCAGCCAUAUUUCUUAUAUUUUUCUCUUAUGUCUGCCCCGGUCGUGAUUGAUGAAAAAGAGAAGAAAAAAGAAAAAAAAUGAAUAAAGAAAAAGAAAAAAAUGAUUCAGGAUGAAGUCGCGUCCUAUGUGACGGACUGACCAAACGUGUGCGGGCAUGUCCGCGAUUUCUCAUAUCAUCUUCAUAUUUAAGAUGGAUAUGAAGGGUGUUAAUCAGUACAGGAGUUUGAAACAAUAGGAAGAAUCCAAUUGAAUCUUAUGAUCAGUCGUUGACCGAACGAUUUAUCUACGUUUAAGACGAAUAUAAGGGAUCUGUUUGUAGAUGCUGACCGAUGAGGCAGGUAUGUGGAGAUAACAAAGAUAAGACGACUGAGACGACCAAUUCUUCUCUCUCUUUUUUUUGUACGAGAAAGUAUAGGUGAGACGACCAAUUCAGCUGCUAACAAACAUGCCGGGUAGCGCACGGAAGGCAUGUAGGCUGGGCAAGCAACCUGCCGGCUGGUGUGACUAAUUCAAAUCAACAUUAUCUUGGAUGUGAAUAAUUGAAAUCAACAUUUAUCCUCGAUGUGACUGAUUCAAAGCAUAAUGAUUCGAACACGUAAACCUUUUUAAUCAACAUGAAGAUGAAUCAAAUUUAGCCUAACGUUGGCCAUUUGGCACCUGCAGGCUGCAGCGUGCUAACUAGAGGCAAAGGGGAUCAACUAGUAUGUCGUACAUAUCCGUAGGUACUCUUGGACUUGGGAUUCUGCUUGUAAUUUACACCACGCCGGUCGAUCGAUGGCCACAUUGCUGGCUGCGCUCAUUCCGGACCGCCGCCGUCGGCGCCCACGGCACCCGCGCGCCUUGCCGCCGGCCACACAAUAAAACCGAGCCGGAGGCCUCGGCGCGCGCGGCCGCACCGCUCAACGACGACUGCUGCCAGAACUAAACUAAGACACAGCUCGUGUCCACUGGGAGACUAGCUCGCCGGCUACUCGAGGCGCAGCAUGCGCCUGAGGUCGCGCGUGGCGGCGUCGUUGACGGCGGCCGCGGGCUUCUGGAGCGGGAACUGCGGCAGCGGCAGCGAGCUCGGCUCGGGGGACGCGGCGGAGAAGGCCGGGCCGGCGUACACUUCCACCGCGGGGCGCCUCGCCGGAGCGGCCGCGUGCGUCACCUUCCCGUGCGAGGAAGAAGAGGAGGAGGAAGGCCGGCCAUGGUGUCUCCGGCCGGUCGCGGAGGCCGUUCCGGCCGAUGGAGGAGGAGACCUCCUGGCCGUGCUGGGGUUGCUGGGCCUCCGGUGCGCGGCGCGGAUCCUCUGCGGCUGCAGGAUGUUGUGCGGGCGGAGGACCUCGGUGGCCAUGCGAACGGAGGUGGGCGGUCGGAGAGAGGGGGGACGGGGAGUGGAGAGCGCGGCUGGUUGAUUGAUUGCUGUGUGGGAAUGGAACGCGGAUGAGAGGGGGUGUUAUAGGGGAGGGGAGGGGAGGGGAGUGAAGACGCGUUGUCUUCUCGGGCGACGCGGUUGGUGUUGCGGUGGACUUGGACUCGGACUUGGACGACUUCCGCCCAGCUUCGGUCCUCCCACGGGCGGUUGGUUCGGUUGGUCCGCGCUUCGGUUGCAUGUUCCCGCCGGUUUCGUAGGGUCGCUUUGCUGCUGUUCCCUUUUUGCAAGUCCCCAAUAAAGAUCAAGACGCAAAAAAAAAAAAGGAAAAAAUAAAGAAAGAUGAGGAAUAAGUGGUGCUACCGGCCUCCUUUCUCUCAGCUGUGCAGAGGGAACUCGAUGAGCGUGGAUUUUUGUCCAAAAGGACCCCCUGUCGAGUGGGAUUGUCAAAAGAGACCACAUGCGAGUGCAAACGUCAAAAAAGACCCCCACCCCGGGUGGCGGGUGUCGAGUGGGAUUGUCAAAAGAGACCACAUGCGAGUGCAAACGUCAAAAAAGACCCCCCCCCCGGGCGGCGGCAGGCGCGCCAGGCGGCACGUGGCACCUGCCGCCACCGCACGAGGCGGCCGGGGGGCCUGCCGCCACCGCCCCUGGCGGCCGGGGCCUGCCGCCACCGCCCCUGGCGGCCAGCGCGGGAUCCCGUUCCCGCCCACUCCUGUCCGUAACGGACAAGGCCGGGUGGGCCCUGCCGCCUCGGGAGCAGGCGGCCAGGUGCACUUUUUCCGCGCGCCGGCACUGUUGCUGAUUGCGCUGAUUCCCAGGCUCCUUUCCCGCUCGAAUUUUUCCCGCGCGGCCGGCCGGAACAGUGGAAAUUUUUCCCGCUAUCCACCGACGAAACAGUGCGAAAUUUACUUCUUUGCUCCGGUUCGGACCGUGCAAUCCUUUUGAACAAAAAUAUUGUGCAAGUUGCACUGAUGGCUAAGUGCAUGGAAGGCAUCUACUACGGAUAUUUUGUUGGGCCGUGGUUAUCCCCCAUCCCUCGAACCAAACCAAGAUAUCCACGCUGGUGAAGGCGGGCGGUUUUUUCCGUGGUUUCACGGGGCUCUCAUCUUCGGGUCAGCAUUGUUCACCGCGGCGAUUUUAGAGUGACUCUUUGUGUCCUGAUCGACACUGUUCGUUACGGUGGUUUCGUGGGGCUUUUAUCUCUAGGUCGACAUUGUUUACAAUAGCGUUUCUUAUAUUUAUUUAUAGAGAAAGUAUGUUUUAGCUCUCGAUCAAAUAUUUUGGGAGUGAAUGUUUGAUUGCUAUCGCAGCAGUGACACGCGAUAACGACGGACGAGCAGUGCAAUAGUUUCCCGCCUAAUUUUCCCGCGUUAUUUUCCCGCCAAAUUUUCCCGCUGCAGUUUCUCGUUUUCGCGCCCUUUUUUCCCGCGUAGACAUCCGACAGAGCCUAUAAAAGGAGGCAGAGAGUGAAACUCUCUUCACCAUCAGACAGACUUUAAAGCACCUGCACCUCCAUAGUCAGUAUGAGUUUGCCUUGUUCGGAUCAGAGCAUUAGGCCUAGGAAAAUGCAGAGUGCAAGCUUGCCUCGGGGGGUGGAAGCAGUUCGAUGUUGGUGCGGAGAUGUCUGCAAGGUGAAGGAGGUGACGGAUUUUUCAGAUUGGUUGGGCAUGAAGUUUUUCAUGUGCGCCAAUUAUGAAUCUGAUCCACCCGAAUCUAUUUCUGCGUACGUCAGGCCUCCGGUAUGCUCAAGUCAUCCAGAUUAUUGUUAUUUGAUUUUAUUGUUUACUUGAAUCUGAUCCAUCCUUUAGUCUCCUCCUCCUCUCUGCAUGUACUAUCGUUGGAUUGACACGGAAAUGCCGGACUGGGCGGUGACCGAGAUUCGUGAAAGAGGUCGCCGUGCAUGGGCUAGCUUGGACUUGGAAGAGCNNNNNNNNNNNNNNNNNNNNNNNNNNNNNNNNNNNNNNAGCGUCGUGAGAAGGCUGAAGCAGAGGAGAAAGCAGAGCAGAAGAAAGAGUGGGAAGAUUACUGUGUGGAGCAGAGGGCUUUUCUUGAUGAGAUGAAAAGGAAAAAUCAAGAAGAGAAACUUCGGCUGGAGGAGGUUUACAGACAGUGGGAACAGGCCCGUGAAGCUGAGAGGGAGAGAAAGAGAGAAAGGGCUCGUGCCGCCAAGGCAGCAGAAGAAGCUGGUGAUGGAAAAGGAAAAUAUCCACGUUGGACUCAGUAGAUUUAUUUUAUUGUAUGUUAAGUUGUCUUAGUUGUAUCUUAUUUCUGCAAGAUGUAUCUUAAUUUCGGCAAAUUGUAUCUUAGUUUCCGCAAUGGGUAUCUUAAUUUCAGCUACGUGUAUGUUCAUUUUAUCCCGCCAUUUAUUUCCCGCCUCGCUUUCCCGCCAUUUUAUCCCGCGUAUAGCUUUGCCGCCACUUUGUUCCCGCCCUUGCUUUCCCGCCCUCGCUUUCCCGCCCUCGCUUUCCCGCCUCGUUUUCCCGCCAUUAGUUAUUCGUCUCGCUCUGCUGCACCUAUAAAACCCCCUCCAGACCAAGGUCGGUAAGGAGUGUGCUGAAAAUGUCUCAUUAUCCUUUCGAUCGUAGUUUUCAUAGUGGUAUGUCCGAGUGUCUUCUGCGCUUAGCUAGCAAUUUCAAGAUAGAUAAUAGAAUAGUUUCAUGGGACGAACUCAUCAGUAGUGACACGCUACUGAAUGAGGUUGCCCACGCAUUAGCUAGGAAGGGGUGGCCUGCGAGGACAUAUGAGGAGAUUCGGAAAGAACUUCUGCGGUUGAAUGAAAGAUGGAAGAAGAAAGGCCAACACAUACGCGGUGGAGGUGGAGUAAAACAUCCCUUCUUGUGGAUUGACGAUAGUGAGGACGAAGACGAUAUCUUCAUGCCGAGUACCAAGAGCGCGUCAUCGACGAAGGCCAAGAGCGCAUCAUCAUCGAAGGCCAAGAGUAGCGCUUCGUCAAAGGGCGAGAGCUCUGCAUCGUCGAAGGAUGACGACGACUUUAUGUAGUUUUUUUUAUGAACUCUACAUCUUAAUGUAUCUUAUUUUAUGUAUGUUAUUUUAUGUAUGUUAUUUUAUGAAUCUUAUUUUAUGUAUCUUAUUUUAUGGAAGCAACUUCAAAUAUAUCGCGAACUUUUAUUUCAUGAAACUACAUAGAUGUCUUGUACGUACAUCUGAAAGUUUGAAACUGACAUAGAGAGAUGCAAUUGUUCGCACACAUACAUAGACGAAUCACCCUAUGCGACGACGACCAGCUGGCCUUGCCCGACGACCGGAGGGUGACAAUCGAUCAGGGGGUCUGUGUUCACGAAGACCACGACCGUACUGUCCCUCGUGUUCCUGUGUCUGCAACUGAUGCAUAGGUGGUGGAGUCUGAAAUCCAUAUUGAGAUGAUGAUUCUAAAUUGUAGGUGAAUGGUUGUGACUCAGAAUUGAUGUAAGAUGGACCAAUAACGUCCUGCCCGAAAAAAUCAUUUAUCAUUCCUGGGAGCGUGCAUUGAGUAUCAUGGGUUUCUGUGAGUAUUUCUUUCUGUACGCCACGCUGGGUAUGUUCAUCUCCCCAUGAUGGAUCAUUAAUUUCCUGGUCCACGAAAAAAUGUUUUUAAAAUAAAUUGUGUGUAGCAAAAAGAUGUGUAAAUAGAAGUUAUGUAAUUGCUUAUUAUAAUUGUACAUACCUGUCCGCUGUUGUAGCUUUGUGCUCCCUCGCUUGUCUCAGCCCAACGAUUCUCCUCGGACAUCCUAAUCCCUCGUGUGGGCAGAUAUGGCUGAGAUCCUUGAAUGUGUGCGUCAUAUGCUGUAUAUGCAUCCUGCUCCACGAAAUGAGUUUGUUCGGGUGUCGAUCCUACAUCUGGAGCAUUUACCUGUGAUGUCUGCCCAUGUAUUGGUAGAGAAGAGUCAUGUCGUGGAAGUGUCGGCAUAGUAUUACAACCCUCUGCCCACCGCAUGGACGACGACGGCGCCCCACUCGGUCUAGCUGACCUCGGUUCCGGAAUGUUGUACGCUGCAGUGACAACGUCGUUCUCUAUACCGCAUCUCGUAAUCCUUGUGCUCACGAAUUCGCUAAUUUUUUUAAACCACGACCUGCGUUUAGGAUCACUUCCCUCGGCUCGCAUUCCUUCACUCGCCAUCGCUUGUACUUGGGUGCAAAUGUCAAUCUGAAAAAAAUCGUUGUUCGUUGGUUAAAUUGUUCAUGAAAUGAUGGACCUGAAUAGCAAGAUGUUGAUUAUUACCGCGGAGUCACGAUAGUAAGCUGAUGAUGUGUCCAUCCGUCUCUGCAACUGUUCCAUAUGCGUUGGAUGUGUUGGCAUCGUAGGUGGUUCGCUCGUCAGUCUAGUACGCGUGCUCAUGCGAUACCAAUUAUAGUACGCUUCUGUCGUAGUUGCAUCAUACGUUCUGCAUAAAUAAAUUAACAUUACUAAAUUGACAUCACAUUCUGUAUUUUAUAAGCACAUAAUUAAAUUAACAUUAGUAAAAUUACCGUUGCUGAGGCACUAUAUUUUGUAGAGCUUCAUUAUUCCACUGAUUUAUCCAUUCAAUGUUUUCUGCAUUCCAGUCCACACCAGAUCUGCCCAUAUUGCUCAUCCUGUAAUUAUAGAUAACAAAAAAAAAAAUUCAAGAAUAGUUGAUGGAAUAUCUAUUUAGCUAGGUCACAUCUUACUUACUUAUGAGUUUCUUCGUCGAUACAUCUUGAAACCGGUGGUGGAAUAUCUUGAUAUAGACCGAACUGUCUCAUGACACGGUCAGGAUUAUACGGUUCCACAAACCAUAGAUAGAGUAAAUUGCAGCAAGUCAUCCAAAAGGCACUAUCUCUCACGCAUUCCACUGGCAUGUGUUACGAACCAAAUACCAUAUCAAUGUGCGCCUCAGUCCACGGGUUCCAUGUUAUUAGUGAGUCGUUAAGAAGCUCAAACUGAUCAUGGUAUAUGGGGUAACAAUUUUUUGCAAUUUUAGUAGACCAUUUUUUUUGACCCAACAUCCACCGAGUGGACAUAGUUACAACACCCUCACCAUAGUUGUACGGGGUUGCGGGUUCUACUAUCUGCGGUCGUCCUACAGGUAAGUAUUCCCAGGACCACAACUGUAGAAACUAGUAGGAGACACAAAGUAAUGGAGCUUUAGAUGUGAAUGCCGUUUUUUGAGUGGCAUCACACAACCCUCGGUAUGUGUGAGAAAGCAAAGCAGAACCAAAGCUAUAUGGUGGAUUUUGGGGUAAAGGUUCGUCAACUAUCUUUGCGGCAAAAUAGAUGAGACCAGGCAAAACUACAUCCCCGUGAGAAUUAGGAAACAUCACACCGAAGAGCCACAACAAAUAUGCAAACAAGUGUCUCUUCGUUGUCUCAGGAUCAGCAUGGGUAGAUAAAAUUUCGAAGUUAAUACGAAGCCAGCUGUGUGGGACACCUCGAGACGGACCAGAACGAUCUGAUAUGGGCAUUUCGAGCCUCAGACGGGCAGAGACAUCUGCUGGCCAAUUAGGAGAAACUCGUGGAUGUACCACUGGCACACCUCUAAUUGGUAAAGCUGUGAUCAUUGACACAUCUUUUAGAGUAGGUGCAAGCUCUCCACAUCGAAAGUGAAAUGUGUGGGUCUCCGGUCUCCAUCUAUCAACGAGGGAUGUCAAAAGGGAUGGGUCGACAGUAAAACUACCUCGACGAGCUGCGAUGUUCGCAAAAUGUAGGAGCCCAUAAGCCUCAAGGUGUUCAAGGAACCGAUUCUCUAUUGACCAGGGCGUCUUUACAGUUCGAAGCCGGAAGGUCUGAGGAGGAUUUUCAUGAUUUGGAUUUAUGAAAAGCUGGCAACGGUGGUGGUUGUCGUGAUAACCAUUCAAAAGCUGGGGCAUUUCAGCCAUAACCUGCAAUCACGAUGAAAAAAAUUAAAUAUUCCGAAUAUUACAUCACGAUUAAAUUAAAAUACAUAUUCCGAAUAUUACAUCACGAUUAAAUUAAAAUACAUGUUCCGAAUAUUACAUCACGAUUAAAUUAAAAUACAUGUUCCGAAUAUUACAUCACGAUUAAAUUAUGAAUACAUAGCAUGAUUACAUAUCACGCAGUGUUGUUGUUACGAUACGGACAGUCCCUACGCGGGUGACCAGCACACCUACAUACGCGGCAUCGCCUUGGUUCUCCCAACUGGCUGUGGUCCAUGUCAUUGCGAUGACGCCUAGACUGACGCCGUCCCUUGCUGGUUCGCAUCAAUGCGGGAUCUGGAACCCAUGUGGUGCCUUCUGGCCAUAAUUGCUUGUAGUUCGUAUCAAUGCCCCAUGCCCAAAACUCACCGUUCCAAGUGUUGUACAAAUUGUGCAUGUUGAAGUAUGGUGAUACGUACGGCUCGACACUAAUUUGUUGAUCUGCAGCUGCCCGCAAUACGUGACUACAAGGAUAUCCCAGAAGCUUGGGCUUGUUGCAAGUGCACUCACACGAUGUUGCGCCAAGCGUCACAGCUUGUUUUUUUGCUCCCCUGUGGUGACCCUUCACAAACAUUGCUCGCACACUAACUUCCCAUUUAUUCCUAAGUGCAUCUACCUGCCUGCACCCAUGUCUUUGCGACUUCUUUGCUUUGUCAUCAAGAUGUCUUUGCAUCUUCUCAGACCAGGUCUUGUUCAAAUCAACUAGCGCCUUGGCAACGGUGACUCUAUCUGCAAAGUAUGACACAGUCUGGUUCCAAGUUUCAUCAAUUAGUGCUGUGAUAGGUAGUGCCCUCACCCCUUUAAGAACACCAUUGUACACCUCGGACAUGUUGCUUGUCAUUAUACCGUAUCUAGCGCCAGUGUCAUGAGACUGCACCCACUUGUACAAAUUGGGACAAUUCUCAUUAAUCCACUGGCUCAAAUUUAUUGCUCUUCGACGACCCCUCCGGUCUUCUCUCGCCUGGAGGGAUGCGCGCUCGAUCUGACCAUUGAUACCUGCCCAGAUAGCACUCAUUUUUGCUGUAGUUUUCUGCAUGCACAUCCUCUUGAAUAGCUUGAACCAAUCUUUGUUUUUGAAUUUCGAAUAAAAAUUAGCUGCCAAAUGCCUCAUGCACCACCUUGUCUCCAGAUCGGGCCACCCCCAAUCUGGAUCUUGUGAAGCCUUAAUUAUCUCAAGCGCGCUUAAUAGUCCGGUGUUGCGAUCAGAGAUGAUGCAAACCCCUUCCCGGUCUUUGAUGACACCCAUCUUCAGGCAACACAGGAACCAUAGCCAACUAUGUUUGUUUUCGCUCUCCACUAGUGCAUAGGCAAUAGGAAGAAGUUGAUUGUUUGCAUCAGCUGCCAUCGCCACUAAGAGUGUGCCCUUGUACUUUCCUGUGAGAAAUGUACCAUCAAUUGAUACAACCGGACGACAAUGCUUGAAUGCUUGUAUAGUCUGGGCGAAUGCCCGGAAUAAGCGAUCCAGGAUUUGCUCGUCCGGGUUCAAUGGAUUUGGACGUUCUUUCCGGAAAACUUGAGUCCCCCUAUUAGCAACUGAAAUCUGAUGCAGCAUUCUAGGGGCAAAAGAGUACGCCUCCUCAUAGGUUUCAUACAACCUCUGAAAUAUCUUUUCCUUUGCAUGACGAGCCUUGCUAUAGCUGACGGGGAAACCAAUCAGAUCAGAUGCAGUUGCACGCAAAGCCCUAAUACUAAUAUUAAGACUUUGCUGCACAAUGGUUUGCAUCACCUGUGACACAUAUUCUGCAGUCACGUUGCGGUGCUCUGAAAGAGUGCCGGUUUGCUCACAACCAUGUUGCUCUAUUUUUGUGACAUGCCAUGGCUGACAUGCCCCAGGCUUCUGGCGAGCAAUAACUCUUCCGCGGCAACCCGCUUCGCGAUGGAUGCAUAUGAGCUUCAACUCCUUUUUAUCAGACUGCUUCACUCUAUGUUGCCUGUGUAUAGCAAUUGCAUAGCUAUGUAUUGCUUGUUUAGCAGAUUUCUUAUCUGGGAAAAUCUGUCCAACGGCCAGACUCCCCGCGUCUAGGCCAGCAACAGAGUGAAAUUCAUUGGUGAUGCUCAUAACCUGUAAAAACUCUGGGUUGAUUGCUGCAGCGACCGCAUUCUCAGGAGGAACAACUUCAUCAUCAUCUGAUUCCGAAGACGCAGAAGAAUGACCAUCAUCGUCAUCAUCUAGCGCCUCUGGCAAUCCCUCGACAUGUUCGCUCAUGUCAACGACCGCAGAUCAAUAUCCCGUGUCAUACACUUGAUGGCCACCUGUUGGUUCCGUUGGGCCGGCGUCGGGGGCUACAGUUAUGGCCAUAUGUUUGCCACCGCUUGGUUCUGAUGGGCCGGCGUCGGGGGCUACAGUUGCGGCCAACUCGGCCUCACCGGCACCGCUACUGCACUCGGCGACAUCACUGGCAGAAAUGAACUCCACAUAAACCAUGGGUUGUCCAUACAUGGAGUUAUUGGGAUUGCUUGCAAAACCCAUGUACGACGCCCAUGCUCUUUCACCGGUAACCCGUCGCAAAACCCAACGAUUUCCUCCCUCAACCACGAAAGCCUCCAGGGUCAUUUUUUUUCCAUUCAUCGCUGAACCAAACACCGAUCGGAUGCACCUUCUAACUGCCGCAUACUCUACAUUAACCAUGUCUUUCACUACAACCGUAGUCAUCCCGCACCUAGACACAUCCACACCAGAAGGACCCUCACGUACGAUGUGCCCAUAAAACACUAACAAAUUUUCCAUAGUACCUAACGAGCAGCCAUAUUUACAUCGUUAGUCCAUUAAAAAUCAUAUUUUUAGAUUUACAUUGUAAUAACAACAUCCAUUACUUAUCUUUUUUACAUAUAACAAUUUAACAACAUCCAUUACAUCUACGCAUAAUAAUUUAUAUUGUAUCAUUUAUCGUCACACUACAUCUAUAAAAUAAAUAGAAGAUGAAUUACAAUAUGUCAUUCAUACCUCUGGUUGGCAAAUUACAUACUGCAUAUAUAUAUAUGCGGCAAAAUACAUACUGCAUAUAUAUAUAUAUCACGAAUCAUAUUUCUACGGGGUUGGUAAAUUAUCAAAUAAACAAAUAUAUUACACACGCGUCUUGCAUGUAAUAAUACUAAUGGAGCUAACAUAUUAUUACAUGUUUUUUACAAAAAUGCUAGUUACAUAUGCAUUUCUUCGGCUCCUUUCUAAAUACCAGUUGCAUGCAAACACGAACAAAUCAUCGGUAAUAUAUGAACAUAGUCGACCUAUUAUCACAUGAACACAAAUAUGAACAAAGUCUCAUACCUUGAUCUUCAACUUAGUAGUUCAUAUCGCAUGACAAAAUAGUUCCACAAAAAUGAUAAUACGCUCCCUAAGACAAAAGAAAACACAUACUUAGAAACUAAUCAAACAAAAUAAAAACAUCAUGCAUGCAAACACGACCAACAGAAAUGGAAAGCUCUUACCUUGAUCUAUCUUUUCUUCAACUACAACGUCUUCAAAAUAGUUCCACAAAAGUGAUAAUACGCUCUCUAAGACAAAAGAAAACACAUACUUAGUAACUAAUCAAACAAAAUAAAUACAUCAUGCAUGCAAACACAACCAACAGAUAUGGAAAGCUCUUACCUUGAUCUAUCUUUUCUUCAACUACAACGUCUUCAAAAUCUCACUUUAAUCCGUCCUAAAUCGCCACAUAAACAUUCAUACGGAGUGAGAAAGAGAAGAGAGUGAGAAAGAGAAGAGAGUGAGAAAGAGGAGUGACACGGGAGGCAACGACAGGAGAAGAGAGUGAGAGAGGAGGCAGCGACGCGGUUCGCUUAUAAAGGAGUAAAUUUCGCACUGUUUCAUCGGUGGAGAGCGGGAAAAAAAUCCCACAGUUCUGCCCGGCCGCGCGGGAAAAAUUCGAGCGGGAAAGGAGCCUCGGAAUCAGCGCAAUCAAUCAUCAACAGUGCCGGCGCGCGGAAAAAAGGGCACCUGGCCGCCUGCUCCCGAGGCGGCAGGGCCCACCCGGGCUUGUCCGUUACGGACAGAACGAAUCGGGAACGGAUCCCGCGCUGGCCACCAGGGGCGGUGGCGGCAGGCCCCACGGCCGCCUCCUGCGGUGGCGGCAGGUGUCACGUGCCGCCUGGCGCGCCUGCCGCCGCCCGGGGUGGGGGUCUUUUUAGCCGUUUGCACUCGCAGGUGGUCUUUUUUGACAAUCCCACUCGACAGGGGGUCCUUUUGGACAAAAACUCGAUGAGCGUUGGCAAGUCGCACAAUAAGCAGGAUUGCUGAGCAAGCUCGACUGCAACAAGAAAGUCAAUUUGAGUGCUAACAUCACGUAUCGGUAGAUCCUGAGCGAACUUUCGCGCCGUGAUUCGCGUUACCGUUGGCCCACCUCGUUGUAUUUUUUAAACAUAAAUACAAACGCAAACGCUCGUAUAUACACGCAUACACUCAUCCCUAUAAACGCAUACAUGCACGUUCUAUCCCUAUAAGCAUCUCGAAAGACUAAACCGGCAUAUCAUCUUUAGAUUUACGAAGUCACUGUAGGCGUCUCGUCGUCGACGGGAACGCCUCCUCCCACUGAAAGCGUAUCGUCGAAAAUCUCUACUAUUAAAGGGGGAUCUGCCGUCGUCGUGAUGGUUCAAUCAGGCUCGAUCAACCCCUCCUCUCGCUACCUCCCACCUACCCCGUCCUGUUUUUUUUUUUCAAUUACCCUCCGAAAACCAACCGCAACCCCGCGCACGAAGAAAAAUCGCUCCACCCACACGCUCCUCACGUCGCGCCAGGAAAGGCAUCGCCUCGCCUCGCCGGCCGAUAGGGUUCCUGCACAACUGCCUCACCAGAUCCCGCUCACCGGAUGCGAGACGCCGACCUCGCCGCGAAACUCUGGCCCCUCUACGCUGCAGAGCUCCUUCCCCGCCUCUCACUCGCCCGACGCCGGGCACCGACAUGACCCGCCUCUGCACCACAGCUCCUUCCCCGCCUCUCACUCGCCCGACGUCUCCUACCACUGAAAACGUAUCAUCGAAAAUUCUGAAAUAAAUCCAGGAAUAAUUCAAGCACCAGGAUUUAAAACCUGGUGGGUUGUGGAUAUCACUAUCCCUCUAGCCAUCCAACAUGUGGUUUUGCGCCCACCUUAUUGUAUACUGCAUGUACAACGCAGCCCAGGAUGUAUUAUAUGAGUUUAAUCCCUACACUUAUCGCGGCGCACCUGACCCCACCGCCGUUUGUACCGCCAAUAAACACGAGAGUAGUUAUUGUGACUUCGUCUUACUUUCUUUUUCUUCUUCGGCUUCUCUUUUUCUUCCUUAUGACUUCACCUCCUCCGCGGACAAGUCCAUCCCAUCGAUUUGCCGUCAUAUUGAAGCUUGCAAUUGGAGCGAGAAACUCACUAGGACACAUUCCCCAUAUUGGUUCCUACAUAUUCUACGAAGAUCUAUAUCGGUUGAACCUCGAUGUCAAGGAUUCAAUCAAUCCCCUAUACAAUUCCUUUUGUCCAUCGGUACGUUACUUGCCAGAGAUUCGAUUGUAGGUAUCUCCAUACCUAGUUCAAUCUCGUUACUGACGAGUCUCUUUACUCGUUCUGUAAUACAAGAUCAUGUGACUAACUCCUUAGUCACAUUGAUUGCAAGGUUCUUGUGAUGUUGUAUUACCGAGUUGACCCUGAGAUACCUCUCCGUCAUACGGAGUGACAAAUCUCAGUCUUGAUCCAUGUCAAUCCAACAGACACCCUCAGAGAAACUUGUAGAGCACCUUUAUAGUCAUCGAGUUACGUUGUGAUGUUUGAUACACACAAGUUACUCCUGCAGUGUCAGUGAGUUGCACGGUUUCAUGGUCAUAGGAACAAAUACUUAACAUGCAUAAAACGAUAGCAAUAAACUAACGCGAUCAUAUGUUAUGUUCAUAGUUUUGGUCUUUCCCAUCACAUCAUUCUCCUAAUUAUGUGACCUCGUUAUCAAAUGACAACUCGUGUCUAUGGUCAGAAAUCUUGACCAUCUUUGAUCAACGAGCUAGUCCAUUAGAGGCUCAGUAAGAACAGUGUGUUGUCUAUGUAUCCACACAUGUAUUUGAGUUUCCAAUCAAUAUAAUUCUAACUUGAAUAAUGAACGAUUAUCAUGAACAAGGAAAUAUAAUAAUACCCACUUUAUUAUUGCCUCUAGGGCAUAUUUCCAACACUAAGAACUGAUGAGCUAUCCCUUCUUGGUUGCAGUGAUGGUUGAGGCACAUACGUAGGAUCUAAUAACCUCUCUCCAUAUUGCAUAAAAAGAAUAUCCUUGACUGAUUUCCCAUAACUUAUUCUCUCCAUGAUUAGAUUAUUUCUUAACCCACAAUGCUGACUGUUAUGGAACAUUACUCCACAAAAAAGACAUAUCCGUUCGAUCUUGUCAUAAAGCUGUGGUUGACUUAUCAGGAAGAGUGAGAUUGAUUCUAUCCAUCAAUGGCUGCAUUACCUUGAGUUUUGUAGUGCCCAUAUGUACUCUGGUCUUGCAAAUAACAUGUUGUUCUGAAGUGGAUGGAACUCCGAAGGAGUACCUACCGUGCAAAUAAUAUCAUGUAAAAGUUGUAGUGAUCUUACUUCUCUGGGAAUCCCAUAAGCUCUAACAGUUACAUAGAUGUGCUCGAAUUUGUAAUCAUCUCUUGUCUUGCUACCAUCUUCCGGAUCAACCCAUUCCAAGAGUAGAUUAUCCGAUCCCAUUAUCCAGGACUGACGGGUGAACACAAACCUCAUAUCUUCUCGAGAAACAAAAUAAGCCAUAAACAGGUGAGUUGAAACUUGAGUGAUUGCAUAAAAAUGUUGCUUCCACACUUUAGCCAUGGUUUGAGUGAUAGUAUGCUCUGAAAUAGUCAUCGGGGUUCCUCCUGUGCAUGCUAUUUUCAUCAAUAGCAUGUAUUUGUCCUGUAUCUCCUGGCUCUGCUCUACUUGAUUUGCUUGCAGAUUGCAGACCCUAGGUGCUGAUAAACUAAUUGCCUGAAGAUUAAGAGCCAGAUCCGACACACCUUUUAUCUCUCGCUGUCGUUGUUGAUUGUAAUCCCCUUCCUCUUUAUCUUCUUCUUUUUGGACCAGCUGAAAACUAUGCACAUCCAUCGUGAAGGGAAAGGGAUAAUCUCCUUCACUGCAGAUCUCACCCUCCCCAACUCAGAUUGAGAGAUGGAAAAAAGGAAUGGAUGGCGGAUGAGGGAUGGGAAGGAUCUAUGUGUAUGAGAGAUUGGAUCAAAAUAUUGUGAGAUUAGAAGGAGCAGGAUUAGGGAUGUGCGAGAAAAAUUAGGACGACAUGGCGCUACUCUCCACUCAGGGAAGUCUCCGGAAGGUUAUGUGUUCCCUCACAAGACUUUAAAUUGCUACUCCCUCCGUUCCUAAAUAUAAGUCUUUAAAAAAAAAUCAUUAGUGAACUAUAUACGGAUGUAUAUAGACAUACUUUAAAGUGUAGAUUCACUCAUUUUGCUCCAUAUGUAGACUUCUAUUGAAAUAUCUUAAAAGAUUUAUAUUAGGAACGAAGGGAGUAUUUUUUUUUCUAGAGUACUAUAGGCUAAGAAACUCAAAAAAGAUAAAACAUCUAAGGAGAGCCUAACUUGGAACUUGUAUUAUGUGCGAAAAUAAACAUAAAACAUCUAAGCACAGCCUAAUGGUAAUAUUUUUCAUUGCUUUCAAAAAAAAUGGUAAUAUUUUUCAAUCAAUUUCUUUUGACGAAAAAAACCAUAACACUAACUAAUGAGCCGAAAAAUCUAUCAAUGGUCGUUUUGGUUGCGAAAACCUGUUUUUUGGUUUCUGUGAAGUGGGUCAGGCUACCCCUUUGUUGUGAUUUCCCCUACCCUUUAUCAACCGGGUCAUUCUAAAACCUUACCUUCUCUUAUGGCGGGUGACAAUUUUCCUCCUGUGUUGGUUAUCCCGAAAAGGGAUCGGGAGGCGGAUGAGUGGCUAUUGAAGAAGGAGAAGCAGGAGUCGGAGCGGCUGCAAUCGGCGAUAGAGGAGGGGGGGGGGGGGCAAUCCUCNNNNNNNNNNNNNNNNNNUAACAGGGGAGAGGGGGGGGGGGGGGGGGUCAAUCCUCUCGACACAAAGUACAACGAGUACGACCUCAUAUAGCGGGAAUAUAUACUUUUUCAACCCCACACUCUACUCGACGAGGAGUGUAAGUCAAUGUUUUCUCGCCAUUUUUGACCCCGAUGGUUGGCCCAACAACGCUGGUUUUGGAAAAUUGGAAACCUUUCGUGUGGUUAUGGGAAGAUCGACUAGUUCUUUCCUUUUUUCUAUGUAUUUCUAAUCUGUUUUCUUUUGGUUCAACUAUUUCUUUCUCUCUUUUGUUCAUUUUCGCUUUUCAUUUUUUAUUUUAAAAUUCAUGACCUUUUUUAAUCCUCUCGGUUAUAGUGUACAAACAUCUUGUCACAUGUCACAAAUAUUAUAUAGAAAAUGUGCAAAAAUAAUUUCUAUCUUAAUUGAUUUUUCUAAUUAUGUGAAAAAUUAUAAGUCAUUUGAACAUAAUUUAAAAUGGGACAUUUUCCAUAUUUUAUCAGUAAUUUUUGACAAAAUGCACAAAUAGAACUUUAUAUCGCAUGAACAUAAUUUUAAAAUGUGUGAAUAUGUUUUAAAUGUCAUGAACUACUUACUGAAUGGUACAAAAUUUUCUAAAUUAUACGAACUAUUGUUUACAUUGUGAUUCUUUCUAGAAAUAAAAUCAUGAACAUAUUUUUAAAUGUUUGCAAUUGUUUUAAUUGUCACGGCCAUUUUAUUGAGUGGUACGAACAAUUUUGUAGAAUCGCAUGAACAAACUUUUACAUGCCCAUGAACAUUUUUUAAUGUGUUAUGUACAUUUCAAAAAAUAAGUAAAUUAUUGUCUUGAUAUAUACAUUUAGAGGACUUCAAAAUACAACAAAAGGAACAUAAAAAAUAUAAUAUAAGAUAGUGAAAUUACUAGGGUGUGUAUAUAAACUAGACGAUGCCCCGCACGUUGUUUCGAGAAUAUUUUACGUUGUAUUUCGAAGAUAUUGAUUUUAUGAAAAUAAGAUUAUCAGAGAAAUAAUAUUAGAGCUGAAACAAAAAAUAUAUAUGGUUUAUUGUGUUUGAUUAUUGUAUUUUUGUAAAUUAUUUAUUAAAUAUAUCAUGCAUGUUUGCAUGUUGAGGUGAACCUUUUCCUAGGACUCACUGAAUGUUGGAGUGGGUCUUUUUCUAGUGCAUGUUGGUUGAUGAGGUGUCAUGCUUGCAUGUUAAAAGAAAUAGAUUAGUGGGGACUAGCUAUUUAGAUAUAAAAGAUAAAUCACUGGAAAAAAACUGUUCAACUGAGCUAGGGUCACUAAGAGACUUCGAGCCUGGCCCGUACAAGGGGGGACGCCGGCUGGGGACCUCCUAUUCGCCGCGCGUUGCGGCAAGGAGUCGCACCCGCAUAGGGAAGGCGACUCCGACAGGGCCAGCCCAUCUUCGGCUCGCCCCCAACUGGACCCGUCCAGCUUAUUUUUUUGUUUAAAAAAUCUAUUAAUUGUUUUUCUAUAUAUUUCAAAUUCCAAAACAUUUUCUGGAAUUACGGAACAUUUUUCAAAUAUUGGAACAUUUUGAUAAAAAUUCCAGAACAUUUUUUUAAAUUCUAAAACUUUUUCCCAAAAUUUCGAAUAUUUUUUCAAAUUCGGAAAAAAUUCAAAAUCCGGAUGAUGUUUUCUAAUUCCGGAUUUUUUUUCAAAUUCUGGAACAUUUUUUGAAAUCCAUAACAUUUUUGAAACAGAAAAACAAAAGCGAAAAAACAGAAAAAUCGGUUCAGUGAAUCUUCAGAAAGUUUCCAAAACCAAAAAAACAGCUAAAAAAGUCUAGAAGGUUUUCAAAACCGGCAUCCCCGCAACUAUUAAUGGACCGCCCCAGAUCAUCCAAGUCGCUAAAGUUUUCUGUGUGCGAAGCCAUGGCUUUUUGCCGCAACGCGCGACAAAUAGGGCCAUGGCUUUUUGCCGCAACGCGCGACAAAUAGGGUCUCCCGCUGGCGGUGCUCAUCGUGACAGGCUCUAUUCACAACAUGCUAAUUUCUUUUUUUCUUUUUUUGAAGGGACAAGAUGCUAGUUUCUAGAAAACAAAAUUAAAACAUGCUCAUAAUUUUGGACAUUAAAAAAGGGCCAAAACAGAAGAAUGAAAAUGCAAAAAGUGGAAGCCGGGAUGGUGGGUUUGACGACUUUAUUUCUUUUGCGAGAAGGAUUUGACGACUUAUCACGAUCUUACCAUCAUGGCUAUAUUUGUAGUUUCCUUGUCGCUGCCGUACACGGAAGAACAAUAUAUUCUGUACAUAACUACCAUGAGGAUCGCAAACGUUGUAGAAAGAGAAAGAGAAGAACGUCUGGACAACACGUGUGUUUUUUUUCUCAAAAUGAAAUAAACACGUGCUAAUACAGGCUUGGUUGAAGGGAAAACACGCUGUAAUGACGCCCUGCUCCAGUUUACGAUCGACGGGAACUCGGCGGGUUGAUCCGUACCGUAGCCACCCACGAGCUCUCGAGCCAAGCUGCCGUGCACAAUUCGCAGAUGAUGAAGAGGAGGAGGAGGAGAUCCUUUGGCCUUUGCCACCCCGUACGUACGUAGCCAACUUGGUCGCUCUCGAAUUUUCGGCCUGUGCGUACGUGCGUGCGGUCGCCUCCGGUGAUGUGUUCUGGCCCUUCUGGGCAGGCCGCAUCCGGCCUAGUCCGGUCCAGCCCGACGUCGACCGCUAGCCGCACCGACCGGCGAGCUGGACACUUGAGCAGCAGCAGCAGCAGCAGCACGCCGCUGACGUCUCGUGCGCUCGGCGUCGUCGAUCGGCGCAUCCUGGAGCUUACACGUACAACUCCUGGCGCAUCCUGGGUCGAUCGAUCGAUCUGUUUCCAUCUUGUCGUAUCAGACGUUCGGUUUGAAGCCCGGACAGGGGAUACCUGCACUGCGUGACAUGAUAAGGCGGCAGCGCAUACAUCAGUCGCUACCAUGGCUUCGGUUCGUGGCUGCCAAUCAAUCACCCAUUCUAACGGAACAUCGAGCGCACGCAUGUUGUGGAAGCCAGAGUGAAAAGGAGAUUUGCCCUUUUUCAUAAAUUAAGGAAGGAGGAGUUUGACAGGGUUUGCCCAAACUCCUCCUCCUACCACUCGCCCAACGCAUCAAGGCGUGAAGCUCGUAACGUGCACGAAUCAGCAUUAGAGCAUCUCCAACAGUUUGUAUGUUCAGUCGUUGGUAUAAGUAUCCACAUCAUCAACCAACAGCACAUCACACAAGCUCUUCAAUAGAGUGUAUGUUAACCAUAUGUAAAAUAGCUAAGUGGGUCCAUUAAAUUUUGAAGAAAUAACCAUGUUUGCCUCAGAGCUUGUGCAUGAACCGUUGCUUCAAGUUCAUACAGUAUGGUUUCAUUCUCCUUUUAUUAUUAUUAUGUGUUAUGUUAUUAAAAUCAUCUAUGUGGCAAUUUUAUCAAUGACGAUCAUACGACCAUCUCACCAUUGGAGAUGCCCUUAGUGGAGCCGGAGCGCAUACACAAUCAAAAUCAGCAUCUGACAGCUCGUCCGAUCGAUUGCUCGUGAUACGGCCGAGACGCUACGAGACGUGAUUCGCCAGUACAGUUACGCUUGCUGACGGCAGAUAACAACCACCUGAAACAAGAAAGAUUCGACCAGCCCCGCCACGAACACGGGAACCGCAGCGAGGCGCCGACGAGCCGGGCAAGACGGCCGGCGCGGAUCGGGAAACGCCCCCCCGUUCCGGGCGGUGGCGCGACGGGCCGCCCCGGCGAGAGCGGUCGCGUCCUGCCCGGUUCAGCCAGCAAUAAUGCCGACCGGCCACUUGCACCCGCCAAUGAUGAGCGACCGCAACUGCGACAGGGACCAACUCCAGGUCACGUCCCGGGGAGGCGCCACCCGCGGCGCGCGCCCCGUUCACGCUCCCUGGCAGCCGGGCGCGCCCGGACGCCGACGGUCACCGCGGCGGCAGGAUGCCAUGACCCGACUCGGGGAGAAAUUUCAGCGCGGGGCACGUCAUGCCGUGCGCGGGAAAAUACAAAAUUGCUCGAUCGUGUUUGACCGUUGAGCAUGUCGACAUGUCUGGCCUGGAUAAGAGCGUGCCCGUCGCCGUCAGCGUCGGGGACUCGGGCGGCCGAGCGCCGGCAGGGGGCCACGUCGGAGCACCAACCGCGGCCNNNNNNNNNNNNNNNNNNNNNNNNNNNNNNNNNNNNNNNNNNNNNNNNNNNNNNNNNNNNNNNNNGUUCAGCAGAGGGCACGAUCGUACGUGGCACGGACCGGGGGCGCACGUCAGCGUCCCCCCGGCAGGGGUCUUAUCCGGUUCUCGCGGCGGCGAUCGUGCCUAUCUGGACGCCAUAUCGAUCGACAGCGUUACAUGGGUCGUCAAAUCAUUGCUGGUACGUACAAUCUUUUAAAAACCAGUGGUGCUUCUAUAUUUUUUGAAAGAUCACUACGAUCUUCUUGAAGUUUUUUACUGGUGUGGGGUUUCGAUUUGAGGAUAGCCAUGAGAAUGGUCAAAUUAGUUUGAGUAUAUCACUGCAUGUAUCUGACGUGGCAGCCUCAUACGACUUGUCAGAGUCGAAGCCUGGCCAUUUUCGAAAGCCGAAACUGUAAAUCGUGAGUCGAAAGUCGAAACACGCGUGCCCAGUUUCAGUUCCCCGCACCUAUAAAAACAGCCAAACUUUUCGGACACCACGCCUCAAGAAGCAACCAAGAACGCGCGCGGCUGGCUGGCUGAGUGCAGAUCAUCGACGGCGGAACGAAAGCGGCGCACAACGAUCUCUUCGGUUCGACCGGCCAUGGACCCGCGGUGCAGCGGCCACUGGGAGAGCUCGUCGGAGGACGUCACGAGGUCGCUGCUGCCCCUGCACGACAUCACGGCGGACGGCGGCGCCCGCCGCUCCUCCUGCUCGCCGCUCGUCGCGUCGCUGCUCGCCAACAGGUACCUGCCGAUCGCGGCCGGCCCGCUGGCCGCCGUGCUGAUCUGCGCGCUCGUCGACCUUGGCCCCGGGCACGCCGCGGCGCGCAACAUGCUCGGCGUGCUGGCGUGGGUGUUCAUCUGGUGGAUCACCGACGCCGUGCCGCUCGCCGUCGCGUCCAUGGCGCCGCUGUUCCUCUUCCCGGUCUUCGGCGUCUCCUCCGCCGACGCCGUCGCCAAGGCCUACAUGGACGACGUCAUCUCCCUCGUCCUCGGCAGCUUCAUCCUCGCCCUCGCCAUCGAGCACUACAACAUCCACCGCCGCCUGGCGCUCAACGUACGUGCAUGCCCGCGCCGCGCGCGCGUCCUCCUAGCUAGCUAAUACUACAGCGCAAUCGAUUCUUCCGGCGCCGGUGAUCAGCGUACUAACAUUGUGCGGCGCGCGCGCAGAUCACGUCGCUGUUCUGCGGGGACCCGGUGAAGCCGGCGCUGCUGCUGCUGGGCAUCUGCGGCACCACCAUGUUCAUCAGCAUGUGGAUCCACAACACGCCGUGCACCGUCAUGAUGAUGCCGGUGGCCACGGGGAUCCUGCAGAGGUUCCCCGGCGACGCGGCCGCCGGCGCCGACGCCCGCGAGUUCAGGCGGUUCUCCAAGGCCGUGGUGCUCGGCGUCNNNNNNNNNNNNNNNNNNNNNNNNNNNNNNNGUCGUGUACGCGUCGGCGAUUGGCGGGAUGGCCACGCUCACCGGCACGGGCGCCAACAUCAUCCUGGUUGGGAUGUGGUCCACCUACUUCCCGGAGGAAGAGCCCAUCACCUUCAGCUCCUGGAUGUCCUUGGGGCUCCCCAUGUCGCUCGUGCUCUUCGCGGCGCUCUGGGGCACGCUCUGCCUCAUGUACUGCUCCAAGAACACAGGGAGGGCGCUCUCCGCUUACCUUGACCGCACCCAUCUCAGAAGGGAGCUCAGCUUGCUUGGUACGUUAUCUUUCUUGUGAUCUGCACUUGAGGAAAACGACUGCUGUAGUAUUCAUCCAUGUUCUCGUGAUCUGGCCAGUUUGAAUUUUUAACCAACUCCUGGUCAAAUAUUUCGUGGAGUAAACUGAAUGAACCACAACCGUUGAAAUCCUAGCGUUUGGUUAUCUGAUGGGGAUCUCCGUUUUUUAUUUGCGCCAGGUCCAAUGGCUUUUGCAGAGAAGAUGGUUCUUGCCGUUUUCGGGGUAAGUUUGCACAUUUCAAAUCAGUAAAAUGUAACAGCCAUUUUUUCCCCUGAACCUAGAAGCAGAGUGUUACUGCAGCAACAGAACUGAAUGGAUCAAUGGCUGAUUCAUGCAGGGCCUGAUCGUCCUGUGGAUGACGAGGAGCCUGACGGACGACAUCCCCGGGUGGUCGGUCCUCUUCCACGGCAAUGUCGGGGAUGGGACAGUCACUGUAAGUAUGCUCCACAAGUUCAAUCAUUCAUCUCUCAGGGACAAUCUGCCACACGAGCUCACGGGACACCAUCUCGGUCGCAAUGCAGAUCAUGAUGGCGACGCUGCUCUUCAUAAUCCCGAGCGGCAAGAGCGACGGCGAGAAGCUCAUGGACUGGGGCAAGUGCCGGAAGCUGCAGUGGCACAUCGUCCUGCUCCUCGGCGCCGGCUUCGCCAUCGCCGACGGGUUCAAGGCGAGCGGCCUGACGGACAUCCUCGCCGGGUGGCUGGGCUUCCUGCGGGGCGCGCCGGCGCUGGCCGUCGCGCCCGUGGCGUGCGCCUUCAGCGGCCUCCUCACGGAGUUCACCUCCGACGACGCCACCACCACGCUCGUGCUGCCGCUGCUGGCGGAGCUGGGCAGGACCAUCGGCGUGCACCCACUGCUGCUCAUGGUCCCCGGCGCCGUUGGCGCGCAGCUCUCCUACCUGCUGCCCACCGGGUCGCCCGGCAACUCCGUGGGGUUCAGCACCGGCUACAUCACCAUCAAGGACAUGGUGGUCACCGGCAUGCCCAUCAAGAUCGUCGGCGUUGUCGCUCUCACGGUCCUGCUGCCAACGCUAGGUAAGUUUACCUGCUUGCAACUCCUUUCAGACACUGGAAGAAGACAAUCUGCAGAGCUAGUACUCUCGCUCUGGUGCUGAAUCAUGUUCUUCUCUUGAUUUGAUGCAGGUGUUGCGGUUUUUGGCAUGGAUCAGACGGUAUAGGGUAUAGGAACGUACUGAAAAUUCAAUUGGAAUUUUCAACAUCUCAAUCGCUAGGCUGUAGGCUAGUACGAGUAGCAUCUACUAGGAGGUUAUUCAGGUUGUUGUACAGUGUGUAGUCAGUGUCAUUGCCCGAUGAACGACAUGGGGCCAUAUUCUUUUGUGUAUCUACGAGACGGUAUAUGAAUUUGUAUCGAGAGGUUCGUUCUGAAUAUACCGAAGUUUGCAACUUCUUCAUCCAGUUUCAUCUGAUAUUGCACAUUUUCUGAAUCAUAAGGCUGAGUUGGAAUCUAGAUCACCGCCAGACUGUACAAUUGCCUUGUCUAUAGGCAGCUUGAUGAUGAUGAUGAUGAUGAUAAUGGACACAUCAAGAUCUCACAGAUCGUAUGAUUGCCACUCUAUCAACAACUGCGUGGUCAGUAGCAAAUAGCAGAAUGUCAUAAGCAAUGCCUUUAUUACUCCGGUGAUGAUGGACAGGAACAUUCGACACGAUAUCCUGCAUUAAGAGCAAACCCAACCGGGCGGACCCGCACUUUUUUCGUCUUUUGUCCAUUUAAUCGGCUCUUUGGUCCUUAAUUAUAAAUAAAUUGGUCGUGCACCCAACGCGACGAUUCAUUUUUCGCCCGUGCAUAAACAGCUUAAUGCUAAAAGGGAUCGCGGCCACACUGUCACGUCAACUAACAUGCCAGCGUUAAGAGUUCCUGUCCGCUAUAUGCCAGCGAUCGGCAUACAUAUGCGAGUCUACAAAAAAAUACACAGUUUUCAAGUUGAGCACAUCUGCCAGCAGGCCAACACACAUGCCAACACACAAAAUGAGAAUGUAGUUCGGCCACGCCAUCUCAGUCGUGGUCAUGCCCGCACACCGCAACAUGGUUCACUCGUCUUCGAGGCUGAACAUGUCGGCCUGCAUCUUCUCGAUCCAAAACAGCCUCCUCGGAGAGACCGUGUUCAAGUUCACCUUCAUGAUCUCGACCCCCUUCAUCAUGCAAGCAAGCCGGACUUCUUUUGCUUUGGUGGCUGCUUUUGUGGCCUCGAUCUCUAGCUUAUUCGCUUGCGUCACCGCCUCCAACGUGAGCUUCAUGUUUUGUAUCUUCAUGAAGGCUCUAAUUUGCUCCUCCUUGUCUUGCACACGCUUCUUCUCUCUUGAGUUUUUCUUGACGAUCAUGACUUACAAAGUAGCUUGCAAGGCAAGAGACGCCGCCUCGCGCUUGUCAUCUUUCUUGGAGUUGGUCUUCGCCUGCGGCCGCAGCUUCUCGCCCCCACCUUGCUCUUCAACGACUUCCUUCCCUCCACGCGCCUUGAUGGCAGUGUAUUGCGCUUUGAACUUAUCUUCUUCAUUCAUGAUCAUCGAAUAAUGAGUGAGGUUGAAAGACUUGCCCUCAUAGUGGACCUAGAAUGCUUUCAAAGCUUGGAAGAUCUACACAUGAGCAAGCAUGUCAGCAUACCAAAAUAAUCAAGGGACGGGACAAUCAACAUAAGCAAGCAUGUCGGCAUACCAUGUCUUUCAUGCCGAUGUCGCUCACGGAACAUGCCUGGAUGCUCUCAAGAGUGGAACAAAACUUGUUGGACUCUUGUUGUAUCAUCCUCCAACGCUUCCGAGAGAGACCCACCCAUGCUUGCUCUCCAUUUUAUAUGGUUUUAACUUCUUUCGCUUGUGGAAUGUGCGAUGCACUCUCUGCCAAAAUGCCGAAGCCUUUUGCUCGGAACCUAUCUCGGGGUCUUGGCCAAUGUCUCUCAAACAUUCACAAACGAGUUUGUCCUCAUCUUGUGUGUACGCUUUGGUCCGCUUGCUCUUCCGCUUCUUCUUUGCAUUGGCUUGGGCGGGGAGCGGUUCCUCGAACAAUGGCUCUCCCUCGAUGUCCAGUUAAUCAUCCUAUUCGUCUAGGCCAUAAUCUUCCGAGCUCGUGAUCUAGUGUAAAAGAGCCGCCCAUGCCGAGUUGGUCCUCCAUGAGGGGGUCAGACAUGCUUGCAUUGUCAUCACCAAAGGUGUACCCAAUGCCAUCGUGCCCAGGCAUGAAGGGGUUCUGCCCAUCUUGGCUUUGCGUCUCGUCGAGAUCGAAGGAAGCGCCACCGCCAUCACCUUCAUAGAUGGGACUCUCCAUGAAGAUGUGGUUGGCCUCGUCUUCCGUUGCCGGCAUUUUGUUGAACAGGUUACGGGCAUUCCCCAUGGCAUUGGUUGGGAGCUCGAGAGGCCGCUUGCGCGCACCCCCGGAGGACGAUCCACCUCCCAUAGGCACCACGUUGAGGUCGAUGUCGUAUGAAUGAUUCUGACAAUAAUACAAAGGGUAUGAAUCAGGGGCGGAAUAUUCUGGUCCAUCACUUAAUCCAAAGGAUUGGAUAUGAUGAGACCAUCUAGAUUUGCGGCUAUAAUGGUUGCUCGGGAGGGAUCAAUGAGACCGAUUAGAAUAACACAUAAUGCAAAUGUUUUUUUUUGCUCCAAGACCUCAUUGAUGAGACGUCAGCAUCCCGACGAGAGUAACUUAUCUGCGACACUUUCUUUCUCAUGAAUGCUUCGGUAAUUCUCGGCAUUGCCCUAAGGAAUAUUUUCGACUUUUAGUCUUGGAUUUAAGAAAGAAAGGCUUCUUCUAUAUGAAACGUGCCUAUCUUAUGUUGGUUAUCAUUAAGAUGUCCGAGGAAGGCUGGAUUUACUAUGGCAAUGGGUCUUUUAACACCGCAUCUGAAUCAAGAGACUGGAGGGAAUUAUGGAGUUUUCUGAUACCUUCAAAGCUUAGAUUGUUUCUUUGACACCUAGAUCAACACCUACUAGUGAGUUUUGAUGUUCUUGGGCACAUGAAUAUAUCGGAUGCCUCCAAUUGUAUGUUUUUUGGGCGCCCAAACUGAUGGCGUCAUGCCCUCCUUGAAUACUCCAUGUCAAAAUAUAUUUGAGGCCAUGCCAAGGAAGAGAUGGUCAAGUUUAUGGUCAAGACGACGAAGUCACAUGCAAAUCAAUGGUUGUUCACUAUGCAAAAUACGUCAUCGCGUGCACACUUUAUGCAAAUGGUUAUCAUCCCUUGGGCCCAUCUGGUAUGCUCGUUGGAAAACUUUCCAUGAAUAUGACUUCCAAUCUCCCAUAUCUGCUCACAUGUUAAUUAGAAACUUCAUAUUGGAACUGGAAGUAAUUGGAAAGAACAAGCCACAUAAAGUUGUGAUAGAGAGGCAAAAUCCAACGCCUGAAGUAGACCUCUGCUAGGUAUUGUCAAGUUUAACAUAGACCGAGCUGUAUCAAGACAGGUCCAUAGGGGAACCGAGGCGGUUGUUUGUCGUGAUGUAUGUCCAAAUCCUAUGAUCACCAGCAGUCACCAAUGCCAUCAUAUCAAAUGCUACCACUCUUGAAGCACUUGUGUGCCGAGAAGCACCUGCAUUCAUAGAGGUACUAGAUUCGGUUGCCGAUCUCCUCAUUAGGUGCAUGCUCAUUUCUUCGGAGUGUCAAACAACAAUUAAAUAUUAGGUGGGUGCCAUGGUGAUAUCAUCAACGAAAUUAAAGCCCUUGUUUAGGAUUUUGAAGUUUGUAAUUCCAUUCAUGAAAGUAGAAAUAGAAAUUUUAUAGCAGAUAGCUUAGCUAAGUUCUCCCUUUUCCUAGAUAUGGGCAGGCAUGUUUGGCUAUUGCAAUUGCAACUCAUGACAUUGUAACAAUACCUAUGAACUUCGUUGAUCAAUAAAGCAACUUCAUUUCCCUAAGGCUAAAAGAGAUAAAUUAUUUUUCAUAUUUUUUAUUUUCUAUUUCUUAUUCCGUUUGCCUCUUAUGUUCACUUUUUAUUUAUUUAUUUACAUAUCCCGACCGGUUUUUAUUUCUGGCUAGUAUUAUUUAAUUUUUAUAUUGUUCUUGAGUUUUAAAAAAUGUAUGCCAAUUUCAAAGGGUUCACAUAUUUGUUAAAAUGUACCCAAAAUUAGAAUUGUUGGUGAAUCUAAGAAAUGUUCAAGAAUAUAACAUAUUUGUUUGGAUUUUGUAAAAAUAUUUCCAAAUUUGAAUUUUUCAUGGAAUUGAAAAAUAUUAAUGAAUUUAAUAUUUUCAUAGAUUUGAGAAAUGUUCAUGAAUUUAAUUUCGUUUUGAAUUUUUAACAAUGAUUACGAUUUUGAAUUUUUUUCAUGAAUUUGAAUAAUGUACUUUCAUUUAAAAAAUAUUUACGAAUUUGAACAUAUGUUCACAAAAUUGAAGAAUGUUUGUGAAUUAAAAAAUAUUCACCAAUUUGUAAAAAGGUCCACUAAUUGAAAAAUGUUCUUGAAUUUCAAAAUAUAUUUUACACAAUGAAUAAAUUCACAAAUUUGGAAAAUGAUAGCAAACUAAACAAUGUUUGUGAUGCCACCAUUUGAUCUCGUCUCAAAACUAAAUCUGUCAGAAAAGGCAAGUCGUCAUUUAAAACUUCCACAGUUUGAUCUCGCUUAGAACUAAAACUAGGGUUCGUUUGCCAUCCCUCUCCCAGCGAACAUCAAUCAGAUAAGAUUUUUAUUGGUUAAUGGGUCUAGUAGAAAUCAUCAUAGCAGGAGUUCGAAUCUCCCCAUCCCAUCAAUAUGUUUUGAAGGUUCAAGAUAAGUAAAUGGAAGUUGUGCACCUUGUUGCGGAAACAAUAUAGAACCGUGCCUGAAAUGUCAAAUAGGGAUUAGGCGUCUAAGUCUUGCUAGUGGUGAAACUGUGUGGAACUGUGCCCGAUGAAGCACUAUCGUGGCCGGCAUAGUAAUUUCUAUGUUGUUUGUUUCGUUCGUAUGUUUGAUUCGCUUAUUUUUUUGGUUUUAUCCUGUUUACAUAUUUUAAAUUUACAUAUAUAUUUAUAAAUAGAUAUUUCAAAAAAUUACUUUAGAUAAAAAUACUACAUAUUGCAUUUCUUAUGAAAUAAAAAAUUGUUCACAUAAUUUUGAAAGUUGUUUGUACCAUUAAAAAAAUGGCUGUGUCCAUUCAAAUUGUCGCACUUUAAGAAUAUAUUCAAAACAUUAUUAAAUUUGCGAAAGUUAGUUCACAUAAUUCGUAAAAACUUGUCGUACCAUAAAAACAUUAUUCAUGUCAUUUAAAAAAUGUCUGCAUAUUUAAAAAUAUGUUCGGCACAUUUAAAAAUGUGCAUGAAAUAAACAAAUAUUAGUGGAAUUUUUGAAAGUUGAUAAAUAUGUAUAAAACUGUUUGUCCAUUUAUAAAAAUAGAUUGAUAAACACUUAAGAAAUGUUUUGAAUGUUUUACAAUAAUGUUCAGGAUAUUUCUUAAAAAUCUUCAGUGUGUAUUUAAAAGAUGUUAAAUGCGUAUUUUAGAAAUUUUCAACAUGUAUUCAGAUAAAUGUUUAACAUGUAUUGGAAAUAUAUUUAACGGUUAUCUAAAAGUGUUCCACUUAUAUUUACUUUUGUAACAUGCAUUUGUCAAAAUGUUCAACAUGUAUUAAAAAGAAUUCAUUUUGUAUUUUAAAUAUGUUUAACAUGUAUUAAAUAUGUCAAUGUGAAUUUUUAAAAAGGAAAAGAGCAUUCUUAUCGUUGAUGGUGGAUAUAUUUCAAGCACUAGACAAAAUUUACCUAAAAUCUAGGGCAUGAGAUGAAUUAAUUAUCCUCAUCGAGAAACUUAGACUACUAAUAGAAAAGAUUUGAAAAUGAUGAUGUGGAUCUUGUUUUUUUCGUUCUUUAGAGUUUUCUAUAUGCACAAUUUCUUGAUGAUUGAUGACAAUUUCUUGACUUUUCAUAUGAUGUCCUCAAACGAAUGGACUCUGAGGCCACCGCUAGUGUUUGUCGUCUCUGUCUUCCUCGUAGUACCAACAAUCACAAGGGAAAUACACUUUGGUUCCUGGUUGUAUAUGCACCUCAUAUACAUAAUUUUUUAAUAAUUAAAUAAAAUGUCAAAAUAGUUCAAAAAUAUUUUUGGAAUAAAGUUGACUUUGUUUUGCACUAGUAUCAAAAAUUUCACGAAAAAACCCAACGUUGACUCCUGGGCAAAAAACACAAAGUUUAUUUGCUAUUAUAGGUCACUAUUCACAAUAUUUUGAUCGAAAAUUUGUCUUUCUUAAAAAGACGUCAACGUGUAAUUUUCUUUUUGUGGAUUUUUUCUUACAACUACAAUGAAAGAUCAAAUUUGCUUUAAAAAUAUUUGUAGAAUUUUUUGACAUUUUGUUGAAUUGCUUUUUUCUUUUCUUCAUAUAGGGUGUAUAUACACCCAAGAACCAAAGGGGAACCAAUCGCAAGCGCUUUCACGACCGUCGCCCUAUCUAUCUCGGGCCACGUCGUCAUGGCCUUGGCCUCCACCUCCUCCUCUUGCCGACUGGUGUAGCGCCCAUGCCGCUACGAGCACAAGGUCAGCAAGGACAUGCAAAAGAGCCACUUGCAACUAGGCAAUGGAGAAGCGUGAUUCAGAACCAUGGUUCAGCCAAACGUAUGCUCCACGCUUAUGAUUCAACAUCCUUCUACAUGUGGAUUCGCGUCAUGCAUGUCAAUUUCAUCCAAAACUUUGUGUCAUGCAUUAUUUAACUUGCAAACAUCUUGUACUAUGCAUUUUUUAAUCAACCAUGCAUAAAUCCUCAUGAACAGUGUGCAGAAACCAAUGGUGUCGAGCGUAGGUUCGGCUGAACCAUGGUUUUUGUAGGCAAAGUUUGUUAAGUGUCGCACAUGGCGCCGCUCCGAUUCAAUGAGCCGAUGCGAGCCUGACAAGGACGAAGAGUCGCACAACCCGCUCAAUCCACCAACGCAGUAAUCGAGGCAGGCAAGAUACGGGUGGAACAGACGACACUCAAGUUGCAGCUUGUCGCUGCGGGGAUACACUAUCACAUUCAUAAGCCAGCAAGCCACAGAUCCGUUGCGCUCUUGGACUAAGCAUGUGGAUGGUGAUGGAGCGAGAGGGAAUCGAUCAUCGAUCGACCUACGUACCGUGCGCCCUCUUUGAUUCACAGGAUUUAUAAAACCCGGAGUAGAAAUAAACACACAAACAGAGUGUCAUUCCAGUAGCAUUAGCCAUUUUUCGUACUUUUGUUCACACUUCAUCAAUUUUUCAUGCCAGGGACAGAAAUCGUCAUGAAAGUGAUAAAGAUGAUAUCCUUCCAAAUAGGAUAAGAGAAUUAUUAUUAGUCUCUAUAAUUGGAAUAGUCUCUUGCUAGUAAGGGGCCUCUACAACAAUGUGAUCCUUGAAUGCUAGUUUGAAUAUCCUCCCAACUGUAGUUAAUCAGUGUCCUUUUAUAUAUAUUAAUGGGUGUAUCCCUCUCGAAAGAAAAAUGCCAAGCAUAUGAUGUUAAGUAGGUAGACCAUAUGCUUAUUUUCAAGCUGGCCAACUCACUAAAAAAGAACUUUGGUAACUAACAUACUUACAUACAUGACUAGUUAUGUGCUUAGAUUGGCUAUGAAAAACACGUUUAUGUCCUCAUGUUCUAACACUCCCAGUGUUCUAAAUAAAAUUUGUGAACUCUCCCAUCAGUAUAAUUUGACCGUUAAUAUUUUGUAUGAACCUGUAACAAAAAUGUAAUUGCCUUAGAUUGGUUGUCACUAAAAAAAAGGGAAAUGCUUUUAUGUAAAAUGAAAAAAAAAUCUAUGUUUUCAUCACGCAAAAACCAUGGAAACAACUUAGCAACUGAGGUUUCUGUUGUACAUUUUUUUAUGCUUUUAUGUUUGAACACAAAGCUUCUGCUUCAUAGUAAAUAAUGUUCCACAUACUUACGACCCAACACUAUGACCGGAAGUCCAAUUCUUAGUCUCUGGUAUUUAUAGGAAAAUUUUAUGGUGGUUUGGGACAAAACCAAUAAUAAAGUUACUAUCCGGCAAAUGUGAAUACUAUUUUAUUUGUAAAAAGCCCAUGAAUUAUCAUUUCUAGAAUACCAACACAUGCACACAAAUAUAAAAAAUCACUAGCACUUGCAUGGAAAAUAUUAAUUCAUGUUCAUCGUAAUUUAGUUUUCCGCUUGUAACUUUUGGACAUCUUUUUACAGAUGUCUUGUGUUUAUUCCCUUCAGCUCAUAUACUUUGAUCUUGAUACUUUCUCUAAUUCAAAAUAUCGGCAAACAUUUUUAGAUUUGUUAAGGAACUACAAACAUUUACAAUACGAAAAUGAAAUUGCAGUAUUUGUCAUGACCUAUAUUUUAGUACAUAUUCACUUCUAUUUGACACAACAUAUUUUCUUGUUAUUUUGAAGAUCAUGAAAAUGACUUAAAGUACCUAUAACGCAAUCGAAAGGGUUUCUAUAUUGCAAAACUAUUUAAAUAUCAAGAUAUCUUCAUGGGAUCUAUCACCCGCUGUAUCGAUACCACUUGUAGGUGGCCCAAUGGUGUCGCGGUUCUGACUGGAAACAAGUGUGUACUGCACUAUUUCCGGGAUCAAUAAACUGUGCCAGAUUUAUUCACUUGGCAUACAAAGUUUGAUAAGCCGUUGAGGCCGAAUGAUUAUCCAAAUGCAGGUUGAGUCUCUUACGAGAAAAAUAAUGCUAACAUCUGAUGCAUGCAAUAUAGAUGAUGGAAGCUGGUUAUUGUACAUGUUGCAAAGGUCCCAACUAUGGAUAGUUUGGUGCACCAUAUUGACAACAAGAUAAGUCCACGGAAUAGAACAUUGCACCCCAACAAACAGACUAUCAAUAUAGCCUCCAAGCCAAUGAAAACACAAACCCAAUAUAUUGUUGAAAUUAGAGAUGGGCCUUAGGCCCAUAAGACAAAUUUCAGAAAAAUCUCCAAGGCCCCAUGUAGGUGGUGGCAUGACAAGGGGGUGGGAAGUUUAGCCCCCCCCCGCUAGUGGAGGAGAAUUUGGACCCCUUUAUAAGGGUCUCUCUUCCACAUGCUAUUGGAGAGUGAGAAGAGAAGGUGCCCUCACGCACUCCUCCUCCGCCGCCCGCCUCGCCUCGUCGCGGGAAUGAGUGAACGUGUUCUGAGUAGCCGGUGUCACUCCUACGGAAACUAUCACAGUGCAAUUUGCCGGGCAGACUCAUCAGAGGAACUUCAAUUCCCACAAGCCCAAGGGAAAGAAUUCUGUCCAACACUUGUGGUUCAGAGGAACAUUGGGCGAACAAAUGCCCAAACAAGUACAAGAAGCCCAAGCCCGCGUAGGACUCCAAGUCUGCCAAUAUGAUUGUGGGCAACAAUGAAAGUGGUGCAUCUGGGUACGGUAAUUUACUUACUGUAUUUACAGUUUGUCGAUCUGAAGUUUACUUCGGGAAGGAUCGUGCAGCAUGUCCCCGCCAUCAAGAAGAAUCUCGUUAGUGGCUCCCUUCUGUGUAGAGAAGGGUUUAAGUUGGUAUUCGAGUCUAAUAAAGUAGUAGUUACGAAAUCUGAAGUUUGGCAUUCACGUCUUUGUCACAUAAGUUUCGGUGUUAUGUCGCGGCUAGCAAAACUGAAUUUAAUCCCAACUUUCACUUUAGCCAAAGGUUCUAAGUGCCAUUCGUGUGUGCAAGCAAAGCAACAUCGCAAGCCUCACAAGGCUGCAGAGGAGAGACACUUGGCACCAUUAGAACUCAUACAUUCUAAUCUUUGUGAGAUGAAUGGUGUGUUGACUAAAGGUGGAAAGAAAUACUUCAUGACAUUGAUAGAUGAUUCCACUAGAUUUUGCUACGUGUAUCUGUUAAAUACUAAAGAUGAGGCUCUACACUACUUUAAAAUCUAUAAGGCAGAAGUUGAGAAUCAACUUGAAAAGAAAAUUAAACGAGUCCGGUCUGAUCGUGGUGGAGAGUACUUCUCAAACGAAUUUGAUUCAUUUUGUGCGGAACACGGCAUUAUUCAUGAGAGGACGCCUCCCUAUUCACCCCAGUCAAACGGGGUUGCCGAGCGGAAAAACCGUACUCUAACUGAUUUGGUUAACGCCAUGUUAGAUACAUCGGGUUUAUCCAAGGCAUGGUGGGGGGGGCUAUAUUGACCGCAUGUCAUGUCCUGAAUAAAGUUCGUACAAAAGAUAAUGAGGUCACUCCCUACGAGGAGUGGUCGAAGAGAAGGAAGACGCUCUCGUACUUACGUACUUGGGGCUGCUUGGCGAAAGUCAAUGUACCGAUCCCCAAGAAGCGUAAGCUUGGACCAAAGACUGUGGACUGCGUUAAUUUGGGAUACGCUAAGAAUAGCGUAGGCUAUAGAUUUCUAGUAGUGAAAUCUGAGGUACCUGACGUGAAGGUCGGUACAAUAAUGGAGUCGAGGGAUGCUACAUUCUUUGAGGAUAUAUUUCCCAUGAGAGAUAUGCAAAGCACUUCUAGACAGGAAUCUGAGAUAACUCCUGAGCCUGCCAUUCCUAUGGAAUACUAUGAACAAACACAUGAUGAAAAUCCUGAUGAGGAUGACGAGGAAGCCCGUGGUAGGGGCAAGAGACAAAGGACUGCAAAGACCUUUGGUGAUGAUUUCUUCGUAUACCUCGUGGAUGAUAAUCCCACUUCUAUUUCAGAAGCGUAUGCUUCUCCAAAUGCUGAUUACUGGAAAGCUGCGGUCCGUAGCGAUAUGGAUUCCAUCAUGGCUAACGGGACAUGGGAAAUCACGGAUCGUCCCUAUGGUUGCAAACCAUUGGGAUGCAAGUGGGUGUUGAAAAAGAAGCUUAGUCCCAAUGGUACGAUUGAAAAGGACAAGGCUAGGCUUGUGGCCAAGGGCUAUGCCCAGAAGGAAGAAGAAGAUUUCUUCGAUACUUAUUCACCUGUGGCUAGACUGACCACCAUUCGAGUAUUACUCUCAUUGGCGGCCUCUCAUGGUCUUCUCGUUCAUCAAAUGGAUGUUAAGACGGCUUUCCUGAAUGGAGAGCUAAAUGAGGAAAUCUAUAUGCAACAGCCAGAUGGCUUUGUGAUAGAAGGUCAGGAAGGAAAGGUGUGUAAGUUGCUGAAAUCUUUAUAUGGUCUGAGACAAGCACCUAAGCAAUGGCAUGAGAAGUUUAAUACAACUCUGACAUCUGUUGGCUUCGUUGUUAAUGAAGCUGACAAAUGUGUAUACUAUCGCCAUGGUGGGGGCGAAGGAGUUAUAUUGUGCUUGUAUGUUGAUGACAUACUGAUAUUUGGAACCAACCUCAAAGUAAUUGAGGAGGUUAAGUCUUUUCUGUCUCAAAACUUUGAGAUGAAGGACCUUGGGGUGGCUGAUGUUAUCUUGAACAUCAAGCUGUUGAGAGAUGAUGAGGGUGGGAUUACACUUCUGCAAUCCCACUAUGUUGAUAAGAUUUUGAGUCGCUUUGGAUAUUCAGACUGCAAAAUUUGUCAAACACCAUAUGAUCCUAGUGUGCUUAUUCGAAAGUUUAAAGGCACAACUAUAGAUCAAUUGAGAUUCUCUCAAAUUAUCGGUUCACUUAUGUACCUAGCUAGCGCAACGAGGCCUGACAUCGCGUUUGCUGUGAGCAAACUUAGCCGGUUUGUUGCAAACCCGGGCGAUGUUCAUUGGCGUGCUGUUGAAAGAAUUAUGCGCUACUUGAAAGGUACUGUCAACCACGGGCUUCACUAUACGGGAUUCCCAUCGGUACUUGAAGGGUAUAGUGAUGCGAAUUGGAUCUCUGAUGCUGAUGAGAUGAAGGCCACUACUGGGUAUAUGUUUACUCUUGGGGGUGGUGCUGUUUCCUGGAAGUCUUGCAAGCAAACGAUCUUAACAAGAUCGACAAUGGAAGCAGAAUUAACAGCAUUAGACACAUCUUGUGUCGAAGCAGAAUUUCUUCGAGAUCUUUUGAUGGACUUACCUGUGGUUGAGAAGCCGGUUCCGACUAUCCUUAUGAACUGCGAUAAUCAAACAGUUAUUGUUAAAGUGAAGAGUUCAAAGGACAAUAUGAAGUCCAACAAACAUAUAAGAAUGAGAUUGAAGUCUGUCAGACGUUUGAGAAACUCCGGAGUGAUAGCAUUGGAUUACAUCCAAACGGCUAAGAAUCUGGCACAUCCCUUUACUAAAGGGUUGUCACGUGUUGUGAUAGACAGUGCAUUGAGGGAGAUGGGUAUGAGACCCACAUGAGUUUCCAUGGUAGUAACCCAACCUAUAUGAUCGGAGAUCCCGUGAAGUAGGACCUGGGAAAACAAGCCAGUGGUGAACUGAGGAGAGUAACUUUACUAACCCACUCCGUUGGAGAUGCAAUACUCUCGGAUACUGUAUGGUAGGAUGACUACUGUCUUAAUGUGUUCUAAAGCUUAUAUGUAAGCAAGAUGAUGUCCUACAGAGCGAUCUUUGAAGGAACACACCUAUAUGAGCUUGACUGCUGGUCACAGUCUAUGAGAUUUGGGUGAUCUCUAGUAAACUCAUGAAUAGGCCAGGAGUGUGACUAAUAUGCUCCACCCGAGGGGUCACCUUCGGCAGCCUAGUACUAGUAAGACUUGUGGUGAAGCUCCUUUACGCCAAACUGACAAUUCAAGGCAUAGUCCAUUGUUCAGUUGUAAAGGGGUGUAGCUACUUGCUCUAGGUGAAGCUCAACCUUAACAGGUCUUCACUGAAAUGCUGGUAUAUUAAAACAGUGUUUGGAACGAGGGAACACGAUUUGCCCUUGAGAUCUGGUGGGGGAUUGUUGAAAUUAGAGAUGGGCCUUAGGCCCAUAAGACAAAUUUCAGAAAAAUCUCCAUGGGCCCAUGUAGGUGGUGGCAUGACAAGGUGGUGGGAAGUUUAGUCCCACCCCGCUAGUGGAGGAGAAUUUGGACCCCUUUAUAAUGGUCUCUCUUCCACAUGCUAUUGGAGAGUGAGAAGAGAAGGUGCCCUCGCGCACUCCUCCUCCGCCGCCGCGCUACGCCGCGGUUGCGGUUGCGGUUGCGGGAAUGAGCCGAGCCGAGCUCAUACCUACGCGCUUAUUUUUGCCGGUCAGGAACGGAGAAUACGUAACGGACAAGGCACGAUCCGAGACGUCGGAUCGUGCCUGUUACCGACUCGGACGUGGGUUUGGCCCACGUCUCUCCACCCAGCCGCCUUUAUAAGCAGGCUAUCGCCUACCCUAGCUGUCACGAGAAUCAGAUCACAUCUGCCUCACGCGUUCGUUCCUUGACUACUGCUGCCGUCGGCGACUCCGUCCCGUUUACCGCGUACACGGUCGACGGGAGAGAAGGCCUCCGAAACCUCGCCUCUCCGGUUCCUGUACGGGAGAGGGGCGAUUAGGUUUUUGGGGAGCGAUCACGCGACUGCUCGCCUCCGUCCGUCUGCUUCGUCUACGUCCGCGUCGCCCUCGUCAUCGCCAUGUCUUCACCAAGCGAAGCUGACCGUCUCGUCCGCGAGAAGGCCGAAACCGAGAAGAAGGCGGCAGAGGA
rnacentral:lncRNA from 1 species